rnacentral:lncRNA from 1 species
CUAUGCUGUCUUGAAGUUUCUACAGGAGCACAGUCAAACCAUUUGGAUGAUAAUUUGGUAAUUCCUUAUAUCAUAUGUUUUGUUGUCAACCAUGAUUGAGAUCCAAGGUCACAUUGAUCCAUUAAAACACCCUUUUAUUGCACAAUUAAAAUGGUAAGCAACUUCCACUAUUAUUCCUAAGAAUCAGCAAAUUCAUAUCAAUAGUGUAUUGUUUUGUGACGAAAAGGCAAUAAAAACCCAUGUAUAUAUUUUCUUCUUGAACAGAUAAGGACAGUCAUGGAUUGUUUGUCACAAAUGUAACGGAACAUCAUCUAUACUCGAAUGAAAUAAGAAGUUGUGAGCCAUUCAUUUGUUAUUUACGGAAAGGCAUCAACCAAAAUGCUCAGACACAACUUGUAUUUAGAGAUACUUUUCGACAAACAGCUUGAACUUAGAACAUUGAUCGCAGCCCCAUGUUUCCAGCUUAGAUGCAUAUACUUAAUCUAGCCAGUAAACAGAACUAUUUCCUUGAUGCAGACAGGACAUACAAUUUUCAUCACAAAGUAAUAAUUGCUAAAGACUCGACUACAAUGAAAUCAGCAAGCAAGUAAUAAUAGUGAUAUAUCUAAUAGUAAAUGAUACCUCAUUUGUCUCCGAGCCAGUAGCAAUGUAACCUUCAGAUACAGAUAAGCCAACAAAGUUCUGAAAAGAGGGAAUACUUUUGUUAAAAGCACAAUUAAUAUUCCAUCUCAUUCACAGUUAAAAGCACAUUUAACCGCAACUGAAGUACAAUCUCAUUUCUAAGAAAAAUACCUUUACAUUCAUGUGUCCGGUAAAUGACUGAAGAGGCGAAUCAAGAAUUCGAGAUGUGCAAAUUGACAAAUCCCAUAGCUUUAUCGUGUUAUCUGUAGAUGCAGACACAAGAGUUGUGGAAUCUAUGAACUUGACAUAACUCACGGUCUUGUUAUGCCCGAUUAAUGUGCAUAGAGGCAUUUUUGAGUUACGUAGAUCAUAAUAAUAUAUCCUGUGAUCUGCAGAACCAAAAGCAAGGGAGCGACCAGAAUCAAAGGGGAAUUGAACGCAGCAGACAUUGGCUUUUGUUUUAAUGGUUCCAACACUUGCUCCCUGCAGUACCAACCCAGGUAAGAAAAACAAUUUAUUACACACAGGUUUUAUCUACACAUCGACAUAACUAGAUGACUUUAGUACGUUUAGUUUCAAAGCUGACAUCCACCAAGUGCAAAAAUAGAAUUGCCUGAUUGAUAUUCCAGAGCUUGACAGAACCAUCAUCACUCCCGCUGGCCAACAUGGUUGGAUCGGCUACAGAAAAGUCAACAGACCAGACACGCCUUUCAUGUUCUCUCAUUUCCAUGAAAAGCUGACUUCUUGUGACGUCCCAUACCUGGAAAGGAAUUCAACAAAUUUCAUCACAACUAAAUUAAAUAGAAAAGCGACCAUAAUCAUGAAUAUAGCUCACCUGCACCACGCCUUCAAAGUUACUUGAAGCGAUCUGGCUUUUAAUAUAGCCAUUCCAACAUAUGCUGCUUAGCUUAGAUCUACUAGACAUUUCAACAACUGGAUAGUGGAUAUCACGGUCCGCAUUUACAAUUGAAUUAUAUUCAAAAACUUUGAUCUUCUUAUUUACACCAGCAGUUGCAAAAAAUUCACCAUCACGAUCAAAGCCUAGAGCACAUACAAGAUUGGAAGAAUUCAGAAGAUCCCCUUGCUUCAAGUCGGCCUUCACUUCCAGCUUGCUAUAAGAUAGAUACUUGCACAGGCCCUCCAGGAAUGAACUGAUCGAUCCACUCUGUCUAUCCUCAUUGCACCCCUCUUUUGAUGACAAAUUACUCAAUGAACUUCUUUCGGGUGCUAUUCUACAAUCCGUACUUGCCUGAGAAUGUCUAUUCAAUGGUUUGCCAAUUGGUUUGAUAACCCUACGUCUUGUCAUGAAAUAAGCUGCCUCCAAUUUCCUGAAGUUCUUCAUCAACCGGGAAUUUUUUGCCAGAAUGCUCCCUUUGUUUUCAACAUGCUUCUCAGACUCAUCUGGAUUGCCAUUGGAUUCCUCAGUUGCAUGAGUAGAAAAGCCUGGCCUAAAUCUCUUUCUAGAUCCAACGUACCCAGCAUCGUCAUCUUCAGCAAUAUUUAUCUUCCCCGAACCUAAAUCCUUUACUGGCUCCUGAUUUGAUCCGCUUUUAACUCCGAGGGUCUUCUGCAUCUUUGAGACCUCUUCUAUGUCAGACGAUAAAAAAGAUACAAUCUCAUGCAAAUUGUGCAUAGCCUCCUGCUUUCGCUGUUGAAUCAGCAAAAGGAAUUCCAGCAAUAACUCUUGCUCCUCUAUUUUUUCUCUAAGCUGUAUUGCUGCUUCACGUUCUUGAAACUCAUCUCUUGGAGCAUUAAGGAACUCGCUUUCUAGCAGCUCACUGCCAUCGAUGGAAAAAAAAGAAUCAGAAUAACAAGGACAAAGGAGACAGGGACGUUGCUGUUAAACGAAUUAAGAUAGAAGUGACAGUAGAUUCUUCAAGUGAAUCAUUAUUGACGCCUGAAAUGAAUCUGUAAACAGGUAAAGGCUUCCAUUUAAUGCAACAAUAAAAACAACAUACCCAGUGAAGUCCCACAAGUGAGAUCUGGGGAAGGUAGAGUGUUCGUAGACCUUACCCCUACCGAGGUAGAGAGGCUGUUUUCGAAGGAUACUUGGCUCAGGUGCAACAAAUCAAAAUAGUUAUGGAAAGGAAAAGUGGUCGUGGAAAAAACAUAGCAACUAAUAAAGAAAGCAGUGCAGAGCAUUCAGAAAAGGAACAUUAACAACAACAAAACAGUGUGGUAAACGAAACACAAAAAAAAACAGAUGGUAAUAAAUAUCAAAAAGCAAGACACUACAUGAAUAGGCUAAUCCUGUCGAAAAGCAAGACAACACUCAAUUACCUACUCACCUUCUACCCUAUCUACAACCUCCAUACUUUCCUAUCUAAGGUCACGUCCUCAGUAAGGUCAUGUCCUCAGUAAGCUAAAGCUAUCCCACGUCCUGUCUAAUCACCUCUCACUUAAUGCAAAGUAGUAGAAAACUUUCCUCAAUUCUAUUUAUUGCUCUCUCAUCAAGUCUUAAGUGCUCUUUUUCCAUUCUCUUCCUUUUACUUCUAACACGGUGCAGGAAACAUUUUGCAGCAAUCAAAGUUCAAACAAAUUGUGCAGGUAAACAGCAAUAAUAUGGCCGAAUUUCCAUAGCAACAAGCUGAUAAUACUUUAAGAUGCCACUGACGAGAAUGGAACAGUAUUAUGCAAAGAGCAGCAAAGCUGUUGAUCAGUUAACUAAUAGUUUUGCCAGUAGACAACCACACCCCUCACUACUCCUAAUGAGUUGCACCCACCAAGAAGUAACCUUGGGUCAUCUCAUCAACCAAAGAGGGAAGAGAAGAGGAAUGAAUUAAUGCUGUUGCAAGAAACGCAAGCAUGCUUUGCUACAUUUUCCUUCUUUCCUGUAGUAACAUUUAUUCAUCCAUGCACAAAACUCAACAUACCAUGACUUCAUUAGAUAAGAUUUUGCUACCAGAAACAAAGUGUGCGUGCUAUGUCAAUUUUGCUGAAUGAUCUCUCAAGUUGAGAGUUCUGUCAUUAAAUAGAAAGAAUUCUCCUUGUACAUCCCUAAAGAUCUGCCAUGAAUCCCCUAAUAUCUGCCAUGUAUCCCCUAAUAUCUGUCAUUCCUAACUAUUACAUCUCUAAGAGUAUUUCCUAUAUCUAAGUAUUAAAAGCUUCCAGCUAAUCUGGCUAUCACUGAAAUCUGUCCAGAAAAUCUGCUGGACAGAUAUAUGUCUAUUAUCCUAACAUCCCCCCUCAAAUUGAUGCCGGUGAAUCAAGAAGCAUCAAUUUGCCCACUAGAAACUGAUGGUGUUGCCGUGCCAUGGAGUUUGUAAACGCAUCGGCGAUUUGAAGAUCACUGGAUACAUGUGGAAGAGUAAUGACUCUCUUAUCUACACAUUCUCUGAUAUAAUGACAAUCCACUUCAAUAUGUUUGGUCCUUUCAUGAAAAAACGGAUUGGUGGCAAUCUGAAUAGCACUUGUGUUGUCAGUGCGGAGAGGAGUGGGAUUAGAUUGAGGAAAUCCAAUUUCUGCAAGUAAACCACGAAGCCAAACAAUCUCGGAGCAAGCAGUAGACAUUGCUCGAUAUUCAGAUUCAGUUUAAGAUUUUGAAACACAGUCUUGCUUCUUGCUCUUCCAAGAUAUCAAAGAAUCUCCAAGAAACAUGCACCAACCCGUGACGGAGCGACGGGUGUCAGGACAUCCAGCCCAAUCAAAAUCACUAAAUGCAUUAAGCUGAAUUAGAGAACCACUACGAAAGAAUAAUCUACGAGUAGAUGUUCCCAAGAGAUAUCGAAUGAUGCGACGGACAACAACCAAAUGUAGAUGACGGGGAGCCUGCAUAAAUUGACUUACUUGUUGAACUGCAAAAGAGAUAUCAGGCCGACUAAUAGUAAGAUAAUUUAGGCUCCCAACUAAUUGUCGAUACAAAGUUGGAUCAGGAAGAUCUCCUUCCUUGCGAUGAUACUUUACAUUCAAUUCCAAUGGAGUAUUUACAUAGGAAGAUUCUUGAAGACCAGCCAAAGUAAUCAAAUCUUGAGUAUAUUUUUGUUAGUUCAAGAACACACUGAGUAUAUUUUUGUUGGUUCAAGAACACACCUAAAGAAUCAUAAUGAACUUCCAACCCUAAAAAGUAUGUAAGAGUACCAAGAUCUUUCAUAUGAAAACAAUCCUUUAGCUGCUGUUGGAGGCUAGUGAUUAGUGAAGAGUCGGUUCCUGUGAUAAUAAUAUCUACAUACACCAAAAGAAGAACACAACUUGCAGAUGUUUGUCAAAGAAACAAAGAUGAGUCAUAUUUGCUCUGCUCAAAAGAGAACUGAAACAAAGUAGACCGGAACUUGUCAAACCAAGCUCUGGGAGCUUGUUUUAAUCUAUAUAAAGACCGCUUCAACUUGCAGACAUCUGAUGUAGGUGAUGAGAACAAACCAGGUGGGGGUUUCAUAUAAAUAUCUUCUUUGAGAUCACCAUGAAGAAAAGCAUUUUUGACAUCCAUCAGAUGAAGAGGCCAAUUUUGUGACGCAGCAAUGGCAAUAAUAGUGCGCACCGUAGUCAUUUUUGCUACAGGUGCAAAAGUCUCCUCAUAGUCCACACUAUACUCCUAUUUGUUUCCAAGAACCACUAGACGAGCCUUGUACCGAUCAAGAGUUCCAUCGGAAUGAAGUUUAAUUGAAUAAACCCAUUUACAUCCAAUUGGACAGACAUUUGAACAACAAGGAACAAUGUCCCAUGUGUUAUUUUCUUGAAGAGCCAAAAGUUCCUCUUGAUUUCUGCCAACAUUCAAGCUUGGAGGUUCAUGAGUAACCUGUUGGAAUAGACAUAGUGGAUAAAGUAGAAGAAAAACCAUACCGUUUAGGACUAUGAGACACUCUUGUAGAUCGCCGACGGGGUUCAAGAGGAGCAGACCUUGAAAAAAUCUCAGAUUCUGGUUGUGGAGCAGUCUCAGGUGGCGGAUCCAUUUCGGAAUGGGGUAAAGUUGGCCGACGUCGUUCAUACACAAAUCCGGGUUUGAACCGCUUAGAAGAAAAUGAAAAAUCCUCAAAAGUUGGAAGAAGAGGAGAAAUAGAAGAUGACUCAACAUGGGUGGGAAAGAAAGACUGAUUUUCAAAGAACACAACAUUUCUAGAAACACGAAAUUUGUUAGAACUUGGAUCAUAACAAAUAAAACCUUGGUGUGAAGUACUAUAACCCAUAAAAGCACAUUUAGUAGACUGAACAGAAAGUUUAUUGUGUUAAGAAGGAGGUAGGUGCACAAAACAAACACAACCAAAUGUAUGAAAACUACUGUAGUUAGGAUACUUGUGAUAAAUACGAUAAUAUGGAGACUCAAGAUUUAACACUUUCAAUGGAAGUUUAUUAAUCAAAUAAACAGCAGUAGACAAAGUUUUCACCCAGUAUUUAGAUGGUACGGAUGACUCAAUCAAUAAAGUACGAGUGACAUCUGAAAGAUGACGGUUUUUAUGCUCAGCAACCCUAUUUUGUUGUGGUGUGUAUGGGCAAGAGCGUUUUGAGAUGAUCCUUUUCUCAAGUAAGAAAUUAUUGAAUUCAUGAGACAUACAUUCUCCACCAGAAUCAGAUCUUAGUAUUUUGAUACAUGUGGAAACCUUUAGACAUAUACAUGUUGAUUGAUGAGUCGCAACAAGGUGUUAAUGAUAAGCUAGAGGUUUGGCGACAAACCCUGGAGGCUAAAGGUUUUUGAUUGAGUAGGACUAAGACGGAGUACUUGGAGUGCAAGUUUAGUGACUCGAGGCAAGAGGAGGAGGUGGUAGUGAAGUUGGAUUCCCAGGCGGUUUGCGAGAGGGAUAGUUUUAAGUAUCUUGAGUCUACGAUUCAGGGGAAUGGAGAGAUAGAUGAGGAUGUCUCUCACCGUAUUGGGGCAGGUUGGAUGAAAUGGAGGCUCGCUUCGGGAAUUUUAUGCGAUAAGAAGGUGUCCCCCAAGCUGAAAGGUAGAUUUUAUAGCGUUGUGAUCCGGCCGGCUAUGUUAUAUGGAGCAGAGUGUUGGCCAGUUAAGAAUUCUCAUAUCCAAAAGUUGAAGGUGAUGGAAAUGAGGAUGUUGCGUUGGAUGUGUGGUUUUACAAGGGCUGACAAGGUUAGGAAUGAGAGUAUUCGAGAGAAGGUGGGAGUGGUGUCGGUGGAGGAUUAAAUUGCGGGAAGUUAGGUUGAGAUGGUUUGGUCAUGUGAUGAGGAGAGGCACGGAUGCCCCGAUUUGUAGGUGUGAGAGGUUGGCCUUGGACGAUUUCAAGCGGGGUAGGGGUAGACCGAAGAAAUACUGGAGGGAAGUAAUUAAACGUGACAUGGAGCACUGGGGACAUGGCCCAGGAUAGGAAGGUAUGGAGGAAAAACAUUAGGAUAGAGGGCUAAGGUGUGAGGUUGCAUCGUAGGCAAUAGUUAGGAGGGCUUUGGUGUCCUUGUUUGGCAGUGUCCAAUAUUUUUGGUGGAUGUCAUACCUAUGUUAUUUUAUCAUGUUCCAUGCAUUUUUUUUUAUAUAUACUGUCCUUUGUCUUGAGUCGGGGUUGUAUCGAAAACAGCCUCUCUACUUCUUUAAAGGUAGCGGUAUGGACUGCGUACACUCUACCCUCCCCAGAUCCCAUGAUGUGGGAAUAUACUGGGUUUAUUGUUGUUGUUGUGGAAAACUGAUUCUCAAUGUAAGCCAAAAAUUUCUUCAACAUGGAAAACACUUCAGAUUUGGAUCGAAGAAAAUACACCCAUGUAAACCAACUAUAAUCAUCUAUGAAUGUCACAAAGUACUAGAAAUGAGCAUGUGAAACAAUUGGUGAAAUGCCCCAAACAUCACUAUGAAUUACAUCAAAACACUUCGUAGCACGACUACCAAAAUCAAGAAAAGGAACAGUUUUACUUUUGCUUAAUUUACAAGUAGAACAAUCAAAGGAAGCAACUGAAAAUUGAUUUUUAUUUCCUAAUAGGCUAGAGUUUGAUAAAUGAGACAACACAAUUGAAUUGGGAUGUCCUAGAUGCUUAUGCCAAACCUCCGUCUUACUAGUUAUAGAAGUACAAGCAAAAGAUAGAACACAAGGAAUGGAAAAGUGCAUAGGAAACAAUCUUCCAACUUUAGGCCCCUUCGCGAUUAUCGUCCCCGACACCUGAUCCUGCACAAGGCAACCAUUACGAGAAAAUUUCACAUCACAAUUGUCAUCUACUAAUUGACCAACUGAAAUAAGAUUAGUGGAGAGCUUUGGUGAUACAAAAACAUUCUUGAAAGUUUCAAUAAUAUCCCCAACUUUGAUAAUGGGUAAAUUACUACCAUUGGCCACCUGAAUUUGUGAGAGAUCAUGAUACUUACGAACAUUUUUUAGCUCACUAGUUGAGUUGGUCAUAUGAUUGGAAGCACCAGAAUCAACAAGCCAAAGAUUAGAUGGAAUAUUGUUACCUUGUAGCCCCAAGACUAAAAGGGCUGACACAAUCAUUUGUUGUACCAUUUCAGGAGUAAGAACUUGUCCCGUUGCCGGAGUAGCAAAUUGGUUGUUAGUUACGGUUGAAUAUGAGUUAUCAGAAGUGGAACCAUUUAUCUCCUCUUGGAAGGCAUUGAUCCUACAAUUUUGAAGACAUAUGGGACAAUCCUUGACUAUAUGCCCGUGUUGUUUACAAUAAUUACAAAACUUCUUACCACAAUUGCUCCCAAUAUGGCCAUAUUGCUUGCAACUGUAGCAUUGAAUUUUGCUCAUAUCCCUACCCUUUCCUCUUCCUCGAGCAGCAAAUGCAACAGUCUGAAUGUUUUCUUGCUUGAAAGCAUUUUGUGUGAAAAGACGCUGCUCUUCACGAAGUAAUUCCCAAAAACAGAUAUCUAAAGAGGGAGACAGGUCUCGAUUCAUCAAGUUAGAACGAACACUCUCAAAUUCCGAUCGCAAUUUCAUCAAAAAUUGGUCUCUCUUGCUUUGCUCAUAAACUGCUUGAAUUACAGAGACAGAUUCGGCAGGUAGUUUAGCAUAAAUAAUAUCAGUUAAUUCAGCCCAUAAGUUCUAAAACCCUGAGAAAUAAUCUUGAAUGGAGAGACCUCCUUCAGAGUAAUUAGCAAUUUCAUGCUCUAGCUGAAAGCGCCUUGAGCUAUGGUCUUGGUUGUAAACCUUUUAUAAGUAAUACCACGUGGCCUUUGUUGUCUUGUAUGGCCUGAGAUUAAGGACAAUAAGAGGGUCAAUUGACCCUAAAAUCCAUAUCAUCACCCGGGCAUCUUAAAUCUUCCAUUGACUGAGCUUUGUCGGAUUGGUAGGAGCAGGAUCACUUCCAUCUAUAUGUCCCCGUAAUUCUUUUCCGGUGACAAAUAGUUGAAAUUGAAAUUCCCAAGCAUAGUAAUUUUUUCCGAUGAAACGAACAUGGAAGGACUCAAACUGAUGUGAUGCCAUGUUCUUGACUAGCUAAGGGAGAUAGAAAUGCAAUAAUACCAGAAUUACCAAGACGAAAUUCCUAAGAUGCUUAGGACAAACUGUUAACAGUAACAGUAAGCAAUAAGCAGAACCAAGACAUUCAAAAAAAAAAAAAAACUGAAAGGAACCACGGAUGAAAGAAAUCAAGAAUCAAAGCUGAAAAGAAGGCUCUGAUACCAUGUCAAUUUCGCUGAAUGAUCUCUCAAGUUGAGAAUUCUGUCAUUAAAUAGAAAGAAUUCUCCUUGUACAUCCCUAAAUAUCUACCAUGAAUCCCCUAAUAUCUGCCAUGUAUCCCCUAAUAUCUGUCAUUCCUAACUAUUAUAUCUCUAAGAAUGUCUCCUAUAUCUAAGUAUUAAAAGCUAUUUACAUAAAUAUUUACAAAUAUUACACAUAUAUAUAUAACUGAAAUCUGUAUGCUGAAAUCUGUCCAGAAAAUCUGCUGGACAGAUAUAUGUCUAUUAUCCUAACAUGCUAUAAUCUCUAUGGCAGUGCACUGUACAUUAUGUGUCAACAACAACAGCUUGGAAAAUCAAGGAUUACAGAAAUAUGAGCUAUAGAUUAAAGUAGUUACAAGAAGACUGUGACAACAAAUUAAUCAGGAAUCAACUGAUGAUUUUCCGUAAAGGGGAACUAAGAGAGGAAAAAGAAGACCGGUUGACAGAUAAAAAGAAUACUCACCUCAUUUUCGGCCUAUUGCUCGGCUCGGGGUGCAGUAACCAUAAGCAAAAUGAAGCUUCUUUAGGACAUUUCAACAGCAACUGAGGAGGGAGUACACGGUGUCUCAGACUAUUCAUAGUUGUGCUUUUCUCUUCUGGUGAGCUGAAGGUGCAGAAUAGCUGCUCAAAUUUAUAAUAAUCGUUAAAACACAAAGUUUGAUCUUUGCAGUCAUGAUAAAUAUAACUCAGCAGACCCUUUAAAAUGCGACAUGCUAGCUAACGAGUACUAACCUCAAAGAGAAGGACUCCAAGUCGGUAAAUGUCUGAAGCACAAGAGCUUGAAGCACCAGCAAUUUCUUCUGGACUAGUGUACCAAUUGGUUUCCAUGAGCAAUAUCUGUUUCAUUGGGAAGGUGUGCUGUUUUUCUUCUUCUUGUGUGUUUUUACUAGCUUCUAAAGCCUGAACCGCAUGGCCUGAGCUUGACUGCAAGUAACAGUUUUCAGAUACUCCGGUAGAAGCUUUUGCAGAAAUCUUCUCAAGCUGAGAACUUUCUCUCCCCAACACGUCCGACUCAUGAGGCAAAACUGAGGAUGUAUCGUUUAACUCGAUACUUUGGCUGUUCAAACCAUCUUCUGAUGAAUCUGACCCUGAAUCCGAGCAGGAUACGGAUUCAAUAAAAGCAAUACGUCUGAAAGAGGACAUGACAAAACAUGAUGGUCGUGCAUUAUGAACAACUAUUCCCUGUGAAUGUGCGAGGUUUACAAUCUCCACAAUUUGGGUGAAUAUGUGCAAACAUUCAAGAGCAUCAACAGCUCUCUCUGGGUUGUCAAGCCACUGCCUCAAACUAACAUCACUACAGUCUCUUCUACGACCACCUUGGUCCACAGUAAGCCUAUCCUCCACAACCCCACCUUGAGCUUUAAGGCAAUUUACACGAGGGAACUCAAUUCUCUCCCUCCCCUUUCUACCUGGAACAAAACCAGAAUCAUGCAACAAAUCAUCGGAGGACCUAAUGCUGCUUGUUUGAAAUCUAGUAUUCCUGUCCUCAAGAGCUGAAGAAUUCAAACCCCUAUAACUAUCUGAUCCCUCCCAACCAGAUUCAGAUGAACCCUCCAUUACUCUCUACAUAUAACUCAUAUGCAGCCCAAAGGCCACAACAUUUACCAGUUGGGAAAUCCUUAGAAUCCUAACACAUCCACAUCCUUUCACUUUCACCAUAGCCAAAUUGAAUCAAGAACACAUUUUCACAAACAGACAAACCAAACCAUCAUCUCAAAAGUCUCUCAACUUCAUAGUAUUCAAGGUAUCUAACUAUUUAGCAAGGAAAACAGUAUAAUCAAGCAAAACAAGAAAAGCUACCUAAGGUCUUCCUAAAGAGAGACAAACUCACUCUGAGAAGAAUCAGCAGACAGAAACCAAUAGCUCAUCAAAAUGCACAACAGCAUGCUAUAUGCUACACGUUUUCUUAAGGAAGAGAGAUAUUAGCUAUGCUUUUAUUUCAUCCAGAGCAAACAAAACAACAAGAACCACACACCAAAUACUUCAACUUUAAAGCACAAAACCAAAAAGUGUGCUUUAUUCCGAGGAAACACCACAGCCUCACAAUAUAGCCAAAAAAAAAAAAAAAAAAAACUAUUUUUUUCUCUACAAUAAAAAGUUAAACCAAAACAAAAAAAAAAAAAAAAAAACAAGCUUUUAUUAUACUUAUUUUCUUCCACAAAAAAAUACAUACAAGACAGUUGUUGUUCAAGACCUGAAGUUAAAAAAGAGUAUAAAAUUAAAAAAUCCAAUUCUCUUUUGGAUCACUCUAAAAAUUGUUUCUUUUAAAAAACACCAUGUGGGGACAGUAGAGGAAGCUCCCCAUUAUCUAAAACCCACUAGUUCCCUCAUGUAUUCUUUUGCAUGUACGUGGCUUAUUCACAUCCUCAAAGCACUUCCAAUAAAGAAGACAGGCAAAAUGGUAUUUUAAUCAACAACAGCAGCAGCAACAUACCCGUGAAAUCCCACAAGUGAGGUCUGAAGAGGGUAGAGUAAAGUAUACACACCAAACCAUUACCUCGGGAGGUACAGAGGUUGCUUCCGAAAGACCCUCGGCUCGAGUACAACAAAUCAAGUUACAAAAAAAUAUAGCAACUAACAAAGAAAUAGUGCAAAACAGUAUUUUAAUCAAAAAAGAAUAUCUUAAAACAGGUGGGGUUAGUAUGAAUAUUAUGAACAACAAGAAGGAUCUUCAAAGAGGGAUCUUGAAAUUAACAACUAAUAUUUCUAUUUUGGGUAUAUAAUCUUGGUUAUAAUUAUUACUUAAAAAUCUUUGUGAUCUUAAUGGGAAGUAUAAAACAUGCAUAAAAUAAUCAAGAUUGAGCAAUUAAAUAUUAUGCAACACAGUGAUACAAUGAAUUAACAAAUAGAAGUGCUCAAUGCUUACAUCAUUAUCAAGAUUUCAACUUUUCAUUCAAUCAAGAAACCCUAAACAUCAUGUAAUUCAGAGGCAAAAAAAAGGAAUCUUUUUUUAAACCCCUUUUCGUUAAAAUUGCUGAUUAUAGCUUUUUUCAAGCAAAGGAAAUAAAUGGGUUUCAAGUUUCAAUAAAUUAAACUCCAUGAAAAUGACUGGUUAAUAGACUAUACAGAAGCUAAUAAUUUUGUUAAGGAUGUUCAAACUUUAGUAUAUGUCCAAGUUAUUUCAGAAUAAUUUAUCACUAAGAUAUAAAUAAUGAGAUAAAAGAAUCUUACCCUAACUAAUAAGUACCUUCAAUCAAACGCAUCAUAAAACAAUCUUACACUUUAUUUCGAAAUCUUUGUACCUUAUGCCUCAUACCAAACGACUCCAAAAAGUUGGUUUUUGACCUAUGCAUGCAGUAUCAUUUACCAAGUACACACUAUAAUUUUUCGACUAAGAAUGUUCGACUCACCACCUUUUGAUCAGUGACAUUUAACACAAUCCAAAGAGCCAUUAUUUUUAUUUUUUGUUUUUGCAUUUGUUGUUAACAAGAGGGAACACUGAUGACAUUCCAAGUAUUGCUAAUGGUGGCUUAUUUGUUAUUGUAUAGAUUGAGUAGAAUACCACAGUAGUGUUACAGUGGCAUAAGCUGAUUUUUUUAUCUUUUUUUAUUUUUUGAUAAAGAGAGUAUAGAAUAAAAAAAAAAAAAGGCUCAAAAAUAUUCCUGAAUUAUUCGAAAUAGCUUAAAAAUAACCUUCAUUAGAUUUUUGGCUCAAAAAUACCUCUCCAUUAAAUAUUUGGCUAAAAAAUACCCCUCCCUCUAACGGAAUUCGAAAAAGGAUCAAAAAUACCCCUGAACUAUUUGAAAUUAAUCAAAAAUACCCCUCUGUUAAAUAUUUGGCGCAAAACUACCUCUCCCUUAACGAAAUUAAAUUAUUUCAAUUAUUUCUUUAAUUUAUAUAAAGUUCAUCAUUUAGUUUAUAUUUCGUUAAUUUCUUUAAGUGAAAAUUUAUAUUUCGUUAAUUUAUAUUUCGUUAAUUUCUUUAAAAAUUAAAAAGAUGUAAAGUGAAAAUACCUUUUUAGAAUAAAUGUAUGUUUAUUUUCCAAAUCAAAUUCAACUAAUUUAUAUUAUAAUUCAAACACUUUUUUUCAUUGUCUUGUUUUUAAAAUUAAAGAAAUACUUUUAUGUAAAAAAAAAUUAAAGUAUUAAGGUUAAAAAAUUAAAGAGGAUUUAAUUCAAUCGAAAUAAUUUAAUUUCGUUAACAGGAGGAAUAUUUUUGAGCCAAAUAUUUAACAGAGGGGUAUUUAACGAAAUUAAAUUAUUUCGAUUAUUUCGUUAAUUUGUAUAAAGUUCAUAAUUAAAUUUAUAUUUCGGUAAUUUCUUUAAGUGAAAAUUUAUAUUUCAUUAAUUUCGUUAAUUUCUUUAAAGAUUAAAAAGAAGUAAAAUGAAAAUACCUUUUUAGAAUAAAUGUAUGUUUAUUUUCCAAAUCAAAUUCAACCAAUUUAUAUUAUAAUUCAAAUACUUUUUUUCAUUGUCUUAUUUUAAAAUUAAAAAAAUACUUUUAUGUAAAAAAAUUAAAGUAUUAGGGUUGAAAAGUUAAAUUUAAGGUUUAAUUCAAUCUAAAUAAUUUAAUUUCGUUAACAGGAGGGAUAUUUUUGAGCCAAAUAUUUAACAGAGAAGUAUUUAACGAAAUUAAAUUAUUUCAAUUAAUUCGUUAAUUUAUAUAAAGUUCAUCAUUUAAUUUUUAUUUCGUUAAUUUCUUUAAGUGAAAAAUUAUAUUUCAUUAAUUUCGUUAAUUUAUAUUUCGUCAAUUUCUUUAAANNNNNNNNNNNNNNNNNNNNNNNNNNNNNNNNNNNNNNNNNNNNNNNNNNNNNNNNNNNNNNNNNNNNNNNNNNNNNNNNNNNNNNNNNNNNNNNNNNNNNNNNNNNNNNNNNNNNNNNNNNNNNNNNNNNNNNNNNNNNNNNNNNNNNNNNNNNNNNNCAUUUCAGAUAGUUCAAGGGUAUUUUUGAGCCAAAAAUCUAACGAGGGGCAUUUUUGAGCUAUUUUAGAUAGUUUAGGGGUAUUUUUGAACCUUUUUCCAAAUAAAGAAUAAAGUUAGUGGAAGAUUUUGCGGCAUAAAUUGAGAAACUUUUGACAACGUUGCAAAAAAGAUAAAAAAAAACUUUGUUAUAAUUAUGGGUAUUUAUUGAUCGAUUCAGUUCGAUUUUAUGUAUUAUUAAUUUAAUUUAUUUUAAAUAUUUUUUCUAAUUUAAAAUAAUUAAAUUAUUAAAAUAUGACACAUAUUUUAAGAAAAAAAAGAUAAAAGACAUAAAUUGAUCAUGUUUGUCUAUUUUUGCCCUUUUCGAACUCCAUAACAUUAGUAAUGAUCAUUGAAACUCAUCAUUUGAAAUUUCAUUAAUAAAGGGUAAAAUUAAAAAAAAUUUCAACAUCUAUCUUGAACAGCGAACAAUUCAAUUAUUUUGACCACUAAAAAAUAAUUCAAUAAUCCAAUUAUUUUGGAACGGGGAGAGUAUGUUAAAUCAAUAAAUAAGAACUUUUAUUGAUUUUUAGUCCUUAAUAAUUCAAUUUUCAAUUUAACCAAUAAAAAAAUACUCAUAAAAUAGAAAUUAUAGCAACUAACAUAAAAAGAAAUCGAAACUUAGUUGCGGCUAAAAUCCUACAUGUGCAUUUUAAUUUAAAAGAAUCUCCAAGAUUGAACUGAAUGUUAGUUAGAAGAAACUAAUAGUUUGUUUAAUUGAAAUAAUAGAUUUGUUAAUUUGUAGAAAUUAAAGAGAAAUUAAGAAAAAUAUAUAAUAAGUGGGAUUAAAGUAGUAAUUUAUUAUAUUUUAUUGGGUUUUGAUUUAUCCAAAAAAUCAAUAAGAAAAAAUCGAAAUCAAAUCAAUAACUCAAAAAAAAUUAUAAAACCAUUAAAAAUAUUAACACAAUAAUCCAAUAACAAUAAAUCAAUAGCAUUUUGUCGGUUUGAUUUUUAUACAGUCCUAAUAAUAAUAUGAGUUGUGGUGAGAUGAUUAAGUUUUCGAGUUCAAGCUUCUCAAAAUGUGAACAAAAUCCCAUUGAAGCUUAGCCUAAGAAAUGGGUUUAUAAUAUACAAAGUUGAAUUUAAUAAAAACUCAAUAUAGAUAGAGCUGUCAAUACGGGUCGGCUCAAUCUAUCUGGGCUAACCCACACGGGCUUUGAGUUUUACGGGUCAGGCUGGCUGGCCCAUUAUUUUGAUGGGCCAAAAAACACCAAGCCCACUCCAUUACUCUGUGGGCUGCGGGCCUUACGGGUCAGCCACUUUUUAAAAAAUAAUAUUUUAUAAUUAGAAUGUUAAUAAACAUAAAUAUUACCAGACAAUAUUACAGAGUGUUAAUACUUGUUAAUCAAGUCUUCAACACCCCAAAAAAUACUCCUAAUAGCGAAAUUAAAUAACUUUUGACAUGAUAUCCUUCGAAUCAAAUAAAAAUACUAAUAAACAAUCUAAAUAGUUGCAUGUAUUUGACUUAUGGGUUGACCCACGGGCUAGCCCAACCCACAUUGUUCAAGUCCCACAGAUCACAGGCUUAUCUGAGCUGAGCUAAAAAGCUCUGUUGUUAAAUGGGCUGCAAAAACUGAAGCUUAACUCCAUUAAAUUACAGGCCGAAUUGGAAACAUAGAUAUCCGACUCCAUGUCAAAAAUUAAAAGGGAGAAAAAUGCCUUGUAAUUUGGAGCAAAUAUUCUUAACACUAGCAAUAAAAUAAUUUUUACUUUGCACCAUCCAUUUAUGAUAGUAAUAUUUAUUUUUUACUAGUUUAUUCCAAAAGUAAUGACAUCUCUCUAAUUGUGAAAAUAAUUAAAUUAAAUUUCUCAUUUUAUUUUUAAUAAAAGAAAUUUAUAAUUACACUAAAAUUUUAAAAGUUUUAUCACUACAUUAAAUAUUAUGGCAUAUUUACAAUCAUAAGCAUUUUCGUUUUCUUUUUUUGUACAUAUUCAAACUUUGUUACGUAGAUGGUAAUAUGUCACUACCUGAGUCGAUGCUCUGGUCGCGACGGGCAUUCCGAACCAUCAAGGCCAGAGACACCCCUGUAACUCCCCAACCCACUAGUAAUAUUGUCCGCUUUGGGCUCAAGCCCGCACGGCUUUAAAAUGCGUCACUAAGGAGUAAGACUUUCUUACUUAUAUACCCACCAUCCCUCCUAUGUUUUGCCGAUGUGGGACUCCUUCCUAAGUUGGCGUGUUACAUAAUAUCAGCCAUGCACCUUUCAUGUUUGACUAGAAUAGUGUACGUGCGUUGCACGUGUAUCACAUGUUUUUUAAGAAUAAACAUAUCUAUAAAAUAUAUUAGUUUUGUGUGUGUUGUCUUUAAACCGCUAUAAAAAGGUAAUUCUUAUACUAUUUUUAUGAAUACAUUUAACGAAAAUUCAAUCAAUAAACCGCCUAACAUCACAAGAAUUAUCAAAAAAUCAUCAUCUAUGUAAACUCAACAAAACGCCUAACAUCCCUUUGAUUUUUUCUACCCAUCAAUUUAUCUAAAACAAAGAUAAAUCAAAUUUAACACAUAUGCAAAACUCUUCAGUUAAAAGAAAAUCAAUGUAAAUUCUUACCAUAUCAUACCUUUUAUUUUUUUAAAAUACUUUCUAAUAAGCAGCAUGACAAAAUACCAUCUAAGAGGCAAAAUACAUUCAAGGGAAGAGAAUAGAUUUUAUUAUCGACUUUCAAGUUGAAAUUAAACAACCGCGAUAUAAAAAUAUAUACAAGACAAAUUUUUGAUUAACUUUAAAACUCUAAAUUUUAGGAUUUGUGCUGUAGUUCUAUAUAAUAGAAGCACUGGUUUCGACCAGUGCUUCAUCAAUUUACCAUUUUACCCCUAAUUAUUUCGUGAUUUACUAUACUAACCCUAAUUAAUUAUUAUAAUUUAUUUAUAUAUUAGAAUUAAUAAUAUUUUUUAUUAUAUUACCCCUAAUUAAUUAGUAUAAGUCAUUUAUAUAUUAGAAUUAAUAAUAUUUAAUUAAAAAAGAUAUUUAUAACGUUUGUUUCAGUUGCUUUAAUCGUGAUUUUACUAUAUCAUCCCUAAUUAAUUAUUAUAAGCUAUUUAUGUAUUAAAAAAUAAUAAUAUUUAAUUAAAAAAUAGAUGACAUGUCUGCCUAUAUUAAACUUAAUUGCUCUGUGAUUUAUUAUAUCACCCCUAAUUAAUUAUUAUAAGUCAUUUAUAUAUUAGAAUUAAUAAUAUUUUUUUUACUAUAUUACCCUAAUUAAUUAUUAUAAGUUAUUUAUAUAUUAGAAUUAAUAAUAUUUAAUUUUAAAAAAUAGAUAUUUAUGACGUUUGUUUCAGCUGCUUUAACCGUGAUUUUACUAUACCAUCCCUGAUUAAUUAUUAUAAGUCAUUUAUGUAUUAAAAAAAAUAAUAUUUAAUUAAAAAAAUCAGCUGCUUUGUCAUUUAAUAUAUUAUCCGUAAUUGCUCUGUGAUUUACUAUAUUACCCCUAAUUAAUUAUUAUAAGUCAUUUAUAUAUUUGAAUUAAUAUUAUUUAAUUAAGAAAAUAGAUAUUUAUGACGUUUGUUUCAGCUGCUUUAACCGUGAUUUUACUAUAUUAUUCCUAAUUAAUUAUUAUAAGUCAUUUAUGUAUUAAAAAAUUAAUAAUAUUUAAUUAAAAAAAUCAACUGAUUCGUCAUUUACUAUAUUAUCUCUAACUGCUCCGUGAUUUACUAUAUUAAUCCUAAUUAAUUAUUAUAAGUCAUUUUUAUAUUAGAAUUAAUAAUAUUUUUAUUAUAUUACCCCUAAUUAAUUAUUAUAAGUUAUUUAUAUAAUAGAAUUAAUAAUAUCUAAUUAAAAAAUAGAUAUUUAUGAUGUUUAUUUCAGCUGCUUUAACUGUGAUUUUACUUCAUCAUCUCUAAUUAAUCAUUAUAAGUCAUUUAUGUAUUAAAAAAUUAAUAAUAUUUAAUUAAAAAAAUAGAUGACAUGUCUGUNNNNNNNNNNNNNNNNNNNNNNNNNNNNNNNNNNNNNNNNNNNNNNNNNNNNNNNNNNNNNNNNNNNNNNNNNNNNNNNNNNNNNNNNNNNNNNNNNNNNNNNNNNNNNNNNNNNNNNNNNNNNNNNNNNNNNNNNNNNNNNNNNNNNNNNNNNNNNNNNNNNNNNNNNNNNNNNNNNNNNNNNNNNNNNNNNNNNNNNNNNNNNNNNNNNNNNNNNNNNNNNNNNNNNNNNNNNNNNNNNNNNNNNNNNNNNNNNNNNNNNNNNNNNNNNNNNNNNNNNNNNNNNNNNNNNNNNNNNNNNNNNNNNNNNNNNNNNNNNNNNNNNNNNNNNNNNNNNNNNNNNNNNNNNNNNNNNNNNNNNNNNNNNNNNNNNNNNNNNNNNNNNNNNNNNNNNNNNNNNNNNNNNNNNNNNNNNNNNNNNNNNNNNNNNNNNNNNNNNNNNNNNNNNNNNNNNNNNNNNNNNNNNNNNNNNNNNNNNNNNNNNNNNNNNNNNNNNNNNNNNNNNNNNNNNNNNNNNNNNNNNNNNNNNUAUGACGUUUGUUUCAGCUGUUUUAACCGUGAUUUUACUAUAUCAUCCCUAAUUAAUAAUUAUAAGUCAUUUAUGUAUUAAAAAAUAAUAAUAUUUAAUUAAAAAAAUAGACGACAUGUCUGCUGCACCUGCUUCAACCAUAAUUUUUCUAAAUAUUGCUUAUAAUUAAUUAUUAUAAGUCAUCUAAGUGUUAAAAAUUUAAUCAUAUUUUUUUAAAAAUAAAAUAGACAUAAAAUGAUAAAUUAACUCUUGAUGUAUUAAAUUAAGUUGACCUCUUUCAACCGUGAUUUAACUGUAUCACCCCUAAUUAGUUAUUAUAAGUCAUUUAUGUAUUAAAAAAUUCAUAAUAUUGAAUUAAAACAUUGGUUUCGACAUGGCUGCUUCAAGAGUUGCGCCGUGAUUUUACUAUACACUCCUAAUUAAUUAUUAUAAGUUAUUUAUGUAUUAGAAAAUUAACAGUAUUUAAUUAAAACAAGAAAAAUAUGCGUUUAUGACAUGUUUGUUGCAGUUGCUUCAACCAUAAUCAUCUUUGAGAAGAUGAUCCAAGACUUUAUUGUUAAUUGAAGUAUCUUUUGUUCCAGUUUUUAUAUGAAAUAAUCCUAUGAAUAUUAGUUCUACAUCUUUUCUAUAUUUUGUAGCAGGUCUCAAUCUUAUCAUCAAACAAUUAAAAUAACCCGACUACACGACACAUCACACUUUUUUAGCAUGCGAAAAAAAACUAUCUUAUAAAACUUCACUCAUUAACGAGUAUCGUCAAAUAGUUAUUAUUUAAAAAAUUAUCAUUUUAAAUCAAUGCACAUUUAUGUUUGUAUCUCAUAAAUAUCGAAUAUUGGUGCUAAAAGAUGUCUAUAGUGUUGGGCCCAUGCUGACACGGGCCAUGCACCUCUAGUAGUCAAAUAAGGAACAAAAAUGUUGCUGAUUUUAAAAAUUUAAAUAAAUACUUGUAUCUACCAUAUGAAUCACCAUAAUACCAUAUAUAUGAAUCAUCCAAUAAUUAAAAUAAAUAAUUGUAUCUACCAUAUGAAUCAUCAUAAUACCAUAUAUACUACCCAUUAAUAUCAUAUGAAUAACCCAAUAAUUGAAAUAAAUAAUUGUAUCUACCAUAUGAAUCAUCAUAAUACAAUAUGUAUCACCCAUUAAUAUCAUAUGUAUCACCCGUCAAAAUCAUACAAAAUUUAUUUAUCGUAUGAAUCACCAUAAUACUCAUAUAAUAAUAUCAUAUUUAUCAUUCAUAUGAAUCACCAUUAAAAGAAUAAACAUGUAUGAAUAACUAAAUAAAUUUAUAUAUGUAUCAAUAGAUUUUUUAAAAAAAAAAUGGGAGAGAUUUUAGGAGAGGAAAAAAAGUUGCAUGCAUUAAUGGAGGAGAAAAAAAUCAGGAAGGAAGAUGAUUUAAGCAUUAAUGGAAGAGAAAAAAUCAGGAAGGAAGAUAAUUUAAUUAUUGAUAAUUAGGGAGAUAUUUUAGGGCAGAAAAUCUUAAAUGAGUUAAUGGUGGAGUAAAAAUAGGAUGUGGGGUUUUCUUGAUAUGUAUCAAGAGUAAAGUUAAAAAAUAGAAUUUUAUGUAAAUUUUUAAAAAAAUAAGGGAAUUAGUUAAUAUAUAUCUUAAGUAUGAAAUUUGUGUAAUUUAUCUAAAAAUAAAUUAGAAAAGUCCACAAAUAUUAAUUAUACUUUGUCUAAACUUCAAGCUUCCUUUUCUUCUCACUCUCUUAUACUACAUACCAUUAUAUCGAAAAAUUGAUGAAUAUAUACCAAAUCUUGAAGAGUAUCUUCCUUCUACAUCCAUUCAAGAAACGCAUGUCAAGCUUCGCUUGUAAUUUCCUCUUUUUUUCUUUUUUUCUUCAUUUUUCAUGCUUUAACACGUUUGAAGAUUUGAUUUUUUUUAACCCUUUUCGCCUUACAUUUUCUAUGUUUUGAUUUUCUUAAAACCUCUGUUGCUUUAUAUGUUCUAAUUUUUUAUUUUUGUUACCACUUUUGCUUUGCAUGUUCGAAUAUUUAAUUUUUUAAAAUCCAUUUUGCUUUAAUUUCUUGUUUCAGGUGUGAUUUGCUUGAUAUUUACAUAUAAUAUGUGUCAGGUAUGCUUAAUCUUGUCAAUUUUGAGUGUCUUAAUGUUUGCAUGUCAGAUGAGAUACUUGAAUUUGAGGUACGGAAUAAUAAUAGAAGCAGUUAAAUAGAAAUAUUGUCAACAUAUUGUAAUACCCCGUACCUUUUCCUAGCUUGAAAUUGUCUCAAAAAUGUUAGGAGCUUUUUUUGAAAGAUGAAUCCAUUUUUGUACACGUGGUAUUUUAAGAUUUCACAUUUUGUCAUGUGGGAAAUUGAAUUAGCUUUCCAACGAUACCAAUUUCAUCAAAAUCCGACAUCGAAGGAGAAAGUUAUGGCCAAAAUGCAGUAAAAAACCGCCCAGGUACGACGGUGAGGCUGACGGACCGUCAGACUAGCAACGGACCGUUGCCCAUGACCGUCCCAAGGGAAACAAUGAGGCCACCUUCUGGAUAAGAUGCGACGGGCAGGUUGACGGACCGUCGCUACUUAGGCAGUAAGCCCUUUUCUUGGUCCACAUACGACGGUCGAAACGACAGACCGUGGCACGAGCCAUCGUAGGUCCCGAUUCAGCAAAUUAAAGCCAUUUUAAAAGGAGCUUUUUGGUCUUUUACCACCCGUUUAUAUACCCAAUUGUAUCCGACCAAAGCUCAAAAAUUCAUUAUUCUUUCACAACAACAAAACUAGAGUUUUCUCUCUAACAUUAAUCUCCAAGAAUGAAAUCCAAAUCUUCUUCAAGAACUAGAGAUUCAAAUUCUUCAAGUUCAGGAACUUCAAGAAACUCAACUCAGGUAUGCAUAGUGUUCAUUCAUGGACUCCUUUCGUCCAUGAAGUCCAAGAAUCCCUUUUCCAACUUCAAGUUAUGGAUUUUCUUUAUGAUUUCAUGAUUGAGUUGUUCUUGUUCAUGUUGAUAAAUGAGAAAUUGAAUUUUACUUCAUGUUGGGUGAUAAUUUCUAUGUGGGUUUAAUAAUUAUAGAUAUAGAUUCAUGCAAACCUAUGACUAAACCCUUGAAUGAUGAAAUUAGAAUGUGACCAUGAUGUUUAAUUGUUGUACAAUGAUGUUUACAUGUACCAUGCCUACAAUAUAUUUGAUUUAAUGUCUAAAUGAAGGAAAAAUGCCUAACUAGCAUGUUGUCAUGAAAUCCCCAUGUAUGUACAAGCUUAUGCCUAUCACAUGUUUGAUGAAAUGCUUCAGUAAAUGCAUUAUGGUGAUUAUUAUGUAUUCAAGCAAGUCAUGCUUUGUCAGUUUCCUUCUAUCGAGUCCUAGGGGUACUAGUACCCGAAACAUUAACUGUGUGCCUAGAGCCAUGUCAUAUUUUCACGAUACUCUCAGUCAAGCUAUGAAUCCUUAGACUUCAGACAGUCUUGUGACUCAGGAAAUCUCCAUGAUCUCAUGAACUCGGUCAGUUGUCAGAUAUCAGUAGUAUUCCGUCAGUCGACAGAAUUCAGUAACUCAGCUCAUGUUUAGUUCAGUAAAUCAUGUUCAAUGUCUAUUCAGAUGGGAGUAGAAAUUAGCACCGAGUGAACCCAAGGAUAGGGACUUACCUAUUAUAUGAGGGUGUGAUUCUUAGAAGCAAUUCUUGCAUUCCAGAACUAUGUAGCCAGCAUAGGUUGAGAUAUCAUAGCCUGCUACAUGAGGGUAGAUGAGGUGGCUUAGCCUAUUAUAUGAGGGUUCCCACCGUUCUCACUAGAGUUACCUGUUAUAUUAGGGUUACUCACACGUUGUCCUUACCAAUGACGCGAUAUUGAUACCCUUCCAAUCAGGGUCAGGAUUGGACCCCAGCUCAGCUAUUAUAGCACAUUUGGGGCAUGUCGGUUAGAUAACUACUUCCCACAGUUUUAGUAUCAGUAUCAUUUAAGAACUUAGAUAGUUCUUCAGAUUUCAGGACUGUCAGAUACAGUCAACUCAGAUACAGUACGGAACUCAGCUAGUUCCAUUAGAUUCAGUCACUCAUGUUAUCAGUUAUAUCAGUUAUCAGUAAUCAUAUUAUCACAGUAUCAGUAUCAGUUUUUAUGUCUCAUGCAUGUACUCUCACGCUCAUGAUAGUUAGUCUGUUAUUAUAUUUGUUCAUGCAUAUAACCCCAUGCAUUCAGCUUACCUCACAUUCAUACCAGUACAUUCAAAGUACUGACGCAUUUGCGCUAUUGUGUCUUAUACCAUAGGGUCAGAGACACGAGUUCCAGAGCAGCAGUAGAUUCCAGAUAUCAGCAGUCAGAGUUAGAAGUGAGUCCUCAUCCUUCGAGGACAUGAUUAUUUCUCUAUUAUCUCAUUAAUUAGUUUAUUAGUUGGAGUUAGUUGGGGAAUGUCCCAUCAACUCCUUACUCAGACAGUUCAGUCAGUUAGAAGCUUUCCAGACUAUUAUGUCCAGAUAGUUAUUUCAGUUAUUUUGGGUAUUUCAUACCCUGUUUUAGAUGUUAUGUUUUACUUCAGUUAUGUGAACCUUAGGGCCUUUCAGUUCAUGUUUCUACAUUACUCAGUAUAUUAUGCAGUAUACAGGUACAAAUAUCAGUCAUGGGUUAGCUUGUGGUCCUUCGGGGUCAUAAGCACCGUGUAGCAUUCCGGAUACCAAAUUUGGGGCGUUACACAUAUAUUAUUGGGAGAUAGAAGAUACUUGAUAAAAUAGUUGAGAUGUGUAACCUAAAUCAUGCACCAUUAAUUCACGAAAAGAUAUAUGCAUGAAGGAUUUUGAACUUUGACUAUAUGAAUAGUAUAGCCGGGGGCGGACUCACUAUGGUUCAAGUGGGUUCAUAUGAAUCCACUUCGUCGAAAAAUUAUACCGUAUAUACUUGUAUAUAUAAUCAGUCCAACAGUAUAUAUUUAAAUUUGAACCCACUUCGAACUAAAUAAGCCGCUAGCCUAACAGAAAUAGGUUCAAAUUUGGAUGCCCACGUCGCGAGUUUGAACUUGGAUUGCAGCAGUUCAUUUUAUAAAAUUUUUAAGCAGUCCUUUCUAAUAACAGUAUAUAUUUAAAUUUGAAGCAACCUUAAACAAGUUAAGCCGUUAGCCUAGUGGAAGCGGGUCCAAAUCCGGAAGCCCAGUCGCGAGUUUGAACCUGGAUAUCAUCACUCUAUUUUAUAAAACUUUUAAGUAGUCUUUUUUAUAUAUUGAACCCAUUGGUGAAAAGUCUGGAUCCGCCACUGAGUAUAGCCAGUUCCAAGUGCACACACCUGAUGCACAAACAAAGACUACUUUAUCCUCAUAUUGAUUCCUAGUAUGAAUCUUGUGCUUUUCUUGUUUAUGAUGUGAAUUACAUCUGUGAUGAUAACUGGAGGCUUAACGGAGCAUACUUUAUGAUAUGGGAUUUUCAUAUGUGCAGAAAAUAGAAAUGUGAUCCUUGGGAUGUUACCUUCUAGUAAUGGUCCUCUUCUUUUCCCUGCAUUCACAGUUUAGCGCAUAUAAGGCAUGAUAAACAUAUAAUCAUUUAAGUUCUCCUGUUGAUUUCAUUUUGGAAUAUGUUUAGUGUGAGAUCGAAAUGGAUCUGAAUAGGUGAAACAAAUGCAGAUGAUUUGUAUAGCCGACCUGAAUUUUUUUGUUAUUAGGUGAUAGUUGAUUUAUUCGUUUGCACUUUGGAAUGUCAAUAUGAAAGAACAAAUUAUGUGGACUUCAUAUUUGUCACAUUUCUAAUUUGUUCUUCCAGGAGCGAUAACUCCAUAUUAAAAUGCGUCUUGUGAAAUGUCUGCUAGUUUUUAAUUGGCCUUAAGGUAAGGUGUUGUUGUCACCGAUUCCAUCAAGGUAUAUGCACAUGUAAUAAGAAAAUAAAAUGAUUUCCUGGAUUCUGUUCCCUUGGAACAUUUGUUGUUUGACUAAUCAUUUGCUAAAUGCUUUGGUUAGGACCUUAAGAAAUGGUUUUAUUUGAAUUGAGGAUUUCCAUCUUGAUAAUAUUCAGUGUAGAGAAUAAGAUAUGUCUACUUGAUACAUUCCAAAACUAUAUUGUUCGAGUUUUUAGUCGCGAGAAGUAUAUUACCCCCCCCCCAUUUCAAUUUGUUAGUCUAGUUUUGACUUGGUAUGGAGUUUAAGGAAAGUAACGAAGACUUUUGAAUCUUGUGGUCUUAAUCUAAAGAUAUGUAGAAUGUACCAAAAUGCUCUUUAAUUUUAUGGUCUUAAACAUGUCUGUGGAAAGUUGAAACUACAGAGGUGCUAGAAAGGGAAAGACGCAUUUCUCUUUGCAUUUUGGAUGCAGUCUGGUUAUUCUCUCUUCUUUUUUUUUUCCUUCAUAAGUCCUGAUACUUCAUUUUGGAAGUGAUUUGAACUGCUUCUUUUGAGUAGCUGUCAAUAGCAAUAUGUGGUGCAGAAAAUGUCGAAAUUCACUGUAUCUAUAUCAAAAUUCACUCAAUUUUCUUUAAUGACGCCUGAGAACUUACCGUGAUAUUUUAAGAUUACUAAAAUCUUGAUGAUCCUUCAUGUAAGAAGCAUUUCAACAGAAAAUUCUGACAUUUGUUGCACUGCGUUAAAAUUGUAGAAUCCCUGGAUCCAGACGUGAAGAUCUUGAGCCUUGAAAUCAAGUCCCCUGGUAGACCUGCUAUUGUUCUCCCAAUCCCUGAGGACGGGAAACCCCGGAGCCCAUGGUUUAUCAACAAUGAUCUAUUACUGCCUUGUAAUUAGCAUUUUAUUCAAACAAUUUGUGGACCUGCCUACCAAUUCAGAAAAAAAGAGAAAUGAAAUGCUUCAUGUUUGGGUGUCGUCAAGUAUGGUUAUCUUGGACCUUAUUUAAGAUAGGCAUAAGAGAAAAUCACUCUUUGGUCGCCAUAUAUUUCAUAGCAUAUAAUCCAUGAUUUAAGUGUAAAGUGAGCUGUUGGAACAAUUCCAAGAAUAGUCAUUGUCUUUUUUCUGCUUGAGCAAGCAACUUAGAGCCUCCAUUGCUUCUACCUAUUAUAGAAAUGCUGGAUUAGAGGAAGAUGAGAUCUUCGUUUCUGAUGGUGCCAAAAGUGAUAUAUCUCGACUUCCUGUUUGGUUUUCUCUGCAUUUAUUCGUCUUCUUCAAAUUACAGCCACCGACUUCCACUAACAGUUUUUCAAAUUUCUUGACUGUAUAUUAGGUUCUUUUUGGGUCUUAUGUUACUAUAGCUGUGCAAGACCCAUCAUAUCCGGUAAAUGUUUUAGGCUUUUACCUCUGUUCUUCUCCGUUGUAACAAAGUUAAAAAAAAUAGGAGUUGAAAGGCAACCAGAUGGUCGUCCAAGCUGUACCUGCAUAUUGUAGAUUUACGAUGUCUAUUUUGUUUUCUGAUUGCUCACAUCAUUGUGUGAUUUAAGUGAAGUGGUACUACAUUAUAACUUUAGCACAAAGUUGAUACAUAUUUUAUUACUUUCAUUAUUGCAUCUACUUGCACAUUUUCCUUUUAUUUGUUUGUGUCUUGAUCUGUCGGACUACUCCUUGUAUUGUUAUCAGGCCUUGAAACAAGGUUCUAAACUAAGCCUUGUUUGUGUUUCUACUGUAGGCUUAUGUGGAUUCAAGUGUUAUUAUGGGCCAAACUGAUCAGUUUCAGAAGGAUUUGGAAAGUACGGAAAUAUAGCAUACAUGAGAUGUACUCCAGAAAAUGGGUUCUUUCCUGAUUUAUCCAGUGUUCCUCGGACAGAAAUUAUAUUUUUCUGUUCGCCUAAUAAUCUAACUGGUGCGGCGGCGGCAUCAAGGGAGCAGCUGACUAAAUUGGUGCAAUUUGCUAUAGACAUGGCUCAAUCAUUGUUUAUGAUUCUGCAUAUGAUAUGUAUAUAUGUGAUGACAAUCCAAAGUCCAUCUUUGAGAUUUCUCGAGCCAAAAAGGUAAAUUCAGAUCAUGUUAUGAAAAAUAGAGAAAAAAUGGUGGAGAAGAGGAGACACCAAUUUGGAAAAUGUACUCCCAAAAUUGGGAAGUUCACUAAUUUUCCCACAUUGGUGGGAGAAGGAAACUUUGGAGUGUUUAUAAUUAUGAAUACUUACUUCACAUGUUAAGUGAUGCAAUAAAUAAGAGAUGCCUUGUGUUGUUAUUGUUGUUGCUAGCUUGGCUUUGGCUUCAGCAAAUGAUGGAUGAGAUCUAUUUUUUUGGAAAAACUUUAUUUGACGAAAUCUGAUCAAUACUCCAUUUAUAUGCAUGCAGUAACAGUGUUUCUUUUCGACUGAACUGAUGCAUGCACAGAACUGAUAUACUGUUUUUGUUUCGACUGAACAGAUGCAAUUCUUCAAUAAAGUGAUGCACUGUUUCGAACAGGUGCACUGUUUGGUGAAAUGGUAUACUGCUUCAGCAAAAAUGCAUUUUCAGAAACGUCACACCAUUUAAGUGCACCAAUUCCACCUUUUCGAAGAGGCAUCUGCUAGGCUAUAUAAACCUGCUUUCCUUCACAAGUUUUAAUACGAAAUUUUCAGAAUAAAAAAUCUCUUCUUUUCUUUACAAAUAUUUUGUGUGAUCAAUCAAAACGUUCUAUGCGUUCGAAGAAUCCGCCUAUUUGAGGUACCGCUGUAGUCGGAUUGAAGACCAUUUUAUCCUGGGAGGAAGAUUCCAUAACCUUGGGUAUAGUGAGAGGAAUUACUUCUUAAGGAAAGUCUGUGAAUUCGGACGACUUGGUCUUAUUCAUUUCUGUUUCAUCUAUUUUCUGAAAAAUAAAAUACACCUUUUGGAAAGGUCAUUUUGAUCUUGUAUUGAGGGUAUUUGAUAUACUUCAUUGUGUUCUUGUUUAUAUACUUGAACUUUAGUUUAAGUUGUUGUUUCUACUAGACAGAUUGUGCAUACCCGUAGAAGGAAAAUAACAAUCUUAAGGAAUAAGCACUAUUACAGAAUCUGUAUUGCUUGUUUUUGGAGAUUAAAGUUUUAACUUUCUACUCCGCCUGAACUUAACUAGUGAUUUGAAGUCAUAAAAACUUCGUCACAAGUUAAAGAUCAUUCAGUUGACAAUUGGAAGUGAUAAAAACUUCAUUGUUAACUAGAAACAAGGAAAAAAAGAUUUAAAAGUUGCUUAAUUUUUAUAAGUAGUAUUCUGAAAAUACUAAGUAUUUUUUGUCUUGUGGUGACAGAAAAAUGGCAACUGAAAGUCAAAUGAUGGAUGCGACAACGUCUGUGGGGGCAACUAAUAUUGCCACAUCAAGUCGCACAAAUGCUCCACCAACAAUGGCACCAGCGGAGAAGCCCGAAAAAUUUUCGGGCAUUGACUUCAAGCGGUGGCAGCAAAAGAUGUUCUUUUACCUCACCACUUUAUGUCAGCAACGGUUCACUAGCGAAGACGCUCCUGAGGUGUCUGAUGGAACCUCGGACAAAGACCGCUUCGUUAUUGUAGAAACUUGGAAACAUUCGGAUUUCCUUUGCAGGAGUUAUAUUCUGAGUGGUCUCCAAGACGACCUCUACAAUGUUUAUAGUGGAACCAAGACAUCAAAGGAACUGUGGGGGGCACUUGAACGAAAAUAUAAGACGGAGGAUGCGGGAAUUAAGAAAUUCCUUGUUGCACGAUUCCUGGACUUCAAAAUGAUAGAUAGCAAAUCUGUUGUCUCUCAAGUACAGGAGUUGUAAGUCAUCAUACAUGAUCUACUAGCAGAAGGGAUAUCUUUGAAAAAUACCUUAGUUGAACAAAUUAAAAAUGUUCUUAAUACUCACAUAAACUAUUUUGUAGGUUUAAUUGUGAAUGAUGCUUUCUAAGUAGCAACGAUAGUUGAGAAACUACUACCUUUGUGGAAAAACUUCAAAAACUACUUAAAGCAUAAACGUAAGGAGAUAACUGUUGAAGAUCUUAUUGUCUGACUUCGUAUUGAAGAGGAUAAUAAAGCUGCCGAAAGAAGGUCAAAGAGGAAUUCUACAAUUAAUGGAGCACAUAUUGUAGAAGAUGACCAAAACAAUUCUAGGAAAAGGAAGAAAGCUGAAAAAGGAAGCAAUCAACCCAAGAAAAAGUUUAAGGGAAAAUGCUUCAACUGUGGCAAGAUUGGCCACAAGUCCACAGAUUGUUGUGCCCCAAAGCAAGGCAAGAAGAAGGAUCAAGCAAAUAUGAUUGAAUCAAACAAAUAAUGCGAUGAUAUGUGUGCUAUGUUCUCAGAAUGCAACUUGAUGGCGAAUUCUCACGAAUGGUGAAUGGAUUCUGGUGCCACCUGUCAUGUAUGUGCCAACAAGGAUUUGUUUUCUUCAUUCGCUUCGGCUUAAGUAGAAGAAAUGGUCUACAUGGCUAACUCCGCUACAGCUAAGGUAGAAGGAACAGGAAAAAUUUGCUUAAAGAUAACUUCCGGAAAGGUCUUGACACUUAACAAUGUCUUGUAUGUUCCGGAGUUAUGUAGGAAUUUAAUUUCUGUUUCACUUAUAGACAAGAACGGAUUCAAAUGUGUAAUCGUUUCUGGAAAACUUGUAAUUAGUAAAGGAGAAAUGUAUGUAGGAAAAGGCUAUCUGACCGAAGGCCUUUAUAAGAUGAAUAUAAUGACUGUUGAAAUAAAUAGAAGUUUGAAUUCUUCUUAUUUGCUUGAGUCUUAUGAUUUAUGGCAUGAACGUUUAGGCUAUGUUAAUUACAAAACGUUACGAAAACUGAUUAACUUAGAAGUUUUGCCAAACUUUGAGUGCAAUAAAUCAAAGUGUCAAACGUGUGUGGAAUCAAAGUAUGCAAAGCAUCCUUAUAAGUUCGUUGAAAGGAAUUNNNNNNNNNNNNNNNNNNNNNAUAUUUGUGAUAUGAAGUCAACACCAUCUCGUGGUGUGAAAGAGUAUUUCAUAACUUUUAUUGACGAUUGCACUAGAUAUUGUUAUGUCUACUUGCUAAAUAGUAGGGAUGAAGCAAUAGAUACGUUUAGGGAAUAUAAAACUGAAGUUGAAAAUCAGUUAGACAAAAAGAUCAAAAUGAUAAGAAGUGAUAGGGGCGGAGAAUAUAAAUCUCCCUUUGCGCAAAUAUGUGUAGAGAAUGGAAUCAUCCAUCAAACUACGACCCCAUAUUCACCUCAAUCUAAUAGAAUUGCGGAAAGAAAAAAUCAAACUUUGAAAGAAACGAUGAAUGCCUUACUUAUAAGUUCUGGUUUACCGCCAAAAACUUGUGGAGGGAAGCUAUCCUUACGGCCUACCGUAUACUCAAUAGAGUUCCCCAUAGUAAGACAUAAUCAAUUCCUUAAGAUAGGACCUAAAACGGUGGACUGUGUGUUCAUAGGAUAUGCUAAAAGUAGUAAAGCAUGUCAAUUUUUGGUUCAUAAAUCCGAACAUCCGGAUAUUAAUGAAAAUACGAUAAUUGAAUCAGAUAAUGUUAAAUUCUUUGAAAACAUUUACCCGUAUAAACUUAGACAUGAACAGUCUAGUGGAGGAUAUAAACGACCUCGUGAUGAACCAAUUGAGAAUGAACAUAAUGAAGAAAAUCCAAGACGUAGUACACGUCAAAGAACGUCUACUUCAAACAUUUAAGGAAGCGAUGACAUCUUCGGAUUCAUUCUUUUGAAAAGAGGCAGUCAACAGUGAGAUAGAUUCAAUCUUAAGCAACCAUACAUGGGAAUUGGUUGACCUUCCUCCCAAAAAUAAACCUUUAGGUUCUAAAUGGAUCUUCAAAAGGAAGAUGAAAGCGGAUGGUACUAUUGACAAAUACAAGGCAAGACUUGUAGUAAAAGUCUUCAAACAAAAAAAAGCACUUUAUUCCUUCGAUACAUACUCGCCAGUAAUAAGGAUAACAUCGAUUCGAAUGUUAAUUGCCUUGGCUGCGGUAUAUGGUCUUGAAAUCCAUCAAAUCGAUUUGAAAAUCGCUUUCCUAAAUGGAGAAUUGGAGGAAGAAAUUUACAUGGAAUAACCUGAGAGUUUUGUGGUUCCAGGGAAGGAGAAUAAGGUGUGUAGACUUAUUAAGUCAUGGUAUGGACUAAAGCAAGCACCUAAACAAUGGCAUGCAAAGUUUGACCAAACCAUGUUGGCCAACGGAUUCAAAAUAAAUGAAUGUGAUAAAUGUGUUUAUAUUAAAGACACUCCAAAUCACCAAGUCAUUGUAUGUUUAUAUGUGGAUGAUAUGUUGAUCAUCAGUAGAGACAUUUCUGACAUAAAUGAAACAAAACGAAUGCUCGAGAGCAAGACCUUAGAGUUGCAGAUGUGAUCUUAGGUAUAAGAAUCCGUCGAACUCCACAAGGGUUGGCAUUGCCACAGUCUCAUUAUAUAGAAAGGGUACUUGACAAGUUCAAGUAUAUGGAAUUCGAUAUUGCCAAGACUCCAUUGGAUGCAAGCUUUGCACUUCAAAAAAAUGAAGGUGAAAAUGACUCGCAAUUGAAGUACGCAAGAGUAUUGGGAUGUUUAAUGUAUAUAAUGAACUGUGCACGACCAGACAUAGCAUGCACUAUCAGUAAAUUGAGUCGGUACACGAGUAAUCCCAACAAAACUCAUUGGAUGGCAAUGAAAAGAGUUUUGGGGUAUCUUAAAUACACUCAAAACUAUGCUUUGCGUUAUAAUAAAUAUCCUACGGUACUUGAAGGAUAUAGUGAUGCAAAUUGGAUCACCGAAUCGAACGGAGUAAAAUCCAAAAGUGGGUAUGUAUUUACUAUUGGUGGAGCAGUAAUUUCUUGGAAAUCAUCCAAACAGACUUGUAUCGCUCGUCCUACAAUGGAAUCUGAAUUUAUCGCAUUAGAUAAAGCCAGUAAAGAAGUAGAAUGACUCUGGAAUUUCUUGGAAAAUAUUCCGUAUUGGCCCAAGCCAGUGGCACCAGUAUGUAUACACUGUGAUAGCCAAGCGGCAAUAGGUAGGGCAGGGAGCAUGAUGUAUAACGGUAAAUCUCGUCAUAUAAGACGAAAACAUAAUACGGUUAAAGAACUUAUCUCUAGUGGAAUUAUCACUGUAGACUAUGUAAAGUCAAAGGAUAAUGUAUCGGAUCCACUUACAAAAGGCCUAACUAGAGAAGAGUGGAAAGAACAUCCAAGGGAAUAGGUUUAAGGCCUAGGAUGAGUCAGCAUGGCGGUAACUCUACCUAGCAGAUUGGAGAUCCCGAGAGCUAGGUUCAAGGAUAUCAAACAAAGUUGUGCCUGACAGGUUCAACAUUGUCAAAUACCCAACCCAUUCUCAUGAUGUAGACAAUAUUUAGUAAACAAAGAUAAGACUUUAGGUGAACAGUCUUUUAAUGAUUAUCUAAAUUUGGCAGAUUUGAUCAAAUAGAUUAAUCUACAUAAUUGAACAUUUAAAAAUCACCUAUGCGAGGGCAAAGUGGAAGCCGCUUCAAGGAGAAUGUUAGUAAAGGCCUAUUCUCUAAGCUCUCAUGAAAAUCGAGACGUGUUCAUGGCUGAAAAGAACCAAAUCGUAAGAACCAUAAACGUUAAAAGGCUGGUUGUAUGACAUGUGUUGUCUAGGUGUACAUUAAAGCUCGAUGGUUCAAAGAUAUUAAAUCUACCGAUUGACCGAGUGCAUCCGAUGCAUGUUCACUACGGAAAGUUCAAAGGGAAACCUGCUUAUCCAUAUGCGAUCAGUCUUUGCUUGAUGAUCACAUACUUGUCCGUAAAAGUUUUACGAAAAAUAGCCAUUCCCAAUUCAUGUGGGGGAUUGUUGGGUUCCUAGAAGUGUGAAUGGAAAAUGGAGAAAAAAUGGUGAAGAGGAGGAGACACUAAUUUGGAAAGUAUACUCCCAAAAUUAGAAAGUUCACUAAUUCUCCCACAUUUGUGGGAGAAGGGAACUUUGGAGUGUUUAUAAUGAUGAAUACUUACUCCACAUGAUAAGUGAGGCAAGAAAUAAGAGAUGUCUCACGCCGUCGGCGGCGGCGCUCGCUCGGUUUCGGCUUCGGCUUUGGAUUCGGAUUCGAAUUUGAAAAAUGAUCGAUCGAUGAGAUCUAUCUUUUUGGAGAAAAUUUAUAUGACGAAAUCUGAUCAAUACUCCAUUUAUAUGCAUGCAGUAACAGUAACAGAAUCUGCCUAUUUGAGGUACUGCUAUAGUAGGAUUAAAGGCCAUAUCCGAAGGCCAUUUUAUCCUGGGAGGAAGAUUUCAUAACCUCGGGUACAGUGAGGGGAAUUAUUCCUUAAGAAAAGUCCGUGAAUUCGGACGACUUGGACUUAUUCAUUUCUGUUUCAUCUAUUUUCUGAAAAAUAAAAUACACCUCUUGGAAAGGUCAUUUUGAUCUUGUGUUGAGGGUAUUUGAUAUACUUCAUUGUGUUCUUGUUUAUAUACUUGAACUUUAGUUAAAGUUGUUGUUUCUACUAUAUAGAUUCUGCAUACCUGUAGAAGGAAAAUAACAUACGUUGCUUACUAUAAAGAUCAAUCUUCUUCCAUUUCUCUUUAAAUCCCAUUACAACCAUGCCUCAAUUCCAAGCUACUUAGUGCCUAUUUGGCCAUGAGAAUUUUUUACUUUCUUUUUUUUAUUUUUUACCAUGCACCUCACAAAGGUAGGGGUAAAGUCCGUGUACAAUGCAGCCUUCCCAGAUUCCACUUGUGGGAUGACUCUAGAAUUGUUGUUGUUGGGUUAUAGAAGAGCUAAGUACUCAGACUUCCUAUUAAUAAUUAGUUUAACGUUCUUGGAGCUGACCUGUGUUUUUAAAUGCACUUAAUAGUAACUUGAGCUAUGAAAAAAAGGAAGGCAAAAUCAAAGCCACCUCCAAAGAAGAGGAUGGAUAAACUUGACACUGUUAUUGCUCAGAUAGAUAUAGUGUAGUCCUUAAAUCACAAAAUGCGAUGACAGAAUUUUCUAUAGAAAACUUUUCUAGCAACACAUCAUCUAUUUCUGAGAAUUUGCCCCCAUAAUGUGAUAGUUUUUCUAUCACACCUUUAUUUUUCAAUUACAAAAAAUAAGAUUAAAUUAUUAAAUUAAUAAGACAGUUUAUGUAUUAAACAAAUCCUUCUGUGAAGAGCUUAAAACUCACAAAAAUGUCAAAAUAGUAAAAUAUUGAAUUUAUGGCAAAUGUUAAUUGGUUGAUGAAAGUUAAAUGAACUACCUAAAAUUGUUUCCUUAUUAAUAUUUUAUACAAGUAAUAAUAUCUAGUAUGUGAAUGUAUAUUUAUCUGUUUGUUGAUGUGUGUGAAACUAUCAUAGGGUUACUUAGUCACUCUCCUUGGUUGUUUAUUGAAUAUCAGAUUUGGUGAAAGUUUGUGUUUUCUGUAAUGUUUUUGUUACUAAAGCAUCAGAAUAUUAGCUUUAUAAUUUCUUUUUGUGGGGUUAUGGAAAGAUGCAAUCGUUUUAUGAUUUAGAUAGCUUCAAGCGUAUUUGUUUUGGUUGUUUUCUGAAUGUCUGAUAUGGUGAAAGUUUAAUGUUUUCUAUUCACAAAGCACCAGAAAAAAUAGCUUUAUAUAUGAAAAAUUAAAAAACAUGUGAGGUUUGAAAAAAAAUAAUAUUACCUCCUCGUCAACUAAUAUCACCAUUUUUCGAGAACCACCGUCAUCCUUAAACAGCUUCAUUGGCCCACUUGCGAUAACCAAGACUUUGAUCAUAUCCAGAUACAGUCUUUUGACUUCAAGGUGUUGAUACCCACAACUUCGGUGAUAGGAUCCAUUGUAAUAAUCUUUAAGAAAAUAGAAGUUAGAACGAUAACAACAUAUAAUUUCAUAACAAAGGUAAACUUGUGAGAUGAGAAGAAUUAUACCUAAAUAUAUGAAUCUACUUGGUAGAUGGGUAGAUAAAGAAAGUUAUGAGCAAUAGAAAUUAUAAUAUAUUCUACUAACAGGACACAUAGAAUGAUAAGAACGUAGAAUUUUAUAAUAGAGGUAGAUUUGUGAGAUGAGUAGAAUUAUACCUGAAUAUGUGAAUCUUUUUGUAGGUUAGUAGAUAAAGAAGGUUAGUUAUGAGCAAUAUAAAUUAUAAUAUAUUCAACUAAGAGGACACAUUAAGGAAAUAACAGAAUCUGCGAGAAGCGAAAUAGUCUAAUAAAUAUGUUUGCUAAUUUAAACUAAGCAAUGUAAGCUGACAUAACAAUUAAUAUAUUGUAUGUGACAUAACAAUUAAUAUAUUGUAUGUAAAUUAACAAUGUAAAAAGGGAGAGAUGAUAUAACGACAAAAAUCUGAAAUUAAAAUAAAAUGGUCGAAACUGUGUUGAGACGAAGACUGAUGAAUAAUGGUAAAUCAACUAUGAACAAUGAAAAACCACAAUCGUUUAUAAUAAUGAACAAUGAAAAAAGCUCAAACAUUUAUAUAGAAGGACGUAAUGUAUAAAACCAAAGAAGAGAUCAAAUAGGCAAACCAAAUAGAACACAAAUUUGGAUGGAAGAUAAAUUUGAAAAAGAUCAAAUAAAACAUAAAUUUGGAUGAAAAAAAUUCAGUGUUUUUUGGUGAAACCAAGUAGGAAGAAAACGUGGAUGUAUUUUUGUUGAAAGAAAUCAAGUAGGAAAAAAAAAUGGGUGUUUAUUUUGGUGAAAUAAAUCAAGUAGGAUACAAAUUUGGGAAAAAUUUAAUUAAAGGAAAAUUUUAGUAUACUAGGACCAAAAAAAAUGGAUGUUUUAACCAAGUAGUGAAAAAUACGGGUGUUUUUUUUGAAAAAAAAUUGGGUGUCUAUUUUGGUGAAAUAAACGAAGUAGACACAAAUUUGGAAAGAAUUUAAUUGAAGGAAAAAAUUAUUAUAUUCAUUUUGAAUAAUUUAAUUGCAGGGAAAAAGGUAAAAGACAAUACAGAAUUUUAUUAAAGUUUAAAUUUUAUGCCAUUUGUAUUUUGUUUCCCAUAUUUCCCUGUAAAAUUAGGCAUGUACGAUUUUUAUAUGGAGGCCAUAAUAGCUAUUUUUUUCCCGAGAAAAUAUAAUUGUUUAAACUAAUUAAUAUUCUCCACAUUUUGCAAUCUAAUCACGUAAUAACCGUGACUCUGUUCGUAGUCCAAACAUUAGUAUGUAUAUUUUUCUCAUACCAUAUAUUUUAAGAUUUCUUAAAUAUUAAUUUUUCUAAUAUUUUUUACUAGAUAUUUUUUAUUACCAAAUAAUAUAGAACUCUUUAAUUUUUACAAAAAUAUUUUUCUCUUACCAAAAUAUUUUAGAGCCCUUAAUUUUAAAUAUUAUAAAAAUAAAUAAUAAUUGAAGAAAAUAAAUAAAAAAAUAAUUUUAUCUGUUGCAGACUCUUUUAAUGAAGGGUAAAAAGUUCAAAUCACUUUUAUAAGGGUCUUCACACUUUUAAUAUAUUAUUAUUAUUAUAUUAUUGUAUUAUAUUACUAAUAUAUUAGUAUUAUUAUAGAUAUAGAUUUGUUGGUGCAAUUUGAUUGACAUUUUAAAAAAAAUAAAACGAAUAUCUUUGAUCACUUUUAUUAUUAAUUGUUAAUUGAGCAUUUUUUUUUUUCAUAUACCUUAAUUCGGCAAAAUAGUUACGUAACUUUGAGAGAAGGGGUGUCUCGUCACAAAGGGUUCCAGGUGAUCAGGCUCGGGCGUUGCAAAAUCAUGUAUGAGGUAUCAUUUGCGAUCUCAGAUGUGUCGAUAUCAAUGGUGUAUCAUUAUUUUGAAGAAUCAUUUCUUCGGACAUAAGAAGAUUAGGUAAACAUUUGCUCGAAAUCUCACUGUGUCAUUAGGUCCUUGUUUAAGUAUCAUUAAGUUACUUCUUGUUCUUCCAAUACUAUGUUUGAUACUAAUAUCAAAGGUCAUAAAUAGACUUGUUUUGGAACUAACCAUUUCCCAUUAUAGUAUACUUUAGUUUUAUGUAAUAAAAAGGUUCAUGCCUAUGGAUCCCCGAUUCAAUUUGUUGAGAAGGUCAUGAUUGUUGAAACACUUGAAGCUAUAACGAUUAGAGGGUUGAGCAAGACCCCUCGCCUGUCUGACCUGCUUUCUGGCUAGCUUCUUAAUGGCAAGCACUACCCUAACCUAGCUAGUGCGACAUCUUGGUAACGUCGUCUGAAUUGCCACACAAGUGCUACAUCUAUAUGGCAAGACUGUCGACCUUCUUCAUAUGGCAACCGCUAUCCAUAAAAGAAGGUAGAUACCGCCUCUAAAUGUGUGACAAAUGAAUAAAGAGGUAUCACAGGCACUACCACGGAAUCCCUUCAAAGCACUUGAAUGUGGUACCACAUAGCUAAGCUAGUUUUUUUCAAGUAUCAUAAGAACAACUUUUCCCAGGUUGGUUUGUAAAUUGAAUGCUGACCGGGCCUGUUUGGACAUAUAAGAAUUUUUGAGUAUUUGAACCGGUCAUUCUUGCCCAGAGACACAAGAUAUCUUAGCUGCAAGAAUGACACAAUGUCUAGAGAGAGUUACAUUGUUUAAAUAGCAGAAAACAAGGAAGAUUUUUUCCUAAUAAAUUCUUCUACAAAUGGCUAAAAAAAAGACCCGGCGCUAUAGUUCCUUGAACAACCUCUGUACAAACUCUCCCUCACCCUUUUCAAAUUGACUCAUUUUACAAAGAUAAUACUAACUACUUAUGAUUUUCCUAUAGUCUGGCUUCUCUUUUCGCUUAUUUCUUGGCCGCUUUGCUCUCAGUUGAAGUUUCAACGGCCAGAAACAAAUAAUGAAUUGGCUGUUAAUUUGUUCCCUUCAACCUGAAUUUUCUUUGCUUUUGCCUUGUCCAAACGUGCUCGUCUUACAGCUUCUUGGAUGUGGCGAUCGUGAUCUUUCAGUACUUGAUCCACUUUGCCUGAUGGAACUAGUAGUGGUCCGGAGUAGUGAAUUUUGUUGCCUUUUGAUCCAUAUCCCAGCUGGACAUUAAAAAAGUGAGCAAAUCAGCGGCUAAAACCAUCAUCGGAUUUGAAAGCAUAUUAUGCUGUACAGAUGUAUAAAAGAAAGAACAUGUUGAUAGGCUCUUACAAGAACAGGAUCGUUGCUGCUGGUUUUACCAUCCUCGUUUUGAUGUGAGUUGGCAAGUGCAUGAUUUUUCUGCUCUUGUUUCAUCGCGGAAUGUGAAACCUCUUUGAAGGAUCCAGGGAACCUGGCUAUAAGUUUAGGAACCUCCUGUUUGUGUGGACCGGACUUAUCUGACCGAUCUUCAGAGAACAUGCUUCUCCUUGCAGCUACUAGCCCAGACAUAGCUGACAAAUCUGCUACAGAUAGUUUUGGGGCAUCAUCCAUAUUUUUUCCAGCUUUUGCCCAAGCAGCUCGGUGAGACAAUGGCCCGGAAUGGGAGCCUCGCUUGUGUAGCUGUGCCGAGUGAGGAUCAUUGCUUGCUUCUUCCACAACUUGAGAUGGUCUAGGGGGGUCAAUUGGAAAACCGGAGGCAACUUCUUCUGGAUGAGAGUUAAACAUCUCGCUUCUGCUUUUUGAAUUGGAUUGACCUUGUCUUUUCUGCAGAGAGAGCACCACACCACAUGAAUAUGGAACAAAACGACAGAAUUAACAGAAUUUGUACUUUCAAGGCUUGAAUUGGCAAACCAAAGGUAAAUGCAAAACAAUGGCUACCAGAACAAAAAAAAUAAAAAAGCAUAAAACUCACAAUGAAGCCACGAUAGAAGUACACACUUCUCUUUCAUGCUCUCAUGUUUUAAAUGAAUAGAUUUUCAUAUGCUCAACUCCCAUACUAUCAGAAAGGAAGAAAUGGACUGUUGUGACAACAUAAUCCCUCUGUCCUGUUUAAUAUGACACACUUCCCUUUGUAGAGUUUGUCCCUAUCCCAAAUAUAGCAUCAUUUCAAAUUUUUGGAACAGCGUAACUUUAAACUUGCUAUUUUACUUGGAGUUGACUCAUAAUGGAUUGCUUGCCUACGAAGCCUCCUGGCUUUCACUCCUCCAAUUAGACCCUUAGGCUCGUUUGGUACGAGGGAUAUGGAUAACUAAUCCCGAGAUUAAUUUUAGGAUGAGUUCAUCCCAUGUUUGGUUGGGAUAAUAUAGCGGGAUAACAUAUCUCGGGAUUGUAGUGUUAUUUUUAUCCCACAUUGAGGGUGGUAUAACAAAUCCUGGGAUAACUACUCCGGGUGUAACUUGGUUCCCGACCAACGAAGCUGUUAAUGGGAUGAGUUAUAGCCAUACAAAUGCCUAUGGCUUGUUUUAUGUUUUAGGCCAAGUUUCAAAAAUCUUUUUUUACCUAUACUCCGUUCCAGUCAAACACUGCCACAUAAAUUAGGACAGAGGUAGUAGUAAUCUAUGUUGCUCGGACUCUUCAAAAAUGUCAUCGGGUCACCGCAACUUAGGUAGUAAUUUCAUGGCCUAAUAAGUAAAUAUUCCAGGGUAACUUGAGUUACUCAAGCCAGGGACUCAGAAAGUGCAGUUCUACUCCAAGGACAAAUCAAUGUCAACAAGCUAUGGUAAGAAAAUUUACCUGCAUAGAGGAAACUAGUUCAGCAUUGGCUUCGGGUGCAGGAACUGCACGCGAAUCUCUUGUUCCUCUCCUUUCUGAAUCAUAUCUAUGACCCUUAGCUCCAGCAGCCGCUUGCCUAAAUAUUUGCAAAGGCAGUUAGAUUAUCAGUACAUAAAUAAGAGCAAAUCAAUCAGCACAAAUAUCAAUUAUGUCUUGAUGCCCUUUUUUUACUGAAUUCUGGAGCACAUUGAAUAAGGAAGCUGGAUAAAUCAUAUUUAUAUUUUCUGCUACUUUUACCUUCGGGCUUCUUCAUCCCGCACUUUUGCAUCAAAUUCCUUGCUCGGAGGAUAUUUUGGCAAGCUUGAAGGAUCACAAGGAAGUGGCUUUGUUGUAAAGAACUGAAAUAAACAGGCCUUUUUGAGAGGGGGGGAAAAAAAAGGCAGGUUCCAUAAUGAAAAUUCAGAAAAUUUGUCUAAUCAUUGCCAUUCGGGCUACAUAGCAUAAAAAAACAACAUACAAAGUAGAUGAUUGUAAGAAAUUUCAAGAGAAAGCACCAUUAUCAAUGGUUGUUCCAGCACAAAUGAUAGUUCGCGAGAUGGCACGUUAACAUCUUCAACAAAGUGAAUGUCCUAGUGAUACAGUAAGAUUUUAUCUUUAAGAAACUUCAUACCUCACUCUUCAAGGCAGAGGCUGAGGACCCACGAUCAGCAGGAUCUAUGGACAGCAAGGUUUCUAUGAGUGCUAGUGCUGGUACAGGGAACUCUUUAAAUGUUUCUGCAACACAGCGCCUAUAAGGUUGUUGCGGCUUGAAAAUUGUUGCAUGUGGCAACCUCGAUUUCCUCCAGUAUUCCUCGGAAGGUGAUCCACACAGUUUGAAAAUCUUAUGAAGCUGUUCAACCUACACCGCAGAUUAUGCACUUAAAAUUUAUUAACAUGUUAAGCUUGAGCACAAGGUCAAUAGAGAGAAAAUCAUACAAGUAAUACAAGAGAAGAAACUACAGAUAGGAUAAGUAACAGGCCAGCAAUAUCAAGUUGAAUAAAAGACGCAACUAAUGAAUGUUCUCUAUCAGAGAAAGUUGUAACCACCAUAGACUAUUCAUAACAUAAGAACACAGAUGCACCUAACAGGAUGAUAAGAUAAAUUAUCUGUUAAGGAGUGCAAAUAAAAAAGAAGUAUAUAAGAUCACAUGAUACAACGCCUAUUACAUCUGACUAGGAUGCCAUAGAACUGAAUCAGAGGUCAAACUUGAGAAGAUUCUUUUCAAAGAUGCAUCAAAAUUCCAGUGUCGCAACUUCCUUGCAUUUAAGUACCAAAGUAACACCAAUAUCAUUCAUAUCCCCGGAACUGCCAAGUGUAACUUACCUACCAGUUAGUGAAGAAAAUGAAGACAACCAUUCAUUGAGCAACACCAAUUUGUUGGGAACAAGCAAAAAAACCAAAAGACUAACAAAGAACAUACCUCUGUUCUUCCUGGCAUUAUAGGCUUGCCGGCAUAAAGUUCUGCUAGUAUGCAACCAGAGCUCCAUAAAUCCACAGCAGUCCCAUAGUAAGUAGCACCAAGUAGCAGUUCAGGAGGCCGAUACCAGAGAGUCACUACACGGCUAGUAAGAGGCUGGCUUUGAUGAGGAUCAAAAAAGCUUGCUAGACCAAAGUCAGCGAUCUUUAAUAUGCCAUUAUUGUCAAUUAAAAGGUUGGAACCUUUUAUAUCACGAUGUAAAACACCACGACUGUGACAAUGAUCAAGUCCACGUAAAAGUUGUUGCAUGUAACAUUUGACCUACAAAAGCAAAAGUACAAAUUUUCCAUUUAAGUGAGCAAAUAAUAAAUUCUCAGAAAGGGUUAACAAAAUGAAAAAAGAAAGAGAACCAAGUACUUCCCUCCACAUGAAAAAGUGAUACAUAGUGAGCAAAUUCAGAGGCAUCUUUAUUAUAAAUGCAAGAAUGCAAUCUCAGAAAGGAAGCCAUUACAAAAAUUCUGUUGAUGUAAAUACAAAUUGAGGUCUGACUAUGAGGAUUUUCAGCUAUAAACGUUUACUGGGCUAAUGUAAUUUGCAAAAAUGGUGAAAAAGAAUACUGUAAUCUGCAAAACAUUGAAUGCACAGAUAUUGCAAGCAAAUUCAAAUGAGUACCUGUGACUCAGUAAACUUAAGACCAGGAUGUGAUGCUAGCCCUGCUAGAUCAUGCUCCAUGUAUUCAAAUACAAGGUACAGGCUGCAAGACAUCCUAGAAGUAACUAAACCUUCUAGUUUUACUAUGUUUGGAUGAUCAAGCCUCCGUAAUAUGUGAAUCUCCCUAGCCAUGAAUCGAACACUCUCAGGUUCUAGAUUAUCAAAUCUCACUUUCUUCAAAGCAACAAUCUUCCCUUGAUCAAGAUCACGAGCACGAUAAACGUUGCUGUACGUACCCUGGCCAAUCUAAGGAAAAAGAAGCCAUAAUACCAAAUAUCAAGUUAGCCACAUUCACUCAUCAAGUUUUUUUAGAAGUAAACAGAUCACACAGUAGACCAUUUUUUUCUAGCUAGAGUAACCACAAGAAAAAAGUUUCUGUCAGUACCCAAGAUCAUAAGAAACAAGAUGUCUGACUAUUUUGAUGAAGUUGUCAUUUUUUUUUCAUGGAAAAAAAGUGUGAAUAUUAACCUUUGCAUACCCCACGUAGAUCACAGCGUUCACAUAUAUCAGAAACAUACCACAACAACAACAUAACUAGCGCAAUUCCACAAGUUGGGUCUGGGGAGGGUGCUAUGUUCACAUAUAUCAGAUAAAUGCCAAAAAAUAUUUCAUGGCUGAGAUAUAGAUGUUAAAAUUAUUGAGCAUGCAAUAGUUACUAUGGAAAGACCAUAAUCAAAAUGUAUAGUGAUCUAGAGAAGGAGCAAGUUUCAGACAUGUCAUCACUCAUCAGCCUUCACGACCGGAGCAAUUUGUGUAAUAAACAGGGACUGAUAAGUUGAUAACUUCAGAGGUUUGAAAUAUAUGCAAAGUAACCAUCUUUGGGUUUGCAAUGCAUUGGUGGGUCUUGAGAGUUUUAAGUGGUGUACAAGCAAAAGGAUAUUAAAACUGGAAAGUAAUAGGCAUAGAUUAACUUGUUUAAGACUAUUUUCUUCACUGAUGUCAUGAUUUGAAGUAAAAGAAAAUAUGCAUCAACCAGAACUAUCAAGUUUCUUUGUAAGACUCCUGCAUAAAUAAGCUAAAGCCAGCUUCUUGCAUUCCUCAAUCAAAGGGAAAAUCAGCAGUCAAUCGCUGGAAUUCGUUUUUUUUUUUUUUCAAGAUAAGGAAAUUCUGCGGUAAAGAAACACCAGUCGGUCUUAGGUUCAAGGAAACAAAGUACAGAAAACAGAUAAAAAGCUUUACACCUCUCUGCCAAACUUUACCCACUACAUUCCAAACUAACAAAAUCAUAAAAUGUCUCCCUGCCAUAAUAUUAGAUGAAUGUUACUGGAAGAUAGUAUUGUGGCAGUAACUGUAGAAAUUUUCUAGGAUUAUCAUCUAACGACAUACUUAAAUUUAAAGGAGGAAACUUGACUUGUUUCAUCGUAUCUGAAACAACAGAAUGAUCAGAAUCCGUUCAUCAAUAGCAAUAUUCUGUACAUUGGGCCAAAUGUAGCAAACCGCUGGAGAAACUAAAUGAGGCCUAUUCAAACAUAACGAAUACAUGUAAUAGUUCACAAAAGAAAGACAUUUGAUACAAAUCAAUUAACUCUGUCUCAAUCUCCAUUUAGAUGGGUUCAGCUAUGUUAAUUGUGUACAUUCUGCUUUAUUUGGGAAUAUUACAUUCCAAUACAUCCCUUGCCCAUUCAGUACUACACAGGAAUGACGAUGCAGUGCAUGCCUAAGGGAACGCGUCCGUAUGAAUUCAAUGUUUGAUUCAUGAUAUUAUGACAAUUUUAACAAUGGAUAUCAACCUACUGCAACCCUUGGCUUCUUUUUGAGCUUUGGACCAGCUAUCCUAAACUCGCACUAUGAAGUACAUGUAUAAAUCUAUGUUUGCCUUGACAACUGAAAUAUAGCCCAGUGAUAAGAGCUCUGCGCCUCCAACUAUGAGGUUGGGGCUCGAACAGCCAAGAAGGCUGUAGCAGGAAAACCACAGUUGGCUCCCGGUAUAAGGGGUUUGGAGGAGUAGAUUUACCAUAUUGGAAAAACAGAUUAAUUUCUUGCUCGUUUCCUUAGACUUAUAUUCAGCACAAAAUUGUGAUUCGCUAUACCAUGCAAAAGAAAUUAAAAAAUCAAGCUCCAACUCUCUGCUUGUCAAAAUCCCACAUUGGUUAUGGAGGGAGUAGUUGGUCUCAUUAUACGAUCUUUGACAAUCCUCACCUCAUGAACUUGAGGUUGAGUUAGGCCCAAGGUCCAGGAUGAACCUCGUACUUUGAUCACGGAUUGUAAAUUUAGGUGUAAAAAAUACUAAAAUUGCACUAGAUAAUAACUACGAAUCUAUAAUGGGUUCAAAUCUAAGAACCUUAAAGAGAUCGAACCCAUAAAGCUAAAACCUUGGAUUUGCCUGUACCAAGGUCCAUUUCUUACCAUGGCAUCAGGAGUCAAACUCAUUCUAAUUGUUGGUUUACCAAGAUGCAAGGCCUCCAUAUUAUGUUAUUCACACCCCAAAUGUAGGAGGCUCACAUUGGCUAUGGAUGGGGUAAUUGAGCUAUCUUUUGAUGCUGAAGUGAAACAUUUCCGUCUUUUCGGAUAAUCAAACAUUUAAGCAGAACGCUGACAUGAAUUAAUAAGGACAAAUUACAUGAGUCAUAACCAAACUUCUACCAAUAAUUCACUUUUUUGUGGGGGAGAGAGAGAAACUAUUACGUGACCAUUAUCAUGAAAUGUUUGAUGUUCCUACUGUAGAAUUAAAAGUCAAGAACAUAAAAAGGAGCAUACUUUAUCCAAUUUCUCAAAAGAAUCAGCUCGCCUAGGCACCCAUCCUCUGAUAGCUUCACCAGCAACUGCAGCAAGCCAUGGUGGCCAUCCAGCAGCAACCUGUUCCCCUUCACUACUUUUUGGUAAUGUCCCAAUGCCAAGAUGAUGAUGAUGAGUGGCAACAAUAAACUCUUGUUUCUCCCUUUUCCUCUCAUAAUUCUCAGUCUGCAACCUAACUGUACCAUUUACUUGUUUAUCAAUCAACAUUGCCUUCCCAUCAAUGCUCCUAUAAGCUUCCUCUCUUCUUGAUGAACCAGGUCUUGGCCCUCGCAAACUCGCAGCACUUUUAUUUGACAGUCUCUCCCUUGGACUAUCUCGACUGUCUUCAAUGGCAGAAGGCUUGCCACAAACACAACCCAUCCCAAAAAUACUAAACUAAAAAAAGCAUCAACACUACAACCCCACCUCCCAAAAUCACACCUUUUCACCAAUACCCCUCCUCAUUUUCAAGAAAACAACACUUCCCAAUUACUACAGUACAACAUCAAAAUCAAACAAACCCCACCUCCCAAAAUCUUAUCUUUUCACCAAUAAACCUAGACUCACUAACCAAUAUCAAAGAAACCAACUUUAACAAGAACACGUAAACUUCAGAAAACCAAGAAAACAGUUCAUAUACACAGAGUGUAUAAAUGUACAGCCACUAAAAAUCAGCAAUACUGCAACCCCACCUCCCAAAAUCUCAUCUUUUCACCAAUAAACUUCUACAACCACUUUCCAAUAUUAAAGCAACCAACUCUAACAAGAGCAUUAACUUCCCAAAAUCACACCUUUCCACCAAUACCCCUCCUUAUUUUCAAUAAAACAACACUUCCAAUUACUGCAAUACAACCAAAUUACCAAAAUCAAACAAACCCCACCUCCCAAAAUCUCACCUUUUCACCAAUAAACCAACACCUACUUACCAAUAUCAAAGAAACCAAACUUUAACAAGAACAUUAACACUUCAGAAAACCACUACACCUCCUCAUUUUCAAGAAAACACCACUUCCCAAUCACUGCAAACAACCAAAUUAUCAAAAAAUUAAACAAACCCCACCUCCCAAAAUCUCAUCUUUUCACCAAUAAACCUCCAGCCACUUCCCAAUAUCAAUGAAACCAACUUCAACAAGAACAUUAACACUCUACAAAUACCAAGAAACAGCUCACAUACACACACACUGCAGUAUACAAAAUGUACAACCUUAAAUCACUGAAACAGUGCAAAUACUAAUGUAUAUAGUACACAAAGUUGAGUGGAGGAGAAAGCAUGUUUGUGGAUCUAGGGCACAUACAACAAUACACAAUACACAAAAGAAAGAUUAAAAAAGAGGAGUGUUUUUACAUAAACUACUGUUAGGUGAGAUUUUUAUAUAUUUCUGACUGGUGCAGAGCAGCUUUUUUAAUAAAUACACUUUCACAGUACUCAGUAUAUGUGUGUGUGUGUGAGAAAGAAAACAGAGAAAGGAAGAUGGGAAGACCAAUGCUGUUACGUUCGUGACAUUCUUAAAUCUUUGUAGUAGUAUACGUAACAUGUUUAGUUGACAAACACGCGCAUAACAAAACAAAGAAAUUGCCAGCUUAGCUUAUCCACCUUACUUUAUUUUGUUUUAAUUAAAUGUCUUGCUUUGGCUCUUUUGAUGAUGAUGAUGAUGCCACCUAAAUCACCUACAAUAUUUUUAUUACCAUUGUUAUGAUACAGAAUAAGUAAAUUAUAAGUAAAAAAAAAUAACAACAUCAUACAGAUUUUUGUGAAAAUUUUUGAAAAAAAACCACGGAUAAAGGCAAAUGAAGUUUACCAUAAUGGAGAGAGUAUAAUAUGGAGAAGUAAAUUUUUCUAAAUAAUAAAAAUAACCCACUAAUUUACAUUUAUAUAUAGUACGUGCUUACAAAUAAGUCCUAGGCCCAAAAACAUAAAGGUUCAUACCGCAAGGGCAAUUGGGAUCAAUGGUGGUAGCGUAGGGAUCGGAUUGAUUGAAAAUCACAAACAUGAUUCGCACUGCGAAAUUUUCAAGGCUGGAUCAACAAAAUUCGGAUCACAACUCUAAAAACAUGCAUAUCUCAAUUUUGUUCAGUUUUGCUUGUAAAUUUUUUUAUUUUUAAAUCUCCAAUAAUACUUAUUCUGUUUAUAAAAUUAAUGGAUGAUUUAUUAUUUUCUAUCAGUUUUAUCCUUAGCAUUGAAUAGAUUCAUUAUCUAAUACAUUUUUCAAGCAUUAAAUUUAUUAUAUUUAAAGGGUAAUAUGAUAAAAUUACCUUUAUCAUUUACUAUUUCUUAAUUUUUGUGUUAAUAAUAAAAUAGGCAAAUAAAAAUAGAUGGAAAGAGUACUCUGUAGAAAUCCACAAAUAAAGUCUUAAAAGGAUAGUAUGUAUGCAGCCUUAUCACUACUUUGGAAGAUGAAGAAGUUGUUUACGAUAGACUCUCGCCUUAACAAAAAUAUCAAAGCAUUACUAUUUGCAAGAUUUAAUACAUGAAUAAUUUAAUAUCCAGUUUUAUUUUGUAUUUUUUUUUAGUUUUCCACUUGAUUCUCAAUCCUGCAUUAAAACUUAAUUAAAUUUAAAUUAAGAUAAAAAUACUUUCUAAUAAAACAACACUAUACGAGACUAUGCAUUAAGACUUUACUAUUUCCUUGAUCUCAAAUUUUUUAAUUUAAUUUUUCAUUUUACUUAUUUUUUUCAUUAAUUAAUAAGAGACAAUUUUUUUUUCAUUUUUACCUUUUGCAUUAAUUAUUUUUUCUUCAAAUGAAAAUAUAAACAACAUUUAAUAGAGAUAUUAUGAUAAACUAGGUAUAUUAUUAAUUAUUAUUUUUAAUCGAUGUAUCAUCUCAAUUUGGAACGGAGGGAGUAUAAAAGUCCAAAUUUGUUUUGUACCAAAUGCACAUGUGAUUACUAAUUAGCAUUUAAUCUUCUUCCAAAUUUUCAAAAUAGUUUUUUGUCGAUAAGUGUUAAACUGAUUUUUUUACAAAAUUUAAUCUAGUGGGGCCCUACAGCUACCUGUACAAGUACAAACUCCAGCUGUUCGUGAAGGCGCGUGGUAGUAAUGCGCGUGACUGUAGAAGGAGUUUUUACUGCUGUCUCUGUUUUCUGCACAAAGUAAUGUGGCUUUGUUCAGGGCCUGGUUGGGUGGGACUUGGGUGUGGGAUAGCGGCAAAAUUUUCAUUAAAAAAUUAUUUAGUUAAAAAUAAUACUAAUACGGAUAUACCCUCAAUUAAUGAUAGUGGGUUUAUUAAAUAAGAUAGUUAGAAACAAAAAUAUAUAUAUAUAUAUAUAUAUUUCUGAAUUAUGAUAAAUGAUACGUAUAUACCUUCACUAUAUUUUGGUACACAUAUGUCCUUACCAAUAGUGUGAAGGGCAUAUAACGAUAGAUGUAUAUGUGUACCCAAACUAUAAUAGAAGAUAUAUACAUAUUAUUUAUAGCUUAAAAAUAUAUUUAUUCAUUUUUGGUUUCAAAAUUGAUUACUCUAGUACUAGUUAUCUCAUUCAUCCUCAAGGUGAGAUAAAAAUAUAUUACAAUCUCAGGAUAGUUGACAAUUAAUUUUAGGAUAGAGUUAUUUCACACAUUUUAUCCAAACAAAUAUGAAAUAAAAUUAUCUUAAAAUUAAUUUUGAGAUUAUUUAUCCCUUAUUUUUUGUACCAAAUAAAUCCUAAAAGGGUUCAAAAUAUAUAAAAGUAAACACAUAAUGAAAUCGAAGGAGGUUCAAAAACUACUAUAUAUAUAUAUACAAUAAUUGUAGUUUCAAUUAUACAUACAACAACAACAAAUCCAUUGUAUUUCCACAUAAUAAAAUGUGGAGAAGAUAAAAUAUACGCAAUCCAUACCACUACCUUCAGAGAAGUAGAAAGAUUGUUUCCGAUAGAUCCCUGACUCAAGACAAAGUUUUAAUUAUAUAUAAAUAACAUAAUUUUGUGUCAAAUAAAAUUCGAUUGAACCCCUCGAUUCUACGUGACUCAACGGAAGUGAAGAGGGUGGUGGUGGGGGACUGGUUUGCUUUUCUACUUUUUAAUUGUGGGGUCUUCACGCAUUAAUAUGCUAAGUUGAGGCCUUUAAGUGCAAUUAUUAUUCCUCAUUUACCAUGCUGAACCACUAAUUUCCCCCACCGCUUUCUAAAAAGGCCAUUAAUUCUGAGUUUAUUGCAGCAGUAAAAUAAAACCUCAUGUGGGUUCCACCCCCCUUGACAUAAUUCUUCACCCUCCUCCGUUUUAAAAUAAUUGAUCCCUGUUAAUUUAAUAUUUAAUUUAUUAUGAGUUUAUUUUAUUAGGUUAAUUUUAUUAAUUAUAAUUUAAAAAUAUAAAUUUGAGUAUAUACACUUUAAGUACUUAUUUAAUGAUAGAAAUAGUAAUGGAAAAACAUAAAAAUAUUCUUUUAAUAAAUAAAAGAGAUAACUAAAUUGAAACAAGUAUUUUUUUUUAAAAAGUCAACUAAAACAAAACGUAGAGAGUAUUUCCUUUCUCUAUAAUCAUCUGAUAUUCAAUAUUCAUAUUCACUAAUUUCUACUAGUUUAAAUUUAUAUCAUUUAGAAUUUGUUAAUUUCUCCGUCCAUCAAUAGUUAUUCAUUAUUGACUUGACAUAUAUAUUAAUAAAUAGUAAAUGAUAAGAAUAAAUUAUCAUAUCAUUCUUUGAAUAUAACAAAUUUAAUAUUUUAAAAAUAAACUAUUUAUUAAUUUUCAAAUGGGACAAGUAUUAUAGAAUAUUUAUUUUUAGUACGGUGUACGAGUAAAUAGAUGAGAAAAUUAGUAGAUAAGAUUAGAAACAAUCAUUUUUAUGAGGAGAUGCAAGUAGCACGUACUAAAAAUAAAUGCGAGAAGGUCAUUUGAGAUAGUUUGAACACAUUAUACGUCAAUCUAUAAAUGCAUUGGUAUACAAGUAUGAAAUUAUGAUAAGUGAACGUAUUAAAAAGAAAUGAAUAAACCUAAAAUCACAUGAAAGGAAGUAAUCAAAUAAGACCUCAAAAUUAUUAGUACCAAUAUAAGUUAUUUUAAAAGUCACUCCAAAAUUUUAUUUGCAAGAUUAAACAAUAUAUAUAAAUAAACAUUGAAUUCAAGGCAUGGACGGAGUCAUCUUAGACAAAGGAUGGUCCGAUGCACAUCCUACGUCAGAAAUUUACGUGGUGAAUAGAGAUUAAAUGGUAGCUAUUUUGCGCAUUCUUAAUAUAAUUGAAUAAAAAAUUUGUACAUUCUCACUGAUUUGAGAUUAACGUUCUAGGAAAGGAUAAUUUCUCAACAGUUAUUUGCACAAACUUUUAAAAAUAGGUACAAAUUUUAAAUGAUGGUCGAAAAAAGAAGUAUUUGACAAGGAAAUCAAAAUGAAAGUACUCUGGCUUGCUACGUACAAGUUGGUAAAUAUGUUAUGUACUGGUACUUACUGAAAUUCUAACAAUAGUAGAAUAAUGAAAAAAAGAAAAGAAAAGAGGCAGAUGUAAUAUUAAAAAUAAUUUUUGAAAUCAUUAGUAUUAUUUUGUGUGUGAGAGUUUUAAAAGUUUGAAACCUAAAGAAAACAUUAUUUUUUAAAGAGAAAAUAUCCAAUUACUUCCCUGAACUAUACUCAAAAGAGUCAUGACACACCUCAACUUAAAGGGGUUCUAUUACCCCUGAACUAAUUAAAAGUAUAAUUUUGACAUCCUUAAUGCAUACGUGGCACACAUAUGUACCUACAUGGACACUUCAGUAUGUUGUGCCACGUAGACACUAAGAAUGUCAAAAUUAUACUUUUAAUUAGUUUAUGAGUAAUGAUCCACCCUUUAAAUUAAGGUGUGUCAUAACUUUUUUGGUAUAAUUCAAGGGUAAUUAAGUAUUAUCUCUUUUUCAAAAAAAAUAGCUUCAUUUGAUAUUUUUUUGUUAAUUCAUGUCUUUAAUGAGUGUGGACCAUAUUACAAUGUGUUCAACAUAUGGAUACUAAAUUAUUGAAAACUGUUGAUGGAAUUCAUGAAAAUCUUUUAACUAACAAUUGGACUCACUUUUUGCUAAAACAGUUAAAGCGAGUUAUGAAUUUUUAUUUUUUUUUGAUUUUUUAUCCCGUGUUCAAUGCCAGCAUUGAAAUCUCGAUUAAUUUGGAUCGCGCGUUGCAGGACUCAUUAAGGUGGCGAUGAAGCAGCCCCAUCCACUACACCACAACCCAUGUUGAUGAUUUGACAAGUUGGUAUAAGUAAUACCUCGUAUAAUUAGUUAAAAGUGAGCCCGAUAAUUAGUUAAAAGAUUUUUAUGAAUUCUAUCAACAUUUUUUCAAUAAUUUUAUGGUAUUACUUAUUCGACCAGUUACCUCAUACAAUUAUUGAAAAAAUGUUGAUGGAAUUCAUAAAAAUCUUUUAACUAAUUAUUGGGCUCACUUUUUGCUAAAAUAAUUAUAACUAGUUAUGAUUCCACAAGCUAGUAUAAGUAAUACCCCAUACACACACUACCUUCAUAAACUCUUUAUAACUGUAAUUAAUUAUGCUGACAUAAUAAAGCUUUGGGGAUUAAAGGAUAUGAUAUGUUUAUGUAGUUUGUUUCUUUAUUUAAUAGUUUAAUUUGGGAAUUUAAGAAAGUAAUAAUGUUCUAGGUAGGGAAGUUUAAAUUCGAUAUAAUUAAAACUAGAAUAGUAGACCUUCAUCGUCAUAUUUUCAAAUCUCUGACCUAUACUAGCUUUGAUAAAAAUUAAAAUGGUCAAGGUUUGACUCUUUACUUAAUUAAUUUUUUUCCUAGAUUAGCAUUAAAGAGAAUUUAGUUCAACCUGUUUUUAAUUUAAGUAAAUUCAGGGAGAAAUAAAACGGAUUGCAAUAAUGACAUUAUUUUAUGAGGUGGAAGAAAAGUUUUCUCUUACAUCAAGUUAAUAAUUAAGCCAUUAGAGUUACAAUAAUUUUAGACGAGAUCUCUUAAAUAACUAUAAAUCUAUAAUUCAAGAAGACAAACAAAUUUUUAUAUAGACAUGUCAGGUAGAGCAGUGGCGGAGACAAAAUUUUUACUUAGAGGUUUAGAAAAAAAAUAUACGAAUUAAUCAAAAGGGGUUCAACAUCUACUGUGUAUACAUAAAAAGUAAUUUUAAUCAUGUGUAAAUAGUAUAAUUUUUCAUCGAAGUAAGCUCAGAUGAACUCUCUUGCCCAAAGGUGGCUCUGCCCUUGAUGUAAAUUAUUAGUUACCGGUUCAGACAAACUCGGUAACUAUUAUUUAGAUCUUGUAUUUAUAUUACGAAAUUCAUUAAAAUAUAUACACGUAUAUAAAAUUGUCAAACAAAUAACUAUGAUGGACGACUAUCAAUUUGGUGACAAGUUCAAAACCGUCAAACUUCAAAUUUUGACUCCACCUAUAAUUAUUUUAGAAUAUGAACAAACUUGUGUAUCUCUUAUCACCAUACUAUACAUGCAUGCCUAAUUAUAUAUCUUAAUUACUUUGAGAAGCCAAUGAAGAUUUUUUUAAGGAAACAAACCAAAUAUUAAAAUAGCAAAUUAUAUUGCAGAAGAUAAGGUGAAGGUGAAUGAAGAAAAAGAAGCACAUGAUGAUAUAAUAAAGACAUUUAAUAAUGAACAGUAGAAAUUCAAGUAAGUAAUAAUGCAUGCAUGAAAUUAAUGGCAGUGCUUUGUAUUUUCCAGACAAUGUAACGGGUGAGUAGGACCAGGCCACAUCAAAGGUUUUGGUCCUAUUGGAAAAUGGAUAUAAACAUUUGAGAAAAUAAUCCAAUCUAAUUUUUUUUAUUUUUUGAUUUAGUGAAUCGAUUUACAAAUACUUUAUAAAAACUCAAGUUUUGAUUUGGUAGUUGAUUUUAACAAGUAAAAACUUAUUUUUAGAAGAAGAAUUACACAAAAUGAUAAUUUUUAAGAUUGCUACGUAAAGAAUAGCUGAAAUUUACAAAGCUUCCAAAGUCUAAUCGCCUCAUAAUUAAACUUCAAAAUUUUGAUUUUCAAACUGAUGUAUAAAGUUUCAACUUCGAGUAUUUAAUUUGAAUUAUCAGAACUUAUUUUGAAAAAAAACUCCAAAAUAAAUCAAUAAAAACAAACUUAAAUUUCCUACUUCAAAGUUGUUAUAUCACAUAAAAGCGAUUAGACUUCAAUGGAUAAUAUACCAAGGAAGAAUUAAGUAUUUGACGAAUUGAAGAUAAGAAAAUUCAAAUUAGACAUCUACGCAUGAAUUUAGGCUUGAAUAGUUCUUAAUUUAACCUUUUUGGACUGAAGAUCAUAAAAAUAUCAAGCCUAACUUAGGUUCAAACGUUUGAAAUUUUAAAUUGUAUGCUACAUUAUACCAACCUCAGGAGUUAAUAACUCAAAUGGUCACUCAACUUUGGACUUUUAUCCCAAAAAGUCACUCAACUUUCACAUUUUUACUCAGAAAGUCACUCAACUUUCACAUUUUUACUUUCUAAAUGUGAAAGUUGAGGGACUUUCUGAGUAAAAAUGUGAAAGUUGAGUGAUUUUCUGAGUAAAGAUCAAAGUUGAGUAACUUUCUGGGAUAAAAGUCCAAAGUUGAGUGAUCAUUUAAGUUAUUAACUCCCAACCUCAGAUACUAAACUUUGAACUCGAAAUAUUCAACUUCAAUCUCAUAAACUUGAAUUUGAUUUCGAGUUAUCUUAGCUUUUAAAAUUUUAUAAAUAUCGAUUAUUCUUUAAAGAAAAAAUCACAUAAACUAGCAACUUUAAGACAUUAAUUACAAUUUAUAACAAUAGUUUUUAAAAAUUACAACUAAUAACAAAACUAGCAAUAUUUUACCUUACAUUGAGAAAAGCGUGUGACAUUAACUCUACUUUUUUACCUUCUUCCAUUUUCACGCCAUAUUCCAAUUUCAGUUCCCUUCAACUCUUUUUUUUUUUUCAAACUCCAUUUUUUGCUUUCCGAAUCUUGAUAAACUCUGCAUCCAACUUUUAAGGUAAGUUUAUUUUUCAAUUAAUGCAUGUUAUAUUUUCCAUAUAAACUCUUUUAUAUGUUUUAUUGUCGAUUUUUUUUUUCAAUUUUUCAUUCUUCUUCCUCCUCGUCUGUUAGGGUUUGAUUUUUUUUUAUUUUUUUUUUGAGUUUGUGUUGAAAUCUUUGAUUUUUCGAUAUAAUGGUACAACAUGCAAAUCAUAGUAUUUCAGUUAGUGGUAAUAAACCGAUGAAUUUAGUUUCCGAUGAACUUCCAUCUUUUAGUCUUGAGUUAACUCAAGAUGAAGUUUUUAACUUGGGUUCUUCUAAUAUCCAGCCUUAGGGAGGUGUUAGCAGUGAAGGAGCGAGAUUGAAGCACUAUAAAAAUUCGAAAAAUAUUGUCGAAAAAAUGAAACGGAAAGGUUUGACAAAAUCUUCAUCUCCAAAACCCCCAAAAAUUCAAAAAUCAAUAAAAAAGACAAAGUCAGAUGAAAAAGGUGAAUGUAGAAAAAUUUCAAGUCCUGUUUCAUCUGAUUUUGAAUCAGAAGAAGAGAAAGUGGAGGAGAUAUGUUUCUAUUUUUAAAAUUUUGUAUUUUCUUGAAAACAUGUUCAUAGGCGUAUUUUAUAUAUACAAUUUAUUAUGUAUGUAUUUAUUUUUCUGUUUCUUUAUGAUUUGAAAUUUUGGUAUAUAUUGUGUUGUUAAGAUAUGAAAUUGUAGCCCCUAAUUAUAUAUAUUUUUGUGAAAUUUAUAUUUUGUAUAUACUUGUUGUAUACAUAAAUACAUAUUUAUAUGUUUAUUGUAAUUAGUUGUAUUCUGUAAAUACAUAAGUGUCACUCUUUUGACAUGUAAAAUUUACAUGCUACAGUUUAGAUAUUUUUUUAUUUUGUUUACUGUUAAUAUUAGUGUUUGAUGUCAAGUUGUAUUUUUUAUUCAUUUGAUUUAGACGAAGUCAUGUACUUCUUCUUGUUAAUUUGAAAGAUUUCCGUUAUGUAUAAAUAAAAUACAUAUGACUUUUUCUUUUUUAGAUUUAAUUUAGGAAUAAUGUAACUUUAAGUUGUAUUUCAUAAAUAUACAUAUGUCACUGUUUUGAUAUAUAAUUGUAUUUUGUGGUGUAUAGAUUUUGCGUGAUCAAAUAUACAUGACAAGAGUAUUGCCAAAAUUUGCUCCACUUAUAGGGUGCCAUACUGUCAAUGACAUUGAACAUCGCAUUAAGUCAAUUUUAACGAAGAAUCGGUAUAAUAUCUUUUGUAAUAAUAGCAUAUUUGCUGUCUAUUGAGCUAACAUCAAAGGAGAUUUCAUGCUUUCGGAUACCCAAGAAGGUUGUUCCUACAGGUGUAAGUCACAAAGAUGAUGAGGUUAAUUCGGAUGAUGAUUUCCAGGAUCCACCACAUCCAAAAAAAUAUUCAAUCACCUAAAAAAAACAUCAUGGUGAUUCAUCAUCUUCACCUGUCAAGAAAAAGCUGAAGCAACAACAUAAAGGUUUGGAUGAGCAGACACCAAAAAGGACCCCUCCACCUCGUGCUGCAAAGAAGUUUUCUGUCAGGACUCCAAUUUUUAUGCCGAUUCACCAAAAAGAGAAAGUAGCUUCAAAGAGGAAGGACAUAAAUCAGUCAGCAAGCAAGAAAUCUAUUCCGAUUCAGUCACCUGAUUCAUCUUUGUGCAGUUCUGGAAAUGAAGAUGAUUUUAUUUCAAAGAAAGUGUUUCACAAGUUUUGCACUGAGGUAAUUUGUGUUUAAGUUUUGAAUUGCUUUGUUUUCAUAUAUAAUUUUUUUUUUUGAAGCAGGUUCUUCAAGAGAUGAUAUCCAUCCAUGGCCUAGUAUCAACAAGAUGGGAUGAGAUAAUGAAUGCUAUAAGUGAUAUCAAGGUACAAUAAUUUUAAAAAAUAUUUUCAAUGUUGAAUACAUAUACAACAUAUGUAUUUUAUGAUUUAUGAUAUACAUAUAUAAAAACAGUGUCUUUUUUUUUUUUAUGGAUAAUAGGUAUUUUUUUCUAAAUGCUAACAUGUAUAUUCAUAUAUACAUAUGAAUAUACAGUUGUAUUAUGUAUUUUUUCAAAUCGUAUACACACAUGAAUAUACAGUUGGUAAUAUGUAUUUUUAUAAAUGCUAAUAUGUAUAUUUAUAUAUACAUAUGAAUAUACAAUUGGUAAUAUGUAUAACACAUGGUGUGUUAAAUACAUAUUCUGCAUAUACAGUUGUGUUUGAAUAAAUACAUGUGCAAUAUAUACUGUAUUUUUACGUUUGUAUCAUGUAUUUUUUCAUGAUAUGUAUAAUCAUAUAUACAUAUGUUGGGCGAUUAUAAAUAGUUAGUUUAAUAUUGUUCUUGGUAUUUUUUAAAUAUUUUUUGAACUUGAAGAAAAAAGAUAAGAACAAUCAAGUUGACAAUCAACCCAUGGGUGAAGCUGACAAGACUACACUACACCAUGAAUUCACUCCAAAUUUUGUGCAUGAUCUUUAUAAGAAUUCUAAAGGCACAUUGGUAAGUUAAUUGCUUACAUUCAUAUGUAUUUUAUUUAUACAAUGUAAAUUUAUGUUUAUAUAUAAGAAUUAUACAUGUGCUACAGGUUACUGAAUAUAUCAACAGGAAUCAAAGCGCUAGUUUGAUGGAGGUGAAUAAUGAGGAUAAAGAUGAUGUUCUAGUAAAUAAUUUAUUUUAUUUCUUUCAUUCUAUUUAUAUAGUAGAAUAAUAAUAUUUAAUACGCUUGACUUUAUCGUUUAUGAAAGGAUAAAACUGAUAUUGAUCAGCAUGAAGCAAGAGAUAUAUGUGAAUCACCGUUAUGCUGAAUAUAUCUUUGAUGUUUUUUAAUUAUAGACAUCUAGUGUUGUUAUUUAAUUUUUAUUAACAUAAUUUGAAGAACACAAAAUUGGUUGAUGAUAAUUUCUCAAUUCUCAUUUCCAGAUGAGGUUCUCAGAAGCAUUAAUCUUGAUUUCAUAAAAUCCAAUUUAGGAGUUGAAGAUGAGUCUAUGGUAUUUGCAUUCUACGUCUUUAUUUAUUUUCAUAAGGUUUCAGAUUAAUAAAAUAUUUCUAUAUUUAUAUAGAACACAGGAGGUGCUGCAGAAACGACUGUGAAUGCAUCAGCAGAAGAUGAGUCCAAGGUAUACUAAAAAUGUGUAUUGUCUGCGUUUAUUUCUUUUGCUUUAAAUUAACUUUAACAAAAAUUUUACAUUUAUUUAUACAAAACACAAAUUAUCCUUCACAAAUGGAUGAAAAUAAAUCAACCAAAAACCAGUUUAAUGUAGCAUUGUCUGCAUUUGAUUAUUUUGGUACUUUGCAACAUUAUAACAUUUUUAUACAUUUUAUAUAGAACAAUGAAUGUGAUGCUGAAAAGAUUGUAGACGCAUCAGAAGAUUAUCAGGCAGAAAUGAAUGAAAAUAAAUCUCCAAAAGAUGAUUCAAAGGUAGCAUUCUCUGCUUUUAUUUAUUUUGCUAAUGUUGCAACAUUAUAACAUAUUUAUAUAUUAUAUACAGGAUAAAGAAUGUGAUGCUGAAAAGAUUUUAAAUUCAGUAGAAUUUAAUAUGAAUAAAUCAAAGUUAAAUCAGCAAAAUCAAUCUCCGGUUCACAUUCAUGUAGCAUUAACUGAAGAAAGAAAAGUUGAACAAGAUUUUUCAGACUCGCAAGUCACUAUUCCUGAUGAGCUUUUACCGAGUCUUAAUGCAUAUUUGAAUCAAGAAAGAAGUAUAAUUGUACAUUCAUCGGCAAACAAAGUACAAGAAACGCCCAUGCAUGUAUCAAGGAUUAAGCGAUCAUCUAGAUUCAAAGAGUCACCAUUCACAAUGAAUUUUGGUUUAGCAGCUGGUAAGUACUUUGUAUAUUAUAAAAAUAGUAAUUUCUUGUUAUUUUUUAAUGGCUAAGAAAUAUGACUUGUAACCUAUAAAUAUGCACCACUACAUUAGUGACACUUUUUUGACAUGAUAAACUUUAGAUAUGUAUUUGUUUUGAUUACUACUAACAUUUGUAUUUAAUGUUAUGUUGUUUUUGUUAUUCAUUAGAUUAAGAUUAUGACAAGUAUGUUAAUUAGAAUAAUUUUGAAAAUUAAAAUAAAUAAUUUUUAUGUUAGCUUGGAAUCAUGUUUAUAUUUUGUUGUUCGAUAACUUCAAUAUGUAUAACUGAUGUACUCAUAAUAUAUAUAUGCUACAAUUAUGUAUACAUUUUUAUACUGCAAUUUUCAGAUGUAUUAUAUAAAUACAUCUGUUUUAUUAUUAUGUAAUAUCAUUGCACAGAAGGGAAGCACAAAAUAUUCAAUCAGAAGCAUCCAUUCGUAUCUCAUCCGAUUAAUGAUAUAGAAGACACUAAGAUUACCAACAAGUUUCUGAAGUGGCUGUCUGUGGAUGUUCUUAAAUUUCAUGCAAAAAGGUAUAUAGUUUAGCACCUAAUUGUAAUAAUAUUUACAUAUAAGUUUUUGUUAAUGAUGAAUCAUUAUGUUUAAUAACUGAACAGAAGCAACAAGCAAGAACACUAUAAGAAAGGCAAGUUCAAAACAUUAGUAAUCAAUUUUAGAGUUUUAGCUAUAGAAAAUAAGAAUUGGUUCUACAUUUUGGGUGCUCCUGGACAAUCAUGGUCUGAUGAGGUAAGUGUUCAGCUAUGGAAUGAUUUUUUUUUUAUUGUUACAUAUGUAUAUUCACAAAUACAUAUGUAAUUGUUUGUUAUGAUGGAGUUGAAAAUUUAUAUUUGUAUGUAUUUAUGCUUUUAUUCAAUAUGAUCUGAUAUAUGUAUAUUAUAUAUACAUAUGUAGUGUUGGGAGUUUUAAUUUCAUUAUUUACUUUUAAAUAUGUUUUUUUGUCAUAAUGCAGUAUAUUGAUGUAUGCUUCUACUAUCUGCGAAAGAAAUCUAAGUAUGAUCCGAAUACUUCAUACAAGUACAGCACUGUAGACUGCAAUUUCAUGAAUAUUAUAAAUAGUGUGCUAGCUGUGUACAGAAUUGAUGAUGCAUCUCUUAAUGCUGGUGGAAAGUAAUACCAUCUGAAUGAGUACAUAAAUGGAUUCCGCAUGCAUGCUACAGUGCCUUGACAUACGGUUGAUCAUAUUUUCAUUCCUAUCAACGUUAAGACCAAACAUCAUUGGGUUCUUGCGGUUAUAUCUUUUAAUGAUAGAUGCAUUUGUAUAUGAUUCUUUGUCGUCUGCUAGUCAUGAUGCUGGGGUACUUGCUGAAGUUGAAAAGUUAGUUAUGGUUAUACCUAUAUGUCUCGUUGCAUGUAAAUUUUACGAGAAGAAGGGUAUUGAUACUGCUAAUCAUCCAAAUUACAAAUCCUACGAUAAGAUGGAUCUAUUUAAUGUUUAUGUUGUGGAGGAUUUGACUCAACAACCAAGUGACAGCUUGUAAGUAUUCAUAUACAUAUCAAUUGUACAUAUACAUAUAUCUUGUUUUUAUAGAACAAAUUCUUAUUUCUUUAUAUAUGUAUUUGUAGGGAUUGUGGUUUAUAUAUGGUGACAUAUGCCGAGUGUCUCACCUUUGAAGAUCUUGUUUCACCCGUUGAUUUUGAUCCAGAUCUGAUUCGUACUAGAUAUGCUUCAAUUUUGUGGAAUUAUGGUAUGAAGAAAGAAGAAGAGAAUGCACAAAGUAAUGAUGAAGCACCGAUGAGACCUCCUCGUGAAAUUGGUUUAACAGAAGAUACUGAAGUGCAUGAAAUUUGAUGUUUCUUUUUAUUUUGCUGUAGUUUACAUUAUUUAACAUUAGCCAGACAAACAAGUUGUUGAAUAUUUCUUAUUUUCCAUCAGUAACUUUUAAUGUUCUUAGAUGAUAUACUAUUGGUUCUUGGUUGUUGUGUUACAGUUUAAUGUUCUACAUAUAUAUUUAUGUUUUACAUAUUUUUUAUUUCUUGUUAAUACAACAACAAUAAUGUGUUAAUGUGUAACUUUAAUGUUCUACAUAUAUAUUUAAUUUUUCGUAUUUAUUUAUGAAUAAUUGAUAUCAUCAAUCCUUUACAUAUAUAUUUAUAAAUAAUAAGAAAGUUAACUUAUUAUUAGUUUUUAUAUAUGUUCAUACGUACUUAAAAGAGUAUAAUAUUUAUUUUUCAGAUUUAUGUUUAGCUUAAAAUAUGUUACAUAUAAUAUCACCAAUUUAACAAUGACAACUACAAUAACAUAAAAAAUGUUUAUCAAAAUUGAAAAUCACAUAUAUCUUACAUUAAUGAAAAAAACCAUUAAUUGUUUAUUCACUUAAUACGUCAAUCAAGUUAUCGUUUGUUGUAUUUCCUACAUGAACCUAUUGUGACCUUUUAAUCCACAUGAACUACAACAAUUUUUGGUCUUCUUUCCAUACAUAUCUCGUCCGGAUUUUUCACGGUCAUUCUUCGGAGGUCUUCCAGGGGGACACUUGUAUUUGAGAUGCAGAACUACCUCAUCUAUAAUUUCCUUCGGAAUCACCCAGUCAUCUUUGUGUGGUAGAGGAUAAGUUGGAAGAUCAUAUGUUCUCAAGACAGUUUUUUGGCUUGUAUAGAUCGAAGCAAAAUGGUCCCUUCUUGAAAUUCUUGCUAUCAAGAACUGCACAAGCAUGAAUACACGGUAUCUCAUCCAAUUGAAAUGCAUUGCAAGAACAUUUUUUUUCCUUAAGACAAACAAUAAAAUGUUUCUCCUUGUCAUGGACUGUAAAGAUGUACUCUGGUGCAGGUAUAACCUGAAAUUAUUAAAAAAAAAAUUAAUUAGAAAAAUAAAAUUCAUCUCAACGUAUGUAUAUUGCAAGUUUGCAAAAUAUUUAUUUCUUCAAUACAUAUGUAUUUUUAUUACAGAAUAUAUUUUUCUUAAUUUAUUAUUUGAAAAAGAAAUAUAGUUCAUACAAAAAAUAAAAAUACUAUUAUAUAUAUAAAAUGAUUACAAAAAUUUAAUCAUACCUUCACACGUGUACACUCUGUUUCAUUCUGUUGAAGAAUUUCUUGAAAUUUACCAAUAAGAUCCGUAAAAGUAUACAACGCCUGCUGUCUGUUUUCACAGUUCCAUCUUCCAAACAUCAAUCUAACUUCAUCCAGAAAAUCAUAUAUUGGUAGUUCUCUAGCUGAUAUCAGUGCAACAUUAAUGGACUCGACAAUGUUUGAAGUCAAAGUCCAUCCUCUAUGAACGGAUGCAUACGAUCUAGCCCACUUAUCGUAACCAUCCAAUUCCAAGUAAUUCUUCACUCUAGCAUCAACUGCCUCCACUUUCUCCAUUAACAUGUGAAAUUCAGUCUUCAAAUAUGAUUUUGUCAUGGUAUAAAAGACAUCUGAUAAUGCAUCAUGUGAUUUACAAUUUUUUUUUUUACAUUUCCCCAUAAGCGCCACAUACAUGCAUAAUGUGGUACCUCAUUAUACACGUCACUGACAAUUUUUAUGAUGCUUGCAUUACGAUCAGAAAUGACAUACAUGUCUUUUCUUUCACCGUAUGCUUCCUUCAGAUUCUCCAAAAACCACCUCCAAGAUGCAUCAUUUUCAGAAUCAAGUACACCAUAAGCCAAAAGAAAUAUAUGUCCUACAUGUUGAAAAAAAAAGCAUAAAUAAUUUUUUUAAAAUAUAAUAAUGCAUAUGUAUAUUAUAAAUACAUACGUACAGCUGGAAACAUAUGUGAAGUGAAAUACUUAACUUCCAGUGCACAAAUAAAACUACUGCAUAUGUAAAUUAUGCACAUGUAUAUUAUAAAUACAUACAUACACCUGGAAAUAUUUGUGAAGUAAAAUACUUAAGUUUCAGUGCACAAACAAAACUACUGCACAUGUAUAUUUUCAAAUACAACUGACACUGAUCACAUAAACAUAAUCCAUAUAUGUAUAUUAUAAAUACAUAUAGCUGAAAAUAUAUUUGAAGUCAAAUACUUAUCUAAUAUAUCUUACCAGCUCCAUCCAUGGUACAAGCAGCUAUGAAAGUGCCAGUAUAAAGUCCCCUGAGAUGACUUGCAUCAACUACUAUGAUAGGUCUACAAUGAUCAAACCCUUGGAUGAAUGCAGUUAGUGCUGCAAAUAUAUAUAAAAACUCAUUAUCUGCAUUCUUUUUCAUUCUUAUAUGUGAACCUGGAUAACUGGUGUUCAACACAUGUAUGUAUGCAGGUAGUUUUCCGUACGAUGCUGGUGGUUUUCCUCUUAAAUCUUCAAGUGCUUGUUCCUUAGCUCGCCAACACAUAAUAUAUGUUAAAUCCAUACCCAUGUCGUCCUUCAUAUCAUUUUUGAUAUCAGAUGGACUGUAUUUUCACUUGUGGCAUUUAAACUUUAGUUUGACUAUACCACCAAUCAACUUACUAGUAGCAUGUAAUUUAGGAUACAUCUUAUCUUUGACCGGACAAGUAUGUUCAGGUAAAAAUUCUCUUACAUAAAACAUUGUAGAUUCGUCGAUAGCAGAUGCACAAAAUAAAAAUUCACAAUUUCUGGAUCUGCACAACAAUGUAUAACUGUAAACAAAAACAAAUAUAUAUGCUCAAAUACAAUUAAUACAUAUUGAAAAAAAAAUUAAAAUUCACAAUAAACUUACCAGGUUUUACUAGAUCUUGCAGAUAGUGAUUGAAACUUCUCUCGAAUUAUAUAAUCUUUCAUUACCGAUUUUAAUAUACUUUUCGAGAUAUAAACUUGAUCAACCUCAAUAUGUUUGUGAUGUGGGUCUGAGAUAAUAACUCUAGUUGUAUCCAUUUCAAAAGCAUCCAAACAUUGAUUUGAAGUAGGAACAAUUAACACUCUUUUAGUACUUGUAUUUACCAAGUUACUAUCAGCGACAUACAUCUUCAUAGGUUCGCCAGUACACAACAAUGAACAUUCCAAUGUGCUGAAAUUUUCCUUGUCAGAAACACUUACAUACAAAGGCAAAAUACUAAUAUCCUUCAAUUCCUUUUUUUGCAUAAUAUAGACCUUCAAACCCAUGUCAUUACGUGUACGUAUUUUUCUUGCACUAGCUGUCAAUUGAUACUCGAUUUGAAUACAUUUGUACGUCAAAUCAACAUCAAUGUGAGUAGCCAGUAUUGUGUAAAGUUGGUCAUAUGUAGCGUUUAUGCUCAACAAUAUCGAAUCACUGGUGUAAUCUUCAUAUUGUUGUUCAUGUAUUCAUCUAUCAGAGUGUUUAAUAAGAACAACUAUACUUCCCAUUGUCAAUCUCCAGAAAUUACAAAACAAUAAAAAUAUUACUAAAUAUGAAAUACGUACUAUAACACCAACUACGACUAAAAUUAAUAUACGAUUUCAAAUUUUUUCAAACAUACGACUGCUUAAAAAAUACAGGUAUUUCUUCAGCAAAUUUCACAUUAUAUUUUAGUUAAACCACAAAUAAAAAUUAAGUUGUUGAUAAAUACCUGUACUUGCACCUUUGUAUUUUUAUUAUUUUCUUCGAGACGUUAUUCGAUCAGCAUAACAAAAAAAAUUGAAGAAAAACGUUUUUCAAUUUGAAUGAGUAUUUUGGAUUUGAAUUGAAAAGCUGAUUACGGAAACCGUUUUUGAAUUUGAAUUUGAAGCUGUAAUUUAACGUUUGUGGUAACAAUAGAGUUUUAAAAGGUUAAGAAAUCUGUCAAAUUAAACAUUCCUUAAUUCACGGAACAGUUUUUUACCAUAUUAAACUGAAACAGAUUGGAGUUUUAUUAGGAACACAAUCUUUAAUUGUAUAUGUAACUAGCAAUAGUUUACUCAAAUACAAAAUACAUACUGCUAUUUUUUAUAAUUUUGAAACGGUUGCCAUAAAACUUACAAUUAAGGAUCUAUAGUUGCUAUUUCUGAAAUUUUUCCUUCUUUAAAUAACGAUCAUCCAAUCGACCAUUUUUGCAAUUGCCCCUAGCUUAGUUUGUCCCAGCCCAAAAUCACAAAUGGGCCAAACCCAUGAAGACCAAACUCUAAGGCCCAAAUCCAUUUGUUCCUAGAUAUGGUGGUCCUACAAUUCCACUCCAAUGCACUCUCCCUUCAGAAUUUUCGCUCCUGCUCCGCCGUCCGCCACCGUCCGCCGAGGCCGUUCGUCAAAGAACCGCCAUCAAUGGGAAGCAUCGGAGCUUUGAAUUUUCUGAAACCAAUAAGAACUGCCAAUUUCAGUUCUACAAAGCGAAUUUUCCAGUUAUCACCGUCGUCUUCUCGAAGCUACGCAGUGAAAUCGAGUGUUCUAGAACCUCCUAACGUUCCUCGUUUAGCUGAAACUGCUCGAAUUUCACUCAAUCAACAACAAUUUGAAGAAUUCGGUCCUAAAAUUGCACAAGUUAUAGAUUGGUUUGGACAACUACAAGACGUUGAUUUACAGAGUAUUGAGCCAGCUAUUAGGGCAGAUACUGAAGGAGAUAAUUUACGCGGAGACGUACCUGAGAAGUUUGAGAAUAUAGAUGAAUUGAUUUCUGCUGUGCCAAGUUUUGACAAACCUUAUAUCAAAGUUCCUAAAGUGCUCAAUAAGGAGUAAUGUUGCUCAGGUAUGACUAAAUUUUUUCUCGUUUGGAUGAUUGUUAGUUACUUUUGUAUUGUGUUGUUAGUAUCGUAUCGUUAAAUUCAUCAUUUCUUAACAAUGAAAAAUCUCAUUUUGUGUAAUAAUUGAUUUGAUGUGAUUGCAGUAUUACCUUAGCCAUCUUUUCUUGUAGACUUGUCUUCCAAAUUGGUGAUAUAUGGUAGUAAUAUGUGUUAUGAAUCCUACAGAAUAAGCAAUACCAAAAGCAAAAGAAAAAAUAAGAUGAACACACAGAUUUACCGGAAAUCCUUGCGGGAAAAACCACGGGCAAAGGCAAAGGAAUUUCAUUAUGAUGGAUGAAUAAUACGACGAGGAGAAUGACAUAUAUAACUCGUCCAAAACGAUCCACUAAACGCACUUAUAUAACAAGUGCGUACAAAUAAUUCUAGGCCCAAAAACAUACAGGUUCAUACCGCGCCCUAUCCCUACGCUACCACCACAGACCCAUGAAAAAUCACAAACAUGGGUCGCACUGCGAACUUUUCAAGGCCGGAUCAACAAAAUUCGGAUCCCAAACUCUAACAAUAUGUAACAUGAAAAACAUGCAAUUUAUUCAAAUAUUGUAUUCAUCAAGCACCCUUGGUGUGGACUAGUGGUUAAUAAAGUUGGUUGAGAAUCUGAGGUCUGGACAAAAAAUAUUUUGUGAUUCUUCCUAUUUGUCCUAGUCCUGGUGUAUAGAGUUACGUGGUAUUUGUUGUUGGUGGGAGGUGACACGUAUCUCGUGGAUUUAGUCGAGUACGCGGAAGCUGCCUAAGCACCACGAUAUAUAUGUAACAACCAUCCAAACAAAGUGUGAGGAGACCAUAAUUUUCAUUCUUCACUCCAAAAUGUUUCUUGAAGAUGUAAAGUCCCAUGACUUUCUUGGUCGACCAUCCCAACCGGGGAUGUUCGACAAGUCUUUCUUGAUACCUCUCAUCAACGUGAGAUUAAUUUUACACAUCUGUGACCUCUACUGAUACAUUCACCGAUUUCAUUGAUCAGUAAAUCACAUACACAGAAUACAAAAGUAAUACUUGCUGUUGAUAUCUUCGUGCAUGUCUCAUGGAUAAACUGUGAAUAUUACCACUGAUAACAAGAUUACAAUACACCUAAAGAGCACCUAUCAUACAUAGCCACCUUCUAAGAAGGUUCUAUGGAAAUGAGACCUCUAACUGAUUGCAUAGAAGAGAUUGAACAAAUUCCUGCAUCUACACAUUCUUUUGAAUGUAUCUGACUACUAUCUCCUUCUUGAUCUGUGCUAUUGUUGCCUGCCUAUGUAUUUACAGUUAUCUGUGCAAAAACCGAACCGACCGAUAAAUCGAACCGAUAAAAAUGCUAUUAGGUUAUUGGUAUUGGGUUAUUGGAUUAACGGUUUUUUAUUGGUUUUAUAAAAAAAUUUAUUGGGUAAACGGUUCGGUUUCGGUUUUAGCUUAUUGGGUUAUUGGAUAACCCAAUAAGUAUACACUAAGUUAUUGUUUUACUCCUAUUUGUGUUAUAUAUAUAAAUAUUUAUAUUACUAAUAUAUAUACACACUACUUAUUCACAAUUCAGAGGUUCACAAAGUAUUAACCUAUUCAGAGCAACAAAGGCACGGUACAAAGCUCGGGUAUUGUUGUAUUGGAAAGUUUGAAGCAUUUAGUAACUUCCAACCAUUAGGAUUCAGUUUUUUUUUAACUAACAUUCAGUUCAAGUUUAAAGAUUCUUAUAAACUAAAACGCAUUGCGUAUGAUUUUGGUGGCAACUAAGAUUUCGUUUUUUCAUGUUAGUUGUUACUAUUUUUAUUUCAGUAUUUGUUAAACCGAAAAUCAAACCGUUAAGCAUAAUAAACCGAUAAACCGAAAACUGAUAAGAAAAUAUCUUAUUGGUUAGUUAUUGGUUUUGCAUAUUUAAAAACCGAAAAUCGAUAAAUCGAACUGAAUCGAUCGAUGCACACCCCUAUAACCAUAACCAUGUAUGGUAUGUUAUUGCUCCCCAUGGUGCAGUAGCUAUUUCCUUUUUCACUUGCUUCCAACGCUUCCUUCUUAUUUUACCAAGCACAGCAACAACAUCAGCAGCCUGAAGUUGGACCAGUGGAAAAUAGCGUCUCUCACCGUCUUCCUCCGUUCACAAUCAACAGAGAGAUGAGUGGCAGUCUCAAGCUAUGUUGCUCGGACUCUUCAAAAAUGUCGAUAGGUGUGUGUGGGAUCCUCCCAAAAUAGUGUAUUUUUGAAGUAUCCGACACGUGUGCAGCAACGUUUUUGGAGGUCCGAGCAAAUUAGGUCUCAAGUGCAUCAACAUUUAUAUGUGAUUUAUGUGUAUAUUUUAGUGUGACUGGUUUGUAUGGAUGGUGUGCUGCGUUUGACGCUUGCUUUUUUUUUUUUUUUUUCAUUUGAUGUUCUUAAGAAUUUGAGUGAUUUGGUUUCAAGAUGAAAAAUUUCACUUUGAAUGUAAUUUGUUUUUUCUAAAAGGUAAUUCCAGUUGCAGAGCUCAAGCCAACAUACCCUGUUAUAAAUGAUAUGAUGCCUAAUAUUCCACCAUAACUUUUGAUGAUCGUGUCAAAGGCGGAGCUAAAAUUUUAAUGAAGGGGUUCAAUAUUUGAAGAAUAAUUAGCCGAAGGGAUUUAACACCUACUCUUGAUGCAUAAAAUAAUUUUAAUCAUGUAUAAAUUAUAUAUUUUCCGUCGAAAGGGGAUUCAGAUGAACUCUUUUCAAAGGGAUGGCUCCGCCCCUGUCGUGUUUGACUUCUCGUAAUAUCUAAACAUUGUAAGUUUGUGAACGUUUACCUAAAGGUGGAGUUGAAGUUCAUGAUAUAUUAGGAAUGAAGUCUACGACCGAAAGCAUCCAAUGGGUGUGAACUAGUGGUUUAAUGAAGUUGAGUUGAGCACCGUGAAGUCUCAGGUUCAAUUUCACUGUUCUAGCUUUGGUUGACAGAGUUAUCCGAUACCUGUUGCUGGAAAAAAAGUCUACAACGCAAAUAUGAUAGUACAAAUUAGAGCGUCAAGCAAAAAAUAAUUCCUAUAAAGAAUGUGGACAUUAGUGUAUGAUAUAUUCACAACUUUCAUUUUUAAAACAAUCAAGGAUUUAGUGCAAUUGAUGAGAUUUUUUUUUUUUUUUUUUAAAAGGGGUCUUAGUUCGAACUUUGAGUAUAAAAACAUCGUUGGUAAGGUGCGUUUCUCAUGAAUGGAUCUCACGCCACACGAAUAUGAUCAAUCUGACUCCAAUGUGAAUAUCGCAUAUCACAUAAAAAUUUCAAAAAAAAAAGAAAAACUUUAAAAUUUUAAACUUUUCGAGUUUAAGCCGUUGAAAAAUUAUCCGAUCUUAAAAUCAUUUAGUUCAAUAGUAAACGUCAACUAGAUAAAGCCCUUCCAUUCAUCAUCAUGCAAACAUUUAGGAGAAUUUAGAUGGUAUAAAGACAACUUUCUUAGUAGGGUUAUGGAUUUACUCAAAAGUAAGUAUGACCAUUGGAAAGCUAAAUUCAUUGAUAGUCUUCCACCUUUAUUUGCUGAAAGAGUUAGAAAAUCACUUAGAGGAUCUUAUGGCGAGGUUCAGUAUUCAGAAAAAACUUAUGGUCAGCUUAUUGUAGCUUUUACUCAAGAAGGCUUAGCCCUUUGCAAUGAGUUAAAAUUAGCCAGACAGAUUAAGCUCGACAAACUCAGAAAAAAAUCCCAAUUAGGAGAUUUUUGUGAACAAUUUGGUAUGGAUAAACCGUUAGCGAGAAAAAUCCUAUCGUAAGUCUACCAGAUUUACGAAAAAUAGAUCAAAAAGAGAGUUAGCAAAAAUCAAGUGCUAUAAGAGCAACCAAUAUGGUCAUAUAGCUCCAAACUAUAAGUUACAAAAACUCAAGUCCUUAGGACUUUCUGAAGAAGUGCAUGACCAAGUUUAUAAUUUAUUAUAUAACUCUGAUUUUGAAUCUGAUUCUACAUCUGAAAAUGAUUUUGAAUUACCUAAUUCUGAUAGUGAACCCGAUCAGGUUAAUAAAUGCAAUGAUUGUGAUAAUAAUAUUUGUAAUUGUGAUGAAAUACCCCAUUCUUCAAUAGGAAUAAGGUUUUUAAUUACUAUUUUGGAGUAUCCAUGUACUCCGGGGGUAGUUUCUCCGAGGGGACUGUGAUCAAAAGUUGCACUGAAUGUUUGAACUAAUAUAUGUUCAUAAUAAGUCCGGGUUUUAUAUGAUUCGCCAGUAAAAUAAACGUUGACAGUAAGAUAAUUUCUAAGUAUUCGCCAUGCUUCUUCAAAAUUUUCCUGACCAGUAAUAUGUUGAUUUUCAAUAUAUAAUAUAAGUUCUCUAGCAUCCAAUUUUUCAUACGAAGGUUUAUCUUCAGAAUUUUCCUGAACUAUAGAUGCAAAAGAAUCUGCAAUUUUUUAUUGAUCUGAUAGAUAGGAUUGCAGUUGUUUAUAUAACGGAUGGUCUUCAAGAAUAUCUUCCAAAUGUACGGAAGAGCUAAUAUUUAGAGUUUUUGAUGAUGAUGAUUCAUCUUGAAGAAUUUUUGAAUUAAUUAAAGUCCUAUUUCCUUGUUGUAAUACAGGAAAAUUAGAACUUGCAGAGCUAUAUGCAGAAUUUCUUCGAUCAAAAUAUGAAGGGUUUGUUCGUCCUCCAUGAUAAGAAGAGUUUUAACUUCGUCCAUCCCUUCCUCUUCCUUUGGUUAUUUGCCAAGGAAGAUUCAUUCUGCAUCAAUAAUUAGGAAUUUGAUCAGCAUAUCAUGACAUAUAUUCAAAGAGAUCUUCAUAAAGUGUGUCCUUUGUGAUAAGAUCAUUAAUGACUUUCCGAAGUAUGAGCAUGUGCAUGUCCGCAUUUAAAGGAGCUGCCUUUAUAAAGGUAAUUAAGACCUUUUGAGAGAAGAAGUGUAGAAAGAACUUCAUUAUAUCUUUUAAUCCUGUAAAUAUUAAUCACUUAAGUCAAUAUCAAACCAAUAAAUUUCAUUAUCAAGAAAUUCGUCGUGGUUAAAGAAUAAUUCUUCUUCUAUUAUACCACGAACCAGAUUUUCUAAGAUAAAAAAAUGAAUAUCUUCGUUUAAAGGAAUGCAUUUGAUAAUAGUAAUUACAGUUUUCUCAGGGAAGAAGUAAGUGUAAAAAUUCAUGUUAAUCGAUUAGAUAUUCUCGAGAUAGAAAAUCAGAUAAAAAAUUUUCACUACCCUUCUUAUAUUGUAUUUCAAAAUCAAAAGGGGCUAAUUGAGCCUGUCAUCUUGCAAAUAUUAAUUUAGAGGCAUCAUGUUUAAAGUCUUUGUUAAACAUAAAUUUAAUGGAUUGAGCAUCAGUUCUGAUUAUGAAUUUUUGAUCAUACAAAUCAUCUUGAAAUUUUAAAACACAUUUUACAAUAGUUAGCAUUUCAUGGGCUACUGUGGCGUAUUUUUUCUGGCUUUUAGUCCAUUUACCAGAAUAAAAUCUAAUCAAACAUUCUAUUUUUGUAUGGGGAUUAACUUGUUUAAGUAUUCCGCCAUACACAAUAUUUGAAGCAUCAGUUUCAACGAUUUUUAACCAGUUAGGGUUUGCAAGAAAUGUACAAGGAAGAGUUUGAACUCGUUUUUUAAUCAAUUUUACUAAAUUAGUGUGGACUUGAGUCCAAGAUGUUUUGUAAUCCUUUUUUAGUCUAUCAUACAAAGGAGUUAAAUCUCUAGACAGAUUUUCAUAAAAAGGAGAAAUAUAAUUAAGACUACCAAGGAACCUUUGCAACUGUUUUUUAUCAAUAAUAAUAUCAGGAAAUUUUUUAGCAAAUUCUAGAGGUCGUUGUAUAGGCUCAAUAGAACCUUGAGAAAUAUUAUGUCCUAAAAAUCUAAUAUUUGUCUGAAAUAAGCUCAUUUUUGGUUUGGAUAUUAACAAGUCAUUUUGUAUAAUUAUUUGUUUAAACAUAUGCAAAUGUUUGAAAUGAGAUUCAAGGAUUUUUAAAAAUACUAAAAUAUCAUCAAUAUAGACAAUGAUAAAAUCCAUAUAGGGAUUGAAAAUGUCAUUCAUAAUUUUUUGAAAUUCAGAAGGAGCAUUUUUUAAAUCGAAUGACAUAACAUUCCAUUCAUACUGUCCAAAGGGGACAUUAAAAGCAGUUCUAUAAGUAUGUUCUUUAUCAAAAUAGUAAUUAAAAAACUUAUUCCUAUUGAAGAAUGGGGUAUUUCAUCAAUGACUCAAAAAUCCAUGUCAAUAGGGCCAAUGGAACAAACACUUGUCAAUUUCACCUACUGGGAUUACAUUAAAGCCUUUUCUCAAGUAUUAUAUUAUAAUAAUUAUAAGCACAAACACACAUGGUUUAUAAAAAUUUGUACUAAGGUAUUUGAAAAACCUAUUCCAAUUUGGUUUAUUCAAUGGUGGACUCAGCAUGGACCCACAGUCAAAAUAUUACCUCCAGAAUAUUCCUUUCUGUACCAUUCAUGAAAAAAAUCCUCCCCUUUCUUAACUGAAUUAUAUCUUUCAGAGCAUAUUUAUAAGAUCGAUACUAUUGAUCAAAUGUAUUUCUACAUAGAAUUCUCUAUCCCUUGAUUCCAUCGAUGGUCAGUAGAAAUAGGUUAUGACACUCAACAAAUUCCUUCCUUAUAUCGAGUAUUCUAUUGUAAUUUUUGGGACAAAUUGCUUCGAAAAGAUCUAGACACUAAACUCACCUAUGGUCAUGAUCAAAGGGAGGAAAUAGUCAAGAAAAUUGCUGAAUAUGAAAAGACUUCCAAGAAAUCAAUUUUGGUUGAAGAAACAAGUCUUAACUAUGUUUCUAGGAGAAUAUCUGCACAUGACGAAAAUAAAAUGUAAAUGAUAGAAGAAUAUUUAUCAGAAGUAAGAGAUAAAUUACUUCAAACUGUCGAGCAAAAUUAAGAUAUCUCAAUGAACAGUACCGAAGCAAAUACCGAAGAUAUUACAGAUUCUCAACCUCCAGAAAUUCUGAUAAAAAAUGAAGAAAUUAUUGAAAAAGCUGAAGCAUUCAUCAAGAAAUGGAAAGGCAAAGACAAGAUAUGACUGUUUGACCUCGACAUAAGGCCCCUCUGCUUUUUAUAAUAAAUUCUUAUGUAAUAGUAAAAUCACUGUGCACAGGGACCCAUCCAUUACUGUGCAAGAUUCUCUUUCUUAUUAUUUAUAGACGCCUCAUUCUUGUUAGAGAGACAGGAGUUCUUCAGUUCUCUCCUUUUGUUUCUCUUUCUAUAAGCUCUCCCCUCUCUCUACAUCUCUCUUAGUAACAUAUUUGAAGAUUAAAUAAAUAAGAAGCUACUAUUUAUUACUAUUUCAGCCUUGCUUCUGGCUAUUAAGGUACAUAUUUCUUUCUUAUUUGUGUACAUUUAAUUCAACUUCUACUCUUGUCCAGCCGUGACUAUGUCCAGCUAAAAGGCUUCUUAUAUCUAUGUUGAAGGUCUAACUUCGCUUACAUGUUAACUAUGAAAGAUCCAGACUCUAUCAAAAUAUAAAGAAAUUUUUCUAUAGUUUCUUGACUUGGUUCCGAAAUGAUGGUACAGUCGAGUUCAAUACACUUAUGUUAGCCUUGUCUCUGUGACUACGUCUAGUAGGUUGUGCCUCUUUAGCCUGUUGUACUUAUACGAAAAGGACGAAUUCUGCACAAUUAGAACUUCUAGACACAUGGGUUUAACAUAAGGUUAUUAAAUCUCUGACAAGCCCCUUGUUUGGAUAAAAGAUUCCAUACAGUCAUUAAAAUAUUUGAAAUUCUUUUAUAUUUCGGUUGGUGCUUUGAUUCGGUUUUCCGACUUUGGCGUAAUCCGAUGUUGUUACAUGAUCUGGCAGGCUGAGUGACAUACCCCAGCCUAGUAAGAUCCUGUCAAUGAUAUCAGAGCCUAGGAACUUUCAUAGUAAAUAUGUUAAGUGUGGCGAAGUUUUCAGCAUAGAUAUAAGGCUUUUAUAAUCAUGGAUAUGGGUGAAGUUAGUACUAAGAAUACAAAACUCGAAGAGGUAGAUUUACCUCAAGAUAUGGAUUUAUUAAAUAAAUGGACGAUUCCAAAAGUUGAAUUAAAAACCAUAUAUGACUACGAAUUUUUUGAUAAAAUAAAAUAUAAAUAAAUUAUUAAAACAACUGAGGAAUCUCUUGCUUUAAAUGCUGAUGAACAGACUAUUCAACUCCUAAAUAAGCAUGAUAUUGAUAUUUUUAAACGUAAUUAUAAUUAUAUGCAUAUUGGUCUAGUACAAAUUGCCUUUAGACCUUUAACGCUAAAGGGACUCCCUGAAACAUUUUUAGCUGCUUUACGUGAUGCUAGAAAUUUAAAUUUUAGAAAAUCUUUAAUGGGAUCUAUUGAAUCUACUCUUGCCUAUAGUCCUGUAUAUUUUAAUACUCAGCCAAAUUUGCAAUUAUCUCUAACUGAUGUAAAUAUUCUUCAUUCUUUAGCCUUAAAUGUGAAAACUCAUGGUUAUGAUUAUGCGUCUAGAUCUGAGCUUAUAGGAUUAUCUUACCGCAUAUAUUAUCGUUUAUUAUCAACCUUAAAUCCUCGAUGUAAAUUAAUUGAUGAUACUUCUGAUUGCACUAUGCUUAUUGAAACUAACUUUAUAAAAUCCAGGGUUACUAUCCGAAGACCUAUUCGAUGGGAUGAAAUUGACUUCCCAAAAAUAUGAAUUUUAAACUCAGUCACUUCUCCAAAACAAUUGGCGGAGGAUGUGACUAAUUCAGAGUUAACUCAUGUAACUCAAAACUCUGAUGGACGAAUUUGUCUGCAAUUUGAUAAUAAUCCUCCAGUCUAUAGAAAUUCUUUUUCACUGCCAAGAAGACUUCCUUCUAUACAUCAUAUUUCUCCUAUUGAACCUGAUUAAUCUUUGCAUACUAUUAAUUCUGCAGAUUCGCAUGUUACACCUAAAGGUGUAGAAAAGAUUAAAAUCAACUUUAAAACUAAUAUAGUUCAAGAUUUUGAUAAUGAAAAUCCUACCCCAUCUGAGAUGGAUUUUGAUAUCAAUUCUGUUUAAUUAUGAUGACACAACUUACCGAUUUUAGUCCUGGUUCUCAGGCAAGAAAAUAUAUUCAAAAAGGAAUUUUUUUGUGAAAAAUGGAAAACCUUUAGGACAUGGUUUUUUGAAACUUAUAGUCCUGAUGAAUUACGAAAGAUUUUUGAAGAAUUCUAUGAAAUAUGUGUCUUAUAUAAUAAAAUUAUCUUUUUUGUACCAUGGUUUAUGUCUGCAUAUUUGUCGUCCUAUAUAAAAAUAAUUGAAAGAUCUUAUCAAAGUUUUGAUGGUACAAUUACUCAAGCUUUGUAUCCUCCUCAGUUUUCCUUUAUAUUACCCAAUAAUACUGCAAUGACUUUUUCUGCUUUUCAAAAAUUUGUAAAUGAAGAUGUUGAAAAAAUCACUGUUUCUGAAAUAAAUAACCUUAUCGCCCAAAAUAAUUAUUUAAGUCUUCAUGUUAAAGUUUUGGGAGAACAUAUUUCAUCUCUUGAUAAAAAACUUGACGAAUUAAUUGAGUUAGUUAAAAAACUUAGCAUGCAGAUGGAUUCCUCUAACAUUCCUUCUACUUCCGAAACCAAAGAAGAAGAAGGAUCUAUUUUAUCUAAACCUUGAAUCCAAAGACCUCUUGAAAUAGAAGGAUUUUAAAAGGUUUCUCAACUAGACCAAUUAGAAAAACUCUUAGAUUAAAAAUUCUCUCGUUUAAACAUUCAACCUCUUAAUAUUUCUGAUGAUUUUGCGCAAAAACUCGAGUCUAACUUUGCUGAUAAUAUCGAAUCUACUCAAAAUAUAGGAGACACUAUCUCUUCCGAGCUAAAUAAGCUCAAAGGUAUGAUUAAAAAACAACCGGCGAAAAGAUAUGCUGACAUUCCUCGUAUGUCUACUGCAUAUUAUCCACGUCCAACUCCUCAAAAUGUUCUGAUAGAGGAAAGAGAUUGGAAUCAAACAGAUAUUUCUUAUAGUGGAGAAGCUAUUUAUGAAUGGAAUAUUGAUGGAUUAUUAGAUCGAUAAAUCUCUAUUCUUAUCCACCGUAUGUCCAUGUAUUCUACUAUUGCCACAGCUACUGCAUCAGCAAAGAAUCAGGCCAAUCGUACUGACCCAACAAUUUGUAAAAUGAUUGUUGUGGGAUUUACUGGCCAACUUCGAGGCUGGUGGGAUAAUUUUCUAGACGAUGAUAAACGCGAAACUAUUUUUAAUGCCACUAAUGAUACACCUGAAAAAGACAAUUUAGGAGGACCACUUCGGACAGGACGACCAGAUGCUGUCUAUACCCUUAUGCUUACAAUUAUUGAACAUUUUGGAGGUAGAUUUACCAAUCAGUAUGAAAACAUUAGAACUCUUCUUAAUGGUUUAAAAUGCAAACAUUUAGGAGAAUUUAGAUGGUAUAAAGACACCUUUCUUAGUAGGGUUAUGGAUUACCCGAAAGUAAGUAUGACCAUUGGAAAGCUAAAUUCAUUGAUGGUCUUCCACCCUAUUAUUAUUAUUAUUAUUAAUAGUAGUAGUAGUAGUAUCAGCAACAGUACUAUUAUUAUUAUUAUUAGUACUAUUAUUAUUAGAAUUAUUAUUACUAGUAGUACUAUUACUAUUUCUACUACUACUACUAUUAUUAUUAUUAUUAUUAUUAUUAUUAUUAUUAUUAAUCUAUAAAUUUAAAAAUAUUUAUCAAUUGGGAUAUUUUAAUUUGAAUUAUAAGUGUACGAGUUGAAUUAUUAUUAUUAUUAUUAUUAUUAUUAUUAUUACUAUUAUUACUGUUAGUAUUAUUACUAUUAUUAGUAUUAUUACUAUUAUUAGUAUUAGUAUUAUUAUUAUUACUAUUAUUAGUAUUAUUACUAUUAUUAGUAUUAGUACUAUUAUUAGUAUUAGUACUAUUACUAUUACUACUACUAUUACUACUGCUACUAUUACUACUAUUAUUACUAUUAUUAUUAUUAUUAUUAUUAAUCUAUAAAUUUUAAAAAUAUUUAUCAAUUGGGAUAUUUUAAUUCGAAUUAUAAGUGUACGAGUUGAAUUUAGUAGCCUUGUUCUUUCUCUACUUUUUUUACCGUAGUCUAUGUUAUUACACUUAUUAUUUACUUUUUGCAUUCUAUGCAGGGAUAAAAGUAUAAUUAUAGUAAUAAUUGGCUUUGAAGUUUUUUUCCUUUUAAGUGAGUGUUUGGCAAUUUUUAUAAGGGAAAAUGGUCAGAUAUGUUCUCAAACUUUACAAAAAUGUUCAGAUAUACCCUCUGUUAAAAGUUUAACUCACCAAUGCCCUUGCCGUCAAAGUCUUGGCCCAUAUACAUCCCUGUUACAAAGUUUUGGGUCAUAUAUACCUCUGUUGCGGUUAAUUGCUUUGAUAAAAUUUUCCAACCCCCUUUUUCCUUUUUUUUAGAAAUCAUAUUUUCCACAUCACUUUUUAAUUGUCACAUCACAUAUAAUUAAACCCACCCCUUCUCCUACACAUUAAUCAUCCUUCAAAUGCUCUCAUCUACCUCACAAUCUCUUUGGAUUUUCUUUAAUUUGCUAAAUUUCCUUUAUUAUGUUUUUCGAUUCUUGCAUAACCCCAAGAAUCAUCAAGUAAAAAAUGAAAAAAAAAAAAGAGUCAAGAAUACCCCAUAAAAACUCAAUGCACAAUUGCGAUGAAAAUUCAGAACUAAAAUUCUUACCAAUUGCAAAUUAUUUUAGUAUCAUAUCAAUCGAUUUCAUCUUUCGCACCACCGUCAAUUCUAACAUCAAGAAUAAGAAGAAUAAGGAAAACCCAAGUGAGAAAUUGGGAUGUAGAAGUGUAAAACAGGCAAUUCAUAUAGAGACAGCAAAAAUAAGUUGUCAAUUAAGAAGAUAUUUUUUAUACGUACGUAUACGUAUGAGAGGAACGAUUGCGCAAGAAUUUGAAAAUACAACAAAAGAAUUUUGACAUUUAAUGUGUAGAAGAAGGUGUGAAUUUAAUUAUAUGUGAUGUGACGGUAAAAAAAAUAAUGUGACAAAUAUAAUUUCAUAAGGAAAAAAAAGAGAAAAAGGGGUUGAAAAAUUUCAGCAAAACAAUUAACGACAACAGGGGUAUAUAUGAUCCAAAACUUGGCAACAAGAGUAUAUAUGGUCUAAAACAUGAUAAUAGGGGUAUAUAUGGACCAAAAAUUGGACGGCAGGGGUAUUGGUGAGCUAAACUUUUAAUGGAGGAUAUAUCUGAACAUUUUCGUAAAACUUAGGAGCUUAUUUGACCCUUUUCCCUUUUUAUAAUUGCUUAAAAAAAAUUAAUUUUGACUUUUUUUUAAGCCUAAAGCAAGAAGUUGGCUACUUCUACAUAUUUUUUUUAGCUUACAAUUCAUUGAAAGUUGACCAAAUAAAUGACUUUUGUAUCCUUUAUCAUUUUCACUUAUUCCAAAAUUAUCCUCUUGUAGCCCUUAUAAUUUUCACUUAUAACAUUCAUGAUCUAUAGCAAUUUUUAUAACGAUUAAUUUUUUUAAUUUAAUUUUUUAUAUUAUAUAAAAUUAUAUUUUUUGUAACAAUAUAUAUUUUACUAAAAUAAUUAAUAAUAUUCAAACAAACGAUAUUAUUGCAAAAAAAAUUUAAGUAUACGUAGUAGCUUGUUGGCAGUGUAUACUAUUUAUGUGCUAUAUUUUUUAUUUUUUUUGUUUGUUUAUUUUUUCCUUCCAAGAAAACCUACUUUUUUUAUCUAAAUAUUUUUUAUCUUAAAUAUUUUUAAUUCAAACUUCUAAUUUCAUCCCAGAUAAGAAAGAGUAUGAGUUUAAAUUAAUUAGGUUUCAAAAUAAAUAUCGAGAAUUAAAUAAUUCAAUUUUGUCUAAAGAUUUUUUCAGCGCACAAAUUUAAUAGUAUAUAUANNNNNNNNNNNNNNNNNNNNNNNUAUAUAUAUAUUAAUUUUAAUUGAGAAAAUGGUCAAAAGCCUCCCAACCUUUACCCAAAUCUCAACUACACACCUAUACUUUGCGGGGUCCUAUGAUCCCCUGAUUUAUUUUAAAGUGGAAUUAUUACCCCCUGAAAGCUUACAUGGCGAAAGAAUAUGUUUGAGAACGUAAAUUAUUUAUUAAAAAUUUAUUUUUAAUAUUUUCUUAUUUUCUUUAUUCAUUUUUAUUUAUUCAUUUUCUUUCUUUCUUCUUCUUCUUCUUCUUCUUCUCCUUCUUCUUUCUCACAAACAAAAACUUCAAGAACUCAUCAAUGACAUCCAAAACUAAUUUAUCAUCUUUCUCAUCUCCAAGCACAAAAUCAAUUGGUUUCGACUUCAAGUUCGUCGGAAAUUUCAAAAUGGGUGUUAUUCAUUGUUUUCAACUUCAAGGUCGUCGAAAAUUUCAAAAUCGAUAUUAUCCAUUGUUUCCGACUUCAAGGUCGUUGAAAAUUUAAAAAUUUUCCAUUGUUUUCGACUUUAGGGUCAUCAAAAAUUUUAAAUUCGAUAUUGUUCAUUGUUUCCGAUUUUCAGGUCGUCAAAAAUUUUAAAAUUGGUAUUGUUCGUUGUUUUUGGAUUUAAGAUUGUUGGAAAUUUAAUAAUUGAUAUUGUUCAUUGUUUCCCACUUCAAGGUUGUCGGAAAUUUGAAAGUCGAUGUCGUUUAUUAUUUCCGACUUCAAGAUCAUUGGAACUUUCAAAAUCGAUAUUGUCCAUUAUAUCUAACUUCAAGGUCGUCGUAAAUUUUAAAAUGAGUAUUGUUCAUUAUAUUCGACUUCAAGGUCGUCAAAAAUUUCAAAAUUUUCUAUUGUUUCCGACUUUAAGGUCAUCAAAAAAUUUAAAAUUCGGUAUUGUUCAUUGUUUUCGGCUUCAAGGUCAUCGAAAAUUUUGAAAUUGGUAUUGUUCGUUGUUUCCGAAUUUAAGAUCGUCGAAAAUUUAAUAAUUGAUAUUGUUCAUUGUUUUACACUUCAAGGUUAUCGAAAUUUCAAAUUCGAUGUUUAUUAUUUUCGAAUUCAAAAUCGUUGGAAAUUUUAAAUUCGGUAUUUUUCAUUAUUUCUCACUUCAAGGUCAUCGAAAAAUUGCUGAAGUUUGAAAAGAAAAAGAGAUGAAAAGUAAUGGUGAAAAAAUGAUGAAAAGUGAUAAAAAUGAAGAAAAAAGUAAAUAAAAAUUAAUUUUAAACAAAAAAACACGCGUAAAAAUAUGGUUGGUGCGUGCAUCACACCACAUCCCAAACGACUGGUUGUCAGUUUUCGGGGGAUAAUAAUUCCACUUUAAAAUAGUUCAGGGGGGUCAUAGGACCUCGUAAAGUAUAGGUGUGCAGUUGAGAUUUGGGGUAAAGAUUGGGGAGACUUUUGACUAUUUUCUCAUUUUAAUUUGAAUUAUUUUAGAAAUAAAAAUUAAUAAUAAUUAACUCUACAUAUUAUUAACAGCUUUAAGGAUAUUUCAGACAUUUUGAUGAAAAAAAAAAUACUCAAAAAACACUUGUUUACCAAACACAACAAUAAUUUUUUUUUUCAGUUUCAACACUUCUAUCCAAACACGUAACUGCUUAUUUUUUAAAUAAGUUGAGCACUUUCAAAAACGGGUGAAUCUAAAAAAUAGACACAAAUUGGGAUGACUUUCAAAUUUUAGCCCCAAAUUAAAAAGUUUCCUUAAAAUAGCCUUUACCUAUUAACUAAUAUUUUUUUUAGACAAAAUUACCACUAAUCAAUUGAGUAAUUACAUAAAUGAUCCUAAUAAUUAUAAUAACUCCAUAUUUAUAUCUUUCAACUUUUAUUUUUUUCUCUUUUUAAAUUACUUUGAUUUUAAUUUUUUCUUUUUAUUUUUAAUUUUCUCAAUCCUUACUUUUUCCAUUUUUUUCUCUCAACUUAUUUUUUUUCUUUUUUCUUUUUUCUUUCCUCUUUUUUUUUUUUUUUUUUUUUUUUUUUUUUUCCUCUUUUUUUUUUUUUUUUUGUUCUUUUUAGUUUUCUUAACCCUUACUUUUUCUUAUUUACACCUUUGAUCGUCUACUUUUAUAACAAUUUUUUUUCUGUUUUUCUUUUUAAAUUUUCCUCGACCUUUAUUUUUAUUUAAUAUUUAUUUUUUCAUCAACCUUUAUUUUUUUUCUAUUCUCUCUCAACUUCUACAUUUUCUUUGAUUUUUAUUUUUUUCUAAUAUUUUUUUUUUCCGCAAUUUUUAUUAUUUUUGUUCUUUUCUUCGAUUACUUCCAUUCAUGUUACAUCUCAUGAGCAAGAGUUGACACUAUAACAUUAUAAAGGCAAUACUUACGACUUUCGAACAAUAAGCUACGUUUCAUGAGCAAGAGUUGACACUACUACAUUGUAGAGGCAAAACACUAGCACAUUAUAUUUUGAUUUAUGAGAUAUUUUAUAACUCUUACCUUAGGGACAAGACUUAGCUCAGGAACUUUCAAACAACAAAUUAUGCCCUAAAGAGUUGACUCUACCACGUUAUGUUUUCAUAUAUUAUAUGUUCUACAACUAUUGCCUUAGAGGCAAGACUUAGCUCAAGGACUUUCAAACUGCAAAUUCUGCCCCACGGGUAUGAGUUGACUCUACCACGCUAUGUCUUCAUUUAUGGGAUGUUUUACAACUCUUUCUAGAGGCAAGACUUCGCUCAAAGAAUUUCAAAUAACAAAUUAUGCCCCACAGAUAAGAGUUGACUCUAUCACGUUAUGUUUUCAUUUAUGAGAUGUUCUACAACUAUUGCCUUAGAGACAAGACUUAGCUCAAGGACUUUCAAAUAAUAAAUUAUGCCCCACGGGCAAGAGUUGACACUACCACAUUAUGUCUUCAUUUAUGAGAUGUUCUACAACUCUUGCCAGAGGCAAGACUUUGCUCAAGUAUUUUCAAAUAAUAAAUUAUGCCCCACGGAUAAAAGUUGACACUACCACAUUAUGUCUUUAUUUAUGAUAUUCUACAACUCUCGCCUUAGAGACACGACUUAUAUCAAGAAUUUUCAAAGAACUUCGUAACAAUAAUUCAUGCCCUUAAAUUUGCUUUGAUGUAAAAAAAAAACAAGAUCCCUUUGCGGAUUAUCUAAUUUUCUAUUCAUUAGCAAAAUAUAAUAGAAUUUGAGAAAAAAGAAAACAACGAUCAAACAAAAUAGAGAAAUAAAAAAAAGAUUGGGAAAAAAAAGAAAGAAAAAAAUAAAGAUCACGAAAAAGCAAAGAAUUAAAAAAAUUGAGAAAAAUAAAAAUAAAGUCUGAGAAAAAUAAAAAUAAAGUCUGAGAAAAAUGAGGGGAAAAAAGAGAACUGAAAAAAGAAAAAAACAAUCAAACAAAAUAGAGAAAUUAAAAAAAAGAGUGAGAAAAAAAAGGCAAGAAAAAAAAUAAAGAUUAAGAAAAAAGUGAAGAAUUUAAAAAAUUGAGAAAAUAAAAAAUGAUAGGAAAAAAUAAAAAUAAAGUUUGAGAAAAAUGAGGAAAAAAAAGAGAAUUGAUAAAAACCAAAAUUAAAAGAAAAAUAAAGGUUGAAGACAAAUGAAUUAAAAAAAGGAAAGAAAAAAGAAAUAGAUAAUGCUUCAGAAAAAAGAAAAAAAUGAAAAAAUAAAGAUUGAGACAAAUGAAUUAAAACAUGAAAAUAUAGAGCUACGUUUGUUGCAAGCAAUAUACAGAUACUUGUAGCAAUAAAUCUCUCUCAUGUCUUACACUAUUAACCUUUCAUCAAACACCAUAUCCUUUAAUUGAAUGAUCCUUGAAUCAUACCUCAUCACCAAAUACAAAAAGCAGAAAGACACAUACUGAUGACGCAAAAUUCGUUUUCUGUUUAUUCAAACAGGCAGCAAAAAACUGUUUAAACCAGUACAAAAUUUGACAGCACAGAGAUGAUAAAGCUGAAAAGGUUUCAUAUAUCAAUAAUAAGAAUCGGAUUGCACCAGUCUGAGAAUCUGCCUAUAGUUUGUGGGGCUGUCAUACCAAGUAGUGGUAUUAAGAAUCUCCUUUUCCAACCAAUAUGGAUCUACUUCUUUCUUGGACAGGCUUUUGAAGUAGCUCUCCCACCGUGCAAUUGUGCGCCCAAGACGAAUACUCUUUUGCCUUAGAAAGAUAAACUUGAGAAUAUCCCUUGUGAACACUGUCAUCUCCUCUCUUUCAAUUAUGUAGAUAUACUGAAAUGAAGGAAAAUACAGUGAUUUCUCAACUUGUUAAGAAAUCAAGAGUAAGUAACCGUUGCCAACUUGUUUCAUGUGCAAUUAUUACUAUAACAAGCACACACUUGUGGUUCAUUUGAAACCCUUUCAAGACAUUUUCUUCAUCAGAAGAGAGCUCAGGCGAAAGAUCACUAAACAUACAAUACAGAUUAUCAUAAUCUGCUCCUGUUUAUAUCAUCACUCCAUGACUCUAACUGGUCCAUAACUUACCAGAAAUGGUCUAGACAAAGGUAUUCAGUUAAGUUAGAAAAAAAUUUCGGAUAAGCCAGCAGCAUAACAAAUCACCAGUUAAGUAAAUCUGCAACCUGAAUUUCAGCCAGCUGCAAGGAUUGCCUUUUAGGGUAAAGAAUAUAAACAGUGAGCUCCAGAAGUACAUAUAUAUCUUCGGANNNNNNNNNNNNNNNNNNNNNNNNNNNNNNNNNNNNNNNNNNNNNNNNNNNNNNNNNNNNNNNNNNNNNNNNNNNNNNNNNNNNNNNNNNNNNNNNNNNNNNNNNNNNNNNNNNNNNNNNNNNNNNNNNNNNNNNNNNNNNNNNNNNNNNNNNNNNNNNNNNNNNNNNNNNNNNNNNNNNNNNNNNNNNNNNNNNNNNNNNNNNNNNNNNNNNNNNNNNNNNNNNNNNNNNNNNNNNNNNNNNNNNNNNNNNNNNNNNNNNNNNNNNNNNNNNNNNAAAAAACUGUUUAAACCAGUACAAAAUUUGACAGCACAGAGAUGAUAAAGCUGAAAAGGUUUCAUAUAUCAAUAAUAAGAAUCGGAUUGCACCAGUCUGAGAAUCUGCCUAUAGUUUGUGGGGCUGUCAUACCAAGUAGUGGUAUUAAGAAUCUCCUUUUCCAACCAAUAUGGAUCUACUUCUUUCUUGGACAGGCUUUUGAAGUAGCUCUCCCACCGUGCAAUUGUGCGCCCAAGACGAAUACUCUUUUGCCUUAGAAAGAUAAACUUGAGAAUAUCCCUUGUGAACACUGUCAUCUCCUCUCUUUCAAUUAUGUAGAUAUACUGAAAUGAAGGAAAAUACAGUGAUUUCUCAACUUGUUAAGAAAUCAAGAGUAAGUAACCGUUGCCAACUUGUUUCAUGUGCAAUUAUUACUAUAACAAGCACACACUUGUGGUUCAUUUGAAACCCUUUCAAGACAUUUUCUUCAUCAGAAGAGAGCUCAGGCGAAAGAUCACUAAACAUACAAUACAGAUUAUCAUAAUCUGCUCCUGUUUAUAUCAUCACUCCAUGACUCUAACUGGUCCAUAACUUACCAGAAAUGGUCUAGACAAAGGUAUUCAGUUAAGUUAGAAAAAAAUUUCGGAUAAGCCAGCAGCAUAACAAAUCACCAGUUAAGUAAAUCUGCAACCUGAAUUUCAGCCAGCUGCAAGGAUUGCCUUUUAGGGUAAAGAAUAUAAACAGUGAGCUCCAGAAGUACAUAUAUAUCUUCGGACAAAAUUUAGAGAGAAGGGGGAUAGGGAGAGAAAGGAGAAAUUACCAAAAAUAUGAAGCUCAUAGUUGCCAAGACUAUUUGUCUAAGCUCAUCCAAGAUCCCUGGAAUGCCUUCAUCCUCUGCUCCACCAAAACCAUCACUGCCACCUCCACCGCCACCACCUGGACGAUCUCCACCACCAUCUCCUCCAUCAUAGUAUUCUUGUUUUUCAAUCUGUUGCUUCAAUAAAUCCUCAACUGACUUUUCCUUCUUCAGAUUUCCCAUGGCUUUCUCAAGAGCUUUCCAUGGAGAAGCCUAGACAGAUAGUAGUACCAAAUGGGGUGUUAUCUUCUCAUGUAAUAAACAUCCCAUAAGCUUACUUUGCUGAAAUCAAGAUUUUGAACAGAAUUGGAGCUACUUUAUACUCAAUUCCAAUGCAGUUCAUGAAAAAGAAACCGCGCUAAUGAUCAGUAUUAAUGGAGAAAAGAUUCAUCUGUUAUUGACUUCAAAAUACAGCACAAUAUAUCUAUUUUGCAUGGAUAAGAGUUAUGCUGUAACAAAUUCACACAACAUUGUCACAAGAAACAGAUUUCCUUUGAAUAAAAGGAGAGGAUAAAUGUGACGGUCAAAUGGAAAGCAGAUUAUAUAUGCUCAACGAGGAAAUACAAAUACCCAAAAUUAAUCAAAAUAAGAGGAAAGAAUUGACUAAACCUUAGAAGCUAACUUUAUCAAAAAUGUUAUGGUUUUCUUAAAGCAAUUAAAAUUAAACGGGCACAUGACAUGCACAACAUAUUGGAUAGAUAACCUAAACAAAGUUGGUGUACCAACUAGCAUUGUGUACAUGAUAGGUCAUAUAACCAGCAAAAUGUUAGUCACUCCUCAACCUACUUAUUUAGUGAAAGUUAAAACACUAGUCAAGAUGAUAUCAAGUAAUUUAGCUUAUGAAACAGUGUUAGUAGAUCAUAUAGUCGAUACAACUAGUUUGGUAUUGAGGCAUUGUCUUUGUUUGUUGUUGUUAAGCCACAUCGUAAGAUAUUAGAUACUACACUAUGGCAUUACUGCGGAAUAGGGAGAAAAAGAGCGUAGGCGAUUAGAAAGGUUGAAAGAGACAUUCUGUUCUUUUACCAUUCUCCUAGAUUAUUUCCAACUGUCUUAAUUUUUUUGUCGAUUCCAUGUCAAAGAAAAUACAAGCAACAAAAUGGGAAAUUAAGUGGAAAUGAGAAAGAAAAUGACUAUGACCGAAUAUUAGAGGAUGAUGUUUAACCAAUGAUGAUGAGCUAAAGCACUUGUAACAGACAAAUGGUGCUGUGCUUUAGAAUAUCUGGAGUCAAAACUGGCCAGUUGAUGUUUCUUGCUAAAGACAAGGAAGCAACCAAAAGGCCUGCCAAUGGAACACUUUAUGUAGUGAAAUAUAAAAGAUGUCUAUGCCUUCUUGAAGAGUUUAGACUAUUCUCCUUAUUUCACAGCCAAGACUCAAGAUCACCAAUAGCAAAACUGAGGCCUAUACCAAGAUGCAUGUAACAAUGGCCUUGCACUUAUCUAAUUAACUAGAUAAUUUUAGACCCACAAGUUUUAGAGUUCCCCCUCAAUUCACGGCCAAGGGCCAUGGUGGCAUCAUAAGAAGAGCCCAUCAUGGGUUUAUACUACAUAUGCAUGUAAGAAUAUGGAAGAACACCUUGCACUUAUCUUAUUAACUAGACAGUUUUCUCACCCAAAUGAUCCAAAAAGUGCAAAGAAAAUAAAGGGGAGUGAAUAUGGGGACAGAACCUACUUCCCAUCUCUUUCAUCUUGGGUGAUAUCUAGAGGUGCAUGUGACUUUGGACCAUCUUCUUUUUAUUUUUUGGUGAUACGUAAAUAAGAUGGCUUUGGAGAAUCUCAAAGUAGAACAGAAACCACACCACAUAUAACCAUUUCUCAAAAUUUGAAAUCAAAAGCACCUGCAUAUAGUGGGAAAACUUUUCUGAUUGGAUUAGUUUGUGGGUGGUUUGGAUGAUCUUAUGUAAACUACAAUAUUUUUAAUUAACUAGAUGAGUUCAUCUUGUCCUUAUCAGUCAGUUGGUUAGAUGCCUGGAGAGGGUCCAUGAAAGAAAUGUUCCCAGUUUGUCUCACAGUCGGCAUGUGGCAACUGUCCUAACCAUUGGUGCAAUUUUUGCUUCAUUUUCUUUAUACCUCUGCGUUCAAGAAAAAUGGAAAUACUUCUUGGAUUUAACAAAUAAACAAACUUUACUUUGAUCAUGUGUGCAAGCUCACAAUCCCAAUCCCGAGUCCUGUAAAGCGGAGGUUUAUGAUAUGUUUACGACGAACCCGUGCAAUCAACUGAAGAAACAAAUUCAUAUAGGUGAUACCAACUACCUGGUAUUAAUGCUCAUGUCCAGAAGCUUAUAUUAGGCCGUUGACAUUUGUUAGUAGUCGUUUUUUCUUGUCAUAGAUUUGCUUAUUUAUAAGAAUGUAGAGAACUACGAAUUUUAAGAACUUAAAUUAUUGUUAUUGUAGUGAAACAAUUUCAAAUGGAGCAAGAUGGAUAGUGAAAACUCAUAUAGCUUACCCUAACUAGCUUGAAAUUGAGGCAUGGUGGAUUUUGUUUACAAAUAAACAAACUUGAAGCAUUUCAUAAGUUUCAAAAUUAAAAAACUCAAUCUACAAAAGAAAACAUCAAUACCUCGGCCACAUGCUUGGGCUUGCUUUUGGGCAAUUUGGGUUGUUUCAUGAUUUCUUUAUUCACACUAGUUAUUCCCUCUGGCUAAAGAUAUUACUCCCUCUGUCCCAUUUUAUGUGGCACAUUUGAAAUUUUCAGAUUAAAACUUCUAAACUUUGAAUUUGUUGAAAUAAAAUUUUAUAACUACGUAAAAAAUACUACAGAUCACAAUAAUUAACAACUUAAGGUAUUUAAAUGGAAUAUGAAAUAAAUAGGUCAAAGAAAAAUUUGAUUGACUCUCGGAAUUCCAACUAUGCCACAUAAACUGAGACGGAAAAAGAGAGCAGCCUGGUGCACUAAAGCUCCCGCUAUGAGUAGGGUCCAGGGAAAGGCUGAACCACAAGGGCCUAUAGCACGCAGCCUUACCUUGCAUCUCGGCCAGAGGCUGUUUCCACGGCUCGAACCCAUGAGCUCUCGAUCACAUGGUAGCAACUUUACCAGUUAAGCCAAGGCCACAUAAAUUGGGUCGGAGGGAGAAAAGUUUUUUGACACAUACACAAUGAAUGGUGUUGCAAAAGGUUGUACCUCAUUGUCAUUGCUUGCCCUCCCUUUGCCACCAAAUAAGCAUACAGUUCUGCACAGCUGCUGUGGUCUGAAUACACCUACUUCCGCAUUCAGGAAGAUUUUCGGGAGUUUUGUACCGAGAUAAAUUGAAGAUAAUGUGGUCGUUUUUGAGGUCCUUUUUGGAGCAGUAAGUGAUGGAAAGGAAGCAUUUAGAUGGGAACUGUUUAUGGCAACGCAGCUCAUUUCCUCAAAUGACCAGUCACUUGCAAGACCUAAACACGUUGAUUCAAAGCCAGUCAGGGGUGGCUCAAGGUAAAGCUAAUAAAGCCUUUGCUCUAGGCCCCAAAAAUUUGGAGUCCUCCAAAUUUUUAAUAGUAAUCUCUAUAAUAUAUCGAAAAUUGGACAGAAAUUGAAGAUGGAGAAGAAGACUUGUAAGAAUGAGAUCGAGGCUUCGAGCAAAAGCAAAAAUUGUCUUUGGUCUCUACAGAAUAUCAGCAAAAAUUGAGCUUCACUAACGAGAUUUCAGCAAAAAUUGUGAAUAAUGAGAGAGAAGUGAUGAGACUGAGUGAAAAUUGGAAGAUUGAAAAUUGGAUCCUAUUCUCUAACCCUAACACCUAAGUCAUAAACGGGUUUGGACUUUGGGCUUGGGAUUUGGGCCAGUGGAACGGGUAAUGGGUGGGAAUUAUAAUUGGGCCUGAGACGGGAGACCAGUGUGUAAUAUUACUAAAACACUCACCAAAUUUUCGCUAAAAAUAAAUAGAUAAAUAAAUAAAAAUUGCUUUCUGACUUGAAUUGAUCUAUGUCCGGAGCCCCUCCAGAUUUGAAUUCUCCACUGCAUUAUUCAUCACAUAUUACUGGUAUAUAAUUUUUUCUUUUAUUUAAUGAAAUUUCAUGAAAUAGAUUUAUUUAUUUAUUUAUUUAUUUUGUUUCUCGUGAUGUAUUUGAUUGAUUUUGAAGUUUACUAAAUCAGCGGUUUUAGUUAGUUAAUUUGGAUGAUUUUUUUGUUAUUAUAGUGAAUUAUUGGCUUUCGAUUCAUUUGGCUUUUGCAAAAGGACGAUCUGUAGAAUUGCAUUUGUUGUGUAGGAAAAAGGAUAUUUGUACUGAUUCAGUACAUCGACAAUCAACAUUGAUAUUUUGUUUGUGUUGUUUUGUUAUAAUAUGGGUAGAGUGAAUUGGAUUUUGAUUCAUUUGGCUUUGCAAAAGGGUAGAAUUGUAUUUAUUGUGUAAGAAGAAGGAUAUUUAUACUGAUUCAGUACGUCGAAAAUUGACAUUGUGAUUAUUUUAAUUUUUUUUUUUUUGGUUCUUUUGGUUAUAGUAUAGGUAUAGUGAAUUGACUUUCGAUUUAUUUGGGUUCGCAAAAGGCAGAGAAAGACGAUCUAUAGAAUUGCAUUUGUUGUGUAAGAAGAGCUAUAUUUGCACUGAUUCAGUAUGUCUACCUUGAGAACUUUUUUGUGUUCUUUUUGUUAUAGUAGAGGUAUAGUGAACUGGUUUUCGAUUUAUUUGGCUUCGCAAAAGGCAGAGAAAGACGAUCUAUAGAAUUGCAUUUGUUGUUUAAGAAGAGCUAUACUUGCACUGAUUCAGUAUGUCUACCUUGAGAACUUUUUUGUGUUCUUUUUGUUAUAGUAGAGGUAUAGUGAACUGGCUUUUGAUUCAUUUGGUUCUGCAAAAGGCAGAAAAAGAUGAUCUGUUGUGUAAGAAGAAGGAUAUUUAUGCUGAUUCAGUACGUUGACAUUGAGUUUCUUUUUUUGUUUGUUUGUUUAUUAUAGUAUAGGUACAGUGAAUUGACUUUCUAUUUAUUUAGCCUUGUAAAAGGAGAAAAUAGACGAUCAUAGAAUUGCAUUUUGUUGUGUAUGAAGAAGGAUAUUUAUACUGAUUCAGUAAGGCGAGAUUGAGAUUUUUUUGUGUUGUUUUAUUAUAGUAGAGGUAUAUUGAAUUGGCUUUUGAGUCAUUUUGGUUCUGGAAAAGGCGAGCUGUAGAAUUGCAUUUAUUGUAUAAGAAGAAGGAUAUUUAUACUGCUGAUUCAGUACGUCUACAUUGGGGAUCUCACACUGAUGUGGACAGUGAUUAGGAGUUGUACCUUUAAGAAUAACUGAGAUCAUGACAUUGAGAAUUUUUUAUUUUAAAUUUUUGGUUGUAGUAUAGGUAUAGUGAAUUGGCUUUCAAUUUAUUUUGGCUCUGCAAACGGAAAAAAAGACAUCUAUAGAAUUGCAUUUUGUUGUGUAAGAAGAAGGAUAUUUGUACUGAUUCAUUACGUCGACAUUGGGGAUCUCACACUGAUGUGGACAGUGAUUAGGAGUUGUACCUUGAAGAAGAACUGAUAUCACGACAUUGAGAAUUCGUUUUCUUUUUAACAACAACAACAACAAACCCAGUAAAUUCCCACAUAGUGGGGUCUGGGGAGGGUAGAAUGUACGCAAUCCAUACCACUACCUCCGAAGGAGUAGAAGAGAGGUUGUUUCCGAUGUUUUCUUUUUAAAGGAAGCAUUAUUUAAAUUGAGUUAGAAGCAUUAUUUAAAUUGAGUUAGACUUAGUUUGUGAUGUGUUCUUUUGUUACUAUAGGUAUAGUGAAAUUGCUUUCAAGUCAUUUGUCUCUGCAAAAAACAGAAAAGACGAUAUGUAGAAUUGCAUUUUUUGUGUAUGAAGAAGGAUAUUUAUAUUGAUUCAGUACGGCGACAUUGAGAAUUUGUUUUUUUCCUGUUUCUUGGAAGCAUUAUUUAAUUAGAGUUGGACUUAGUUUGAUGUGUUCUUUUGUGAUACUAUAGGUAUAGUGAAUUCGCUUUUGAUUGAGCUGGCUCUGCAGAAAGCAGAAAAAGGCGACCUGUAGAAUUGCAUUUGUUGUGUAAGAAGAACGAUAUUUAUACUGAUCCAGUACGUCAACAUUGAGAAUUUUUUUUCUCUGGAAGCAUUAUUUGUUAUUUAACUGGAGUUUGACUUAGUUUGUGAUGUGUGCUUUUGUUAUACUAUAGGUAUAGUGAAUUGGCUUUCAAUUGAUUUGACUUUGCAAAAGCAGAAAAGACGAUCUGUAGAAUUGCAUUUUGUUAUGUAAGAAGAAGGAUAUUUACGCUGAUUCAGUACGUCUGUCUGUCUGGGGAGGAUCUCACACUGAUGUGGACAGUGAUUAGGAGUUGUACCUUGAAGAAGAACGUUUACGUUGUGGAGAGUUGUGGAGUAUAGUGAAUGAAAGGGUUUUCAGAAGGAAGAAAGAGAUGAUUGUUUUUGCUAUUGUGUGGUUGGAGGAACAAUGACUGGGUGGUCAUUGGGUCUUCGGACAGGAAGCGAUGGAUCGUUGCAGCAAUUGGCACAAAAUGGAGUUUACCACUCUCAGAAUUCGUUUUUCUCGCGUAAAGGUUCAAAGACAUCACUUUCUGGUUUCAGGGAAAAGGAAAAAUGGCUUCCCUCUAUUUGCAGGUUUUUGGUACGAAAGCAGGUUGGAAUGCUGAUUUUGGUUGUAUUUGCACUCUUGGCUUUUGUUGUAGGAUUUUCCAUGGUUAAUAAAGGUCCGUUUCCUGAAGUCUUUUUGGUUUCUUUCUUGUGGAAUAUCAUCUAGAAUAGGGAUCUAUUUAUGUUUAAACUUUAGUAGCUUUAUUAUCCUGAGUGGGUUGCGAGCAGGGCUGGCUGUCACACCUUUUCUUAGCAGGACCAAAUGCAUAUUGUGGAUAGAUGAAGGAAGCGGCCAAUAAAAAUGAAAAUGUUUGUUUUAAGUUUAAGCACACCUGGGCAAGAUACAUAGGAUGCAGUCCACUGAGAAAUGAAUUAGAGUCACAAGUUUGAGUAAUUGCAAGGAGUAGAAUAAAGUCUAUGUCAUUUUCUAGACUGUAUUAUGGGAGCAGUGGAGUUUUACUAUUGUUGGCUUCUGGUGUUGUAACGUCUAAUAUAUUGAAGAGAAGCGUGACGGUUUGUUCUUAAUCACCAUCUCUAUUGGCGUAACCUAAUAUCAAUGUGAAAUUUAGUGAAAUAAUAAAACAAAUAUGGAACGACAUGGAUAACUAGUUCUUACAAUUUAUGUAGUUAAAUUAGAGCGUCUUCUGUAAGGGUUCCUAUUUGGAAGUGUGAAGCUAAAAGCUCUUCACCUGUUAAUGGGAGUACUGAUUUGAUAAUAAAUUUAAAAAAAUGAUAUAUUUAGUUUCCUUCAAGUGUUGGGUGGCAGCGAAGGAAGUAGGUAUUUAUCCCUUGUUGAGCUGUGAAAUGCGCCAAGUAUGUCUCACUACUGCAGUCAUAGAUUUACAGUGAAUUGUUAGUUGACUCUUACUUCGUCUUUUCUUUUUUGAGAAAUGGUAACGUUACUCUUUGUCUUUCUUCUUUCGAGCAUCGUUGGAGUAUCGAUCUAUUUCAUGUCUAAAAAAGAGAAAAAGAAUGUACGGUAGGUGUGGUGCUUGCCUUAUUUUUUGUCAGAAGUGGCGAAGGCAUCAUCAGCUAUAUGCUGUAUUUUAUUUAGUAUAGAAGUUACUUUUGUAGUUUGUUAUGUGAUGGAUUUCCUGAUUUUUCAUACAAGAUUUUUGCCAUUAUCAGAUGAUGCAUCUAGGGAUUCCAAAUUGGACUUCAAGGAGAGGUUCGAAAACAACACAUAUCAUGUAUCUGCAUUAUUAACCAGGAAGGUUAUGGUAUGCGGUGAGAAUAAGGCCCAGCUGCCUCCUCCCCAUGCUUUGGCUAUGAUACAGGCUAAAGAUUUCACUGCUUUUCCCCAUCCUUGUCAAAAUUUUGCAUUUCCCCCUCCUCCACCUGGUGAUAGUAGGCGAAUUGGGCCUCGGCGUAAGUUUAAAAUUCACUUGUUUCCAACCUGAUCUUAUUUCUUAGCUUCACAAAUUUGUAUUCUAGCCUUUCCUUUGAUCAGCACUUCACAUAAGUAAUGUAAUCUUGUUUAUACUCUCAUUUUCGUUCAGCAUGUCGUGUAUGCUACGUUCCUGUGGAGCAAGCAAUAGCUCGUAUGCCUAGAGUUCCGUCAGCUUCACCGGGGCUUCAGCAUUUAACUUAUUUCCACGAGCAAAUUCCCAUCAAGACUGAACCUCACGGGGGUUCUGCAUUUGGUGGGUACCCUUCUUUGGUGGAGAGGAACAUGUCUUUUGACAUAAAAGAGUCAAUGACGGUACAUUGCGGGUAAGUUGCACUUGUCAUCUUGACACAGUCACUUGUUUAUUGUUGUUGGCUUUAGUGUUUUGUUCUCCUUCCAGAGUGAGUAUUUGCUCUUUGUUCCAUUCCUAAUAUAUUUGGAUCAGAUUUGUCAAAGGUUGUAGACCUGGUGAUCGGACGGGGUUUGACAUCGAUGCGGCUGAUCUAAAGAAGAUGGAGAAAUAUCAUGACAUCAUUGUUGCAUCAGCCAUAUUUGGUACUCUAUAGCCAUGCUUCAUAUUUUCAUCUAUGUAAUAUGUAGAAUAUUAAUUUUCUUUAGUAAAUCUAAGAAUUAUAAGAUGAAAGAGGAUCAGAAAAUGUAGCCAAUAUCGAAACCACAAGAAUUUUCAUCUAUCUAUAGCACUUUUUUUUUUAAGACAAGGCAAUUAACAUCUAUCUAUAGCACUGUGAACCUCAUAAGCAUAGAGAAAUACUGAUAUGGCUGAAGAUGGUGUCAUAUUGGUGUCAUAUUUUAGGUUUUAGAGAUAUCUUGCUAGAUAUUCAGUUAUGUAGUACAUUGAUGCGUGAGAGAUAAUCAGGCACUUAUUAGUUGGCACCCAGCAAUAUUAUCUGCUCCAUUUUUAAGAAACAAGUUUGUUGCUUGCACCGCUUAUUUUGAUUUUUUCAAAAUCCAAUAUUGGGUAAGCAAAAUUUUCAUAGGUGUAUACAGUUACCAAUUUCAAAAAAAUUUCAUAGGUGUAUAUCAUCCUCUCCAUCCUAAUUGUGCAUAACACUGUCAUUAGCAAAGAUUUUAAAAAGUCUGAUUUGGUUAUCUGAAUAUUCCAGAGACAAUCAAAAGAUAAUACAUGAAUAAUAGGUAAAGUAGUAUUUUUAUAUAUAAGUUGAACAAUUUUUUUAUUUUUUUUUGUGAAUUAGAGAAAAAAAGUGUUCAUUUGGUGUUGGUUACAAUUAAUUAGCUUAACUAAAAUGGAUAGGGGGCAAUGUUUAUCUUUUUUCCAGCACUAAAAGAGUUUUGUUUUGUUUUUAAUUGGCGUUUCAAUUAUAGAUUUUAUUUGUCUAUCUUAUGUAUGCGCCUUGAAAUGGAUACAAUGUCUAAUACUCAUGGAAUUGGAAAUGCUUUUCUGAAAUAGUUUUGGAUUGGAUUAGAUAACGUUGCCUUUGAGACUUGAUAUUUAUCUCUUGUGGCUUCUCUAGAAGUUGGAGAAUUAGUAUUGUGGCGUUUGUAUCAGGCCGCAAUGUGAUUAUUUUUCCUUUACCUCUAUCUGCAUGAAUGCUCUACAGGAAAUUAUGAUGUAAUUCAACAGCCAAAGAACUCGGGUAAAAUUGCUCAAGAAAAUGUUCCCUUUUAUAUGUUUGUUGAUGAAGAGACAGAAGCAUCCUUGAAGAAUUCUAGCCUCUUGGAUAGCAGAAAUAGGGUUGGUUUAUGGAGGAUUAUUCUUGUUCGCAAUGUGCCUUAUUCUGAUGCGAGACGCAAUGGGAAGGUUUGUUCUCCUAGUUUUCUUCGAUAUCCUCCUAUCUUAAUUGAAGUUCCUUUCAAAUAUUAAACUUGAUCUCUAAUCUGCUUUCUUCAAACGGUUGAGGUUUUGCGAGUGCUUGAUGUUGCAUUUGUAUGAAAAGGCCCUACCUUCUGAGCAUGCUGUUUGUAGGAAACCAGGGAAAAAAAAAAGAAAAGCAAUGAACUUGCAUAGUUAUAUACACCCUUGCCUUUUAGUAAUAUUAAGUAUCUAUUGUGGCAGUUUGUAGUAUAGCACUAUAAUCACUGUUAAGUUAGUCUUUUACACCUCUCAUUGGAAAUGAUUGUUAGCCGAUUGAGGGAUCCUAUCUUUUGAUUCAUGCCAUAUUGCCAUAAUAGUUGAGACUUUGGUUUUUUGACAACCAACAAAUCCCCGAGGGUUAGUGGCGCACAAUUAGAAACUCGGUAGCUAAUGGGCCCACUCCUCUACCCUGCUCCACUUAAAUACCAUGCUUUUUGUCUACAACAUAGUUUGAACCCGUGACAUGUGCCUAAACUGCUUAUCACUUGCUGCACUCUUACCACUAAACCUAAGCCCUGUGGCAAUGUAAUAACUAAACUUUUCUUCACAAAUGGUGAUGACAACAGACCAACACUCCAAGAGGUAAUAGAAUAUAUGCAAUGUCUUUUUUUCUUCUACUGGUAUAGAGGAUAUGUUAUCAUUCAUCUGACAUCAAUGUGAAUUGACUUCAUUAUAUUUAUCUUUCAUGGAGUAUAGUUUCAUUAACUCUUUCAUGUUAAAAGUGUGGAUUAGAAGUAGAACAAGUGCAUAUGAUUUGCUUGAAAGAGAUGUAUUUGUGGCAGGUACCUAAGCUCCUACUGCAUAGGCUCUUCCCUAAUGUCCGCUAUUCUAUUUGGAUAGAUGGAAAGCUUCAGCUCGUUGUGGAUCCCUACCAGAUUCUCGAGAGGUACAUUUGGUUUACUGUCUCUUGUGUCCUUGGAUGCCACUUGGAAUACCUUGUGUUUGGCUAGAUGCUACAACUAAGUUUUAGCAAUGGCCAAUUAUUGGUGAUAAAGGGAAAAGGUUUUUAAUAAUGGCUAGCUACUGUACAUGGUUUUGAUUUGGUAAUAGGUCUAAUUCAUUUUCGUUUAAGCUUCCUAAUAAUAAUUUUCAUCUUUUAUGCACAUCAGUUUUUGCUACUCAUUUGAUAGUACUAGUGGUAAGCUGUUAGCUGUGGGGUGAAGCUGAUAUUUCCUGGGUUAUGACUGGGGUUGGAGGCUUGAAGCCGAUGAAGGUCUGGAUCAUCUAAAACCAGAUUGUUGUUGCUGACUUUUUACUUAAAAUUUCCUCGUUUUCCCAUACAUACUCAAAAAUGUUAAUGUCUGUGCAGUAAUUAUCAUUAAUGAGGUUGCUUUUCCAAAGGAGAAAAAGGAACGAUAAGAUACAUACAAGAAAAGAUAAUAUACAUACUUGUAUCUGCUCAGUUUAGGUAUUGAUCAAAUGAUUAUAGUAGUGGAAGUAUUGAUCGAUGAACGGUCAAUGUCCAUAAUGCAUUAUGGUCUCCAUUUCUAUUUGUGGGUCGGACCUUGAAUGUGUUCUUGUAUGGGUACUAUUGGUAAGAAUUUAUUAGGCAGGAUAGUGCCAGCCCUUAGGGUUUUCCCAUGAUGCCACCCCUUAGACAAUGGCCAAUGAGUUUUCAUCUUUUUCUCCAGUUGCUGUAUAAUUUCUUUUCGACAUGGUCAUAUUCUAUUUGUUGUAGUGGCGUGUAUGGCAGCCUAACAAGUGAUUCAUUCUCUUAGUUGGUUUAUACCUUUAGUUGUGAGUCUCACGUCUACUUCAACUUUAUGAGUUUCUUCUUUCCUAUUCCAUUAUCUCAGAUUCUUGUGGCGCCAGAAUGCUACUUUUGCUAUUUCAAGACAUUAUAGACGGUUUGAUGUCUUUGAAGAAGCUGAAGCUAAUAAAGCUGCAGGGAAGUACGAUAAUGUAUCCAUUGACCACCAAAUUGACUUCUAUAAGAAAGAAGGUUUAACUGCAUAUUCGGAGGCUAAGCUUCCUAUUACUAGUGGUGGGUGUGAUUUACACCUAGUGUUCAUUUGCCCACUCACUCUUAAAAUUUACUUAGCUCAUUAAACUUUUUGCAGAUGUUCCUGAAGGAUGUGUUAUUAUGAAGGAGCAUAUUCCCAUCACAAAUCUCUUCACCUGUCUGUGGUUCAAUGAAGUCGAUCGUUUUACCUCAAGGGACCAAUUGAGCUUUUCCACUGUUAGGGACAAAUUGAUGGCAAAAGUUAGCUGGAACGUCAACAUGUUUUUGGAUUGUGAGAGACGGAAUUUUGUAAUACAGGUAUCCAUCCACAAAAGAAAACAUCCGUUAUUCCAUCCAAAACCUAUUUUUUGCCAAGACACUAGUCGUGCAUGUCUCCACUGUUUAUGGUCAGCCAGUUAUUUGCCUUAAUUUUCGCUGUUCAGUACAUACGAUACUUUCUCAUAGUAUAAGAGUGUAUACCAAAUCUAUGCAGGCAUACCAUAGAGAUUUACUGGAGCAGAGGGCUCACAUGACAGUUUUGAGAAGUCAUCCUCCACCCGCUUUGGUUCGUGAUAAAUCUGUUCGUGAUAGUUCUACUAGUAAAUCUCCAGUAAGGAGACCUCCAAAGCACGGAAAAGGUGAAAGGAAGUCUAAUUCAAGGCGACAUCGGAGAGGUGGGUCUGGGAAUAGGGGAAGCAGUACAACAAUUUGAUUUUCUUUCCCUCCCUCCCUCCCUACCUUUUGCUCCCCUUCCCUUUUUGGGCUGCAAAAAGAAAAGAAACUAUUUUUUCAACGAAUUUGUUCCUCACUAUUCAGCAAAAGGUUAGGACAAUUUUGAUAUAGGUACUUACUUGUCCAAUGGGAGAAGAAAGAAAUUAGUUUUGCUUUUGUUUGAGGUUGUGAAUAUCAAUUCAAUUGUAGAUAUCACUAAUUGAAAUAACAGGCUGUUCACUUUCUUGUUUUGUAGAUGUCAUAUUUUCUGCUAGUAAUAAUAGCACUAAAACAUUGUUAUAUAUGCUACAAGCAAAUGAAUGAUGGUGCAUAAGGGAAUGAGACACUGACAAUCAUAUUGCACCACUUUGGACAUGAUUUUAUCCUAACUAAUCCUGGGAUUAAUUUUAGUGUUGCAUAAGUACGUGUGACAAUAAACCCUUGUGAUCCGGUCUUUUUUCAGGUUUCAUGCAUAGCAUAAGUUUUAGUGCUCUGAACAUCCCUAAUUAGAUGAAGCACUAGGUUAUAUCCUUGAGAAAUGGGACUUGAACUAUCUCCUUUAUAUUUUUUUUCUUGCCUUUGAAUAAAGAAGGAAAAAGGAAGAAAAAGAAUAAAGGUAGAUGGGAUUAAUUCAUUUAGUCAAAUUUGAGGUGGAUUCCCCUUUUAGUUGUGGGACAAGUUUUUUGGUACUUCAAACAAACUCAAUUUCAAGAAAAAAGUAAACAAACGUAUGUAACACAGUAAUUGGUUUCAUUGAAGUACAAGCAACUAAUGGAACUAAAUAAUCAAGGCGAUGCAGCUUUCCAUGAAAGAUGUCAAUGUUCACACUUUAUCUUGGCACAACUCUUGGAAUGCAACUUAUAAAUAGCGCAUGCGAAAAUCACAUUUGAGAAGAGUAAUUUACAAGCAAAAUUUAAAAACCAUAUUAAAUCACAUUGAAUGAUUUAAGUAGGGGUAAACAAAAGUAAAAUUUACAAACAACAUUUCAGAACCACAAUAAAUUGNNNNNNNNNNNNNCCCCCCCACCACCACCCACACAAAAGAGAGAGAGAGAGAGAAGCAAGGGGGGGAGUUCGUCUAGUUGGAAACUUUAGGGGCUGCUUUGACACUUUAUAGAAAAGUCUACACCAAUAAAAGCAGCCAUUGUUGGAAAUGGUAGUUAAGAAUUUGUCCGCAUAAAUAAACCUCUCAAAAACCCUGAGUUGCCGAGAAGAAGAAAAACGAACCAAAGGUACGCAAAAAAAUUCUCAAAUUAACAUGGUUUUUUACAAUUAAAGAAUUUUUAUUAGAAAUUUUCGUUCUUUUUUUUUUGUGUGUGUGUUUUGGAUUCUUAUAUAAGUUGCUUUGUGUCAAUUGAAAUACUUAGAAUUUCUCAAUUCAGAUAAUUUUAUGUGAUAAACUAAAGGUGUGUGAAGAGUUAAUGUUCAAUAACCCACCUAAGCGUAGCCCCAAUUUUUUGAGUUUGAUAGGUGAAUUAUGAGGUGUGCAAGAAUUUGACCACUGCAAGUUGACCUUCUUCUGAGUCAAUCUGGACAUAGGGGAUGCAAUAGAUGAGAAUUCUUCAACAAACCAUUUGUAAUAGCCAUCCGAACCAAAGAAACUUCUAAUAUCUGAUGGAGAGAUAGGUCCAGGCCAGUUUCACACUGCUUUGGUCUUUUAGGGAUCAACUGUAAUGCCAUCACUGGAAACUAUAUGGCAGAGAAAAGCUAUUGAUCUUAGCCAAAAUUUACACUUACUAAAUUUAGAGAACAACUGAUGGUUUGAGUUUUCUACCUAAACUAUCACCAACUGUUUAUCAAAAUAUACUUCAAUUAUUAAUUGUUUGAGUUUCCUACAUUGAACUUUUAGGUAGGAAAACAAUUAAUAGUUUAGGUGUGUUUUGAUAAAUAGUUGGUUAUAGUUCAGCUUAUAGUAAGGUAUGGAGGAUGCGAAUUGAGUUAGAGGUGCGUGUGGGUAUGUCGUAGCCAGUAGAUAUGAGUGCUUUGGUGUAGCCUUGCUAGUAGUAUUAGGGCUUUGCACAUAGAGUUUCUAGUUAGGAGGGUUUGGGUGAUGUGUGUGCUUUGGUGUGUUUUUGGUUAUGUUAUUUCAUCUUGUUUCGUGUUUUAUUACGACUUUGUUUACCGUCUUCUUGUCUUGAGCCGGUGGACCUAUCGGAAACAACCUCUCUACUUCUUUGGAGAUUGUGGUAUGGAUUUUGCAUAGUUACCCUCCCCAGACCCCACUAUGUGGAAAUACAUUGGGCAUGUUGUUGUUGUUGUUAGUUGGUGAUAGUUCAGGUAGGAAACUCAUACGUCUGAUAAUUUAUGUAUUUAAUUUAAAAAAUCGGGAUUUUUUAGGUGUAUUUUUGAGGUAGUGGUAUAGAGUGCAUGUAGUUAUCCUCCUCAGACCCCACUGGGAAUAUACUAGGUAUGUUGUUGUUGUUGUUUUAGGUGUAUUUUCAACCAUUAACUCUCUGUGUUGCUUAUGGGAUUUUACCUGUUUGCUUUGGUUAAUGAUAAUUAAUUGAUUAUAGAAGAUAUAAAUCUGGAAUUUGCAUUGCAUUCUUGACAAGUUUUUCAUAUCUUAUGUCGAACAAUUUAGCUUGUGUUCUCCUGUUUAGUUAUGUCAAUGAUAAAUCCCACCUCAAAGGUGAGUGGAUUUGUCUACUUUGAUCCAGUGCCUUGAACCCACAACCUCGCAGUUGGAUGUAGAGGGUAGUACUAGUACCGAGCACAGGUUAUCGCUUUGUACCUCACACCACCAACCUUAUGUUGAUAUAUACUCUUUUAUUUUAAAAAAGGGCAGUCCGGUGCACUAAAGUUUUCGCUAUGUGCAGGGUCCAUGGAAGGGCCCCACCACAAGGGUGUAUUGUACGCAGUCUUACCUUACAUUUCUGCCAGGCGCUGUUUCCAAGGCUUGAAUCUGUGAACUCCUGGUCAUAUGACAACAAUUUUACCAAUUACUUUGAGGCUCCCCUUUUAUUUAUGUAGUUGCUAAAAUUCUAGAUCUUUUCAUAGCGAAGUUCUUUGUGCCGGGCAGAUUAUUGGAUUUGACAAAGUUAUAAUUUGAAGGCUGUUAGUACUUCAGAAUUUAGAUAGUUACGAUUGCAUACUGCAUUGCUGGAAAAGAAAGGUGACUGAACAAGAAGUCCCUGAUAACUUGGAACAUUAUAUCACACGUUAUCUAGUAGAUUAUUUGGCUGGAAAGAACGAGUUUUUCAAGGCAAAAAGACCGUACAUACUUGGCCGUAAACACGGAUGUAUUGCUUUACUAGCUUUCUUGGUGCAACUUGUCUCUUGUAAAUAACAAUGUACAUGCAUUACUAGGCACGAUAGAGGAUUUGCGCAACCUGUAAUUUCUUUUCGUUGUACUGCUCAGAACAUGUUUACCAUCUGAAAUAUUUUUCAUCGUAGUUUGUCAUUUGGAAGGUUUGUUCUAUUAAAACGCUUUAGAUGCUACCUCUCCGAUGGUAGUGGUAUGGACUGCGUACAUUGACCCCACUGUGUGGGAAUACACUGGGUUUGUUGUUGUUGUAUUUAAAUGCUUUGGUGUUUGUAAAUCUUUUGUCCAUCUGUUGUGUGAUUUGCGAGUAAUGCUAAUCUGAUAGCCAUCAACAAUAAUUUGCCUCUUUCCAGCCUUCUUUGAGAAUGGGGGGUGGAUUAUCAAAGGAGGGCACUUCAACAACCAUAUCUUCGUCGCAGUUGGGGGAUGGACUAUCAAAGGAGAGCACUUCAACAGCUACAUCUUCGUCACAACUUCCAAACGAUGAGAAGUCAGUUCCCACUAUGGUCUCUGCAGAUUCAAAGCCAAAGAAGAAGAUUUGUUGUGCGUGCCCAGAGACUAAGAAGGUGAGGGAUGAAUGCAUUGUGGAACACGGUGAAUCAGCUUGUCAGAAAUGGAUCGAGGCUCAUCUUAAAUGCCUUCGAGCUGAAGGAUUCAGCGUCUGAAAUAGUUUACAGAACUAAUUCUUCAAAAAAGAAGAAAGCUGAUACACUUGGUAUGUGGUGUUAUGCGAAAAUUAAUUAGCUUAGUUCUCACAUUAUAUUUAUACAAAACCUUUUUUUCUGGGACAGGAAAUAGAGCGAAUGGUUUUGCUUUUGUUAUUUUUCUUUUGAGAAUUGGAAUCAAUGUUGUUAUACGGAGGUUUAACUUGUAUUUCUUAUGAUCUUUCACAUAUUUAUACUCUAGAUUUAAGAAAUUUUAUUCAGUUUCUUUUUUCAUCUGCUUUUAUACAUGGCUUAAAGAAUGCAGAAAGAGUUUGGCUGGGAUAUUUAAAUCACUGUAGAACAGUUUCUAUGCCUUCUUCCCUACCAAAGGGGCAACCCGGUGCAUUAAAGCUCGCGCUAUGCGUAGAGUCUGACUCUAUUGUAUGCAGUCUUACCUUACAUUACAGGAGUUAUUUCCAAGGCUUGGACCGCGACCUUCUUCACCAAAUCUCCCAUUGCCCCCCGCCCCACUCUCCCUCUUCUCCCCUUCCAAUGCAAUUUUUUUUUCUUCCACUUAAGCGGCUUGAAAUAAAUUUGUAAUGUGAGAAGAAGACUAGAAGUGGUUAGUCUCCAUCAUCCAAUAAAGAUGUCGGAUUUGAACUCUUGAGAAUGGAAUAGUGUUUGAUAAAAUGUUUUAAUCUAAAAGUGAAACUUGACAUGAAUUUAAUUUAAUCAAGCUCUAUUACCAUUUUUAUUGUGAUCUAAUCAGUUAUUUAAAAUUAUUUCUUUUUUAAAUGAGUAAAAAUUAUUUUGAGUCUUGGAAAUCAAUUCUCGUGUUAAGAGUUAGAGAACUUACAUGAUAACUCUUGUAAAAGAACAACGACAUAAUUUUCAUGAUUGAAAUUUGAAAAAGACGACGACAUAAUUUUCAUGAUUGAAAUUUGAAAAAGAUAAUGCAUAUAUAAAUUUUAUCUCUAUCCAGACUUUUGGCUCGAGGAAAAUAUAUAAGCAUAAUACGUAAACAGAACCUUCAACUUGACGAUAAAUUAUAAUUAUGCCCUUUAACUUUACUAGUAAAUAAGUAGGUCCUUUAACUAUAUAAAAGUUAAAUAAAAAAACACUUUAAUUCUGCAACUUAUAUGUGUGAAAUUCAUUCGUUCCUACGUGGAUUAGUAAUCCACUCAGAUGUUACUACCUAAUAAAAAAGACACAAUAUAACUAUAACCUUUAACUUUGUCAGUGCACAAGUAAAUCCUUUAACUAUACAAAAGCUGGAAAAAAAAAACUUCAAUUCUAAUUUUGAUGCACGUGAUUUUGAGUGUAUACACGCAUUUUGCUAGGUUGGAUUGAAGUGUUUAUUUGUUCAAUUUUUAUAUAAUUAAAGGGCCUAUUUGUGUAGUGAUAAAGUUAAAAUAUCAUAUUUAUAAUUUGAUUUCAUGCUAAAUAUGCUGUUUACGUAUUAUGCCAAAUAUAUACUAUAGUAAAAAUAAAUUCGAGCCUAAAAUUCCUUAUUUUAUGGGUCAAUAAUCCUUAUCUAGAACCCUCCAAAACCCUACUUCUCUUAAACCCUAUUAUAAAUUCCUUCCAUUUUCAUUCAUCAGUGCCCUAAACGACACUAUUUCCAUCUUGUUCCAAACAUGGCCGCCGUAUCUAGACUUCAAAGCUUAACAAACAAAGCUUCACUCCGUAAUCUCAUUCGCCGCCAUCUCUUCCGCCCUUCCGCCGCCGCUGAACAUCAUCUCAACAUCUCCCCUGGGUCUCAACCAGCACAUUUUUCAAAUGCUGAUAAUGAAGCUCUUUUGAAUUGGAAGUGGAACUUACCUAUGGGUGCUGUAGUCUUCGGUUUGCCUGUAUUUGAUUUUUCUGUGAUGGAGCUACGUGCCGCACGUUCGACUAGUAGUAGUAAGAAGCGUCCUGUUGAUUCUGACGAUGAUGAUGAUGAUGAUGAUGAUGAUGAUGAUGAUGUGGAUGAUGAUAUUGAUGAUGUGUAUGGAAGUUCUGAUAAUGAUGAUGAUGACGACUAUGGUCGCCGUGGUGGUGGUGGUGGCAGAGGUGGUGGUUCUCGUGGUGGUGGUGCGUAUACCGUCUGAAAUUUGGACCAAGUCCCAAUUUGCAUUUUUUUUUUUUUGGUUAUAUGUUGGGGAUUGUCAGUUUUAUAUUUUGCUUUGCUUAGCAAUGAAAUUUGUUUGAUGUUUAGCUACGUGUGAUUAUUUCACAUUACAACAACAAAUCCAGUGUAUUCUCACUUAGUGGGGUUUGGGGUAAGAUUUACGCAGUUCAUAUCUCUGCCUCUGAUGAAGUAGAAAGGCUGUUUCUACUUAUAAUUAUACAUUUAUUCUUUGCUCUGAUGCCAUCCGAAAUUAGACCUUCUAAUUUAAUAAAGAGCUUACACAAAUCGUCCAAAUUAUGGUAGAGUUGGGUCCAUUUAUGAACUAAUUUUGAAUUAUCUUAUUUAAAACUGGGUUAAUUUUGGCUAACUUAAGCAUGGCAUCUUUGUAAUACUAUUGUAGCACAUCUUUCGGUGAUAAAUAACGACUAAAAUGCAGGGCAAGAUGCUAAUAUUUCAUUUUUGUUUUUUAAUAACAAACUUCUAAUAACUUAAAGGUGUAUCCAAACCAAAAACAACUCUUAAUAUGAAAUAGAGAAAGUAUAUAAUAAAAGAAAAAAGAAUAAUAAUUUAAUUUUAACUUCUUUUUUAAAAAUUAAUGACACAAGUUAGAGCAAACAACAUAUAAAUUUCAACUGUUUAGAGUUUAAUUAUUGAAAAUCUUGAUACUUUGCAUAAUUAUUGAAAAUUACAAUUCUGGGUUGUCGAGAUACAUCGUUUGUAAAGAUACAUAAUUACCUCUCGAAAUAAUUUUUUUUAUUUUGGAUCUAUCGAAAUAAAUAAUAUAUUUAAUGAAGAUAUACAUAAUUAACUCUCAAUACAUUUUUUUUUCGACUGUGGUUUGUCAGAAUACAUAACUAGCUCCUAAUAUAUUUUUUUUCGAUUGUGGUUUGUCAAAAUAUAUAACUAGCUCCUAAUACAUUCAACGAAGAUAAAUAAUAAGUUCAAAUGGAUAAAAAUUUGUGUAAAUAUAGUUAUUUAUGUAUGUUCAUGCUAUUAUUUCGUAUGUUCAUGUUAUUAUUUCAACUUAUAAUAAACUUUAGAGAAAAUACUCAAUUAUCC